rnacentral:lncRNA from 1 species
UAAAUUUUCAAAAAAAAUUUAAAUCAGGUCCAAAAAGAGUUUUAAGCCCAAUCGAAUUUGCCACCAGCUUCACAUGGCAAUAAUUUCACAUAGAGAUACAUGGUUGAUACACCUAUUAAAAGUCUUGUUGCAUUUUUUCUUUCUUUGUUUUUUCUGUUUUCAAUAUGCUUCAAUUUCAUGAUGCAAGGGGCCUUACAUCUGGUGGUUCAUUUUGCUUAAAGCCAGAAUACUAUUUCCAUCACCAUUAAUAAAUACAAGGUAAUUAAGAUUUUGCUUGAGUUCUGUUUGAUUUUAAACCAAAUUUGCAUCUUAUUAUGCUAAUGAAGCCUCUUAUUUGAUUUUACUGUGUACCUUAAUCACUCAGGCAUGCUCCCUAAUUUAUUCUUCCCUUUGCUUGGAAAUAUGUACUACAAAAAAGCAAGAGGUAUCACUCUCUCAAACUUUUCAAUUGCCUAGUAAUAUGGUUCAUUUUAGCAUGUAGCAUUUCUCAUCAAACCUUUGAAACUACUUGGAAAUAUAGUUGAACACUGUGUUUCUCAUCUUUUGUUCCUUUUUUCUGCUUAUGCAUACAAGGCAACAAGCUAAAAGAGCCUUAGGGUGUGUUUGGAGUUGUUUUCAAAAAUGGUUUUCUAUUUUUAAGGAAAAAAAAAGUCAUAACAUGUUUGAUAAUCAGAAAACAAAAAACAAAGUGUUUUCCAAGAAUAUAUUUUAAUUGUUUUUGGUGGUUUUAACUUUUUUCUAAAUAUUGUUUUAAAAAUAAUUAUACAAAUAUGGAGAGUGAUUGAAAAUUAAGUAUUUACAAAUUAAAGUUAAUUAAAAAAAUAUUUAAAAAUAUAGAAAAUAGGUUAAACACAUUUCAGAUUUUCAAACAAGAUUUGUCAAAUUUAUAGGAAGUGAAUUGGCAUUUUCCUCAAAACUUUGAUUUUGCUUUUUAAUAUUUUAUUCUAUUUUAUGACAACAUUAUUUUUUUGUACCUCUCCCUUAAAUUUGAAACUAGUUUUUCUGAUUUUUUGAUUGGUAAGUAUAACCUAAUUUAAUUUCCCCAUCAUAGUAGGACUAAAAAGUGGAGAUUCUUAUGGAAUGAAAGAAAUGCAAUCAACUCUCACACUAUGAUGAACUGUGAGCAUAUUUGAAUAUUUUGAUUGUAUUUAUUCUAUUUCACCAAAUACUAAUGGAAAGUUAUUCAUUACUUUAAUCAUUCUAACAGGCAAUUGAGCUGGUACAUCACAAACUGAAUUGAUAGGACAAUGAUAGUGACAAUAUUCUUAGCAAGUUCGGGUCAUGUAUUACAUAUAAGGUUUCUUCAGUUUUUACAAGAUGUUUUAUGGUGAAUUACACCCUAUGACACACGCAAACCCAAAAAAAAAAAAAAAGGAUUUUAAGUCAUUUCUUUUUUUCCCUUUUGUUAAUUUGGUAUGGGCAGGUGGUCUUAACAAAGGAGCUCAAUGAGUUAGAACUACAGCCUCACUGUCCCAAAGUGAAACGGUCAAAGCUUGUAAUAAGCUCCAACUAAGGUAGGUAACUGUUACUAUAUUUUGCUUGUCUUCUUGUCAUAUUCAAUUGGGUGAAUAACAAGUCUAAUAUGAAAAAAUUAAAAAAAAAAAUACUAUAUGCUCUUUUAGAAUUCUAGAAGUGUGUCCUUUAAGUGAAAUUUAUUUUUGUCUCAUCUACUUUUUAGAGUCUAUGAAAAAAAUUAUUCAAUUCUAUGCAAAAAUUUAUUUUAUAUCUAUUUUUAUCUUCUAAGUUUGCUUUUGAGAUGUUUUCUUUCCAUAUAUGGAAUGGUUAUAAUUUUAAUAUUUUGUGCUGUGGAUCAAGCUUAAUCUUUAAAAAUGACAAUUAUUUUGAAUAUUAUCUGCUCUAUAGGAAGCUCCUACAACCAGGUCAUAUUCCUAAUUGACUCUGUUUUUGAGAAAUCAGGAUACUUUGGGUGGAUUUUCCUUCACAUGAAUAAUUGUAAGUUUGAUAAUUUGUGAGCAUUCGUACUAUAGAUACUUGUGACAAAGUUUGUCUUAAGAAUAGGAUGAAUUCACAUUAUUACUCACUAGAUGUUUUUUUGCAAUUAACAUAGGGAUUCAUCUUCUAAAGUACUCUUGGGAGUGAGGAAUCCUUCUCAAAAGCCUUGGAAUCGAGCACAAAUUUGAAAUUUCAAUCUACAAUGAGGUAAAGAGCAGAGGAUUCAUAUUAUUUAGUGGCUUACUUUAGACGGUAUAUUCAUUAUGACAAGAUGAAGUUUUAAUGCAGUCUUUGAUCUUGUUUAGAUAUACUUUUAAGAGAGAAAAAAACAAAAAUAAGAAUUAUUUCUAUAUAAAAAGUAGAAACUCUUGUACAAAAAGUAGACUUACCUUUUAUUUUUUUUUAAAUUACAUCAAAAAAUUUUAAAAUUUGAGGUAAGAAAACAUUUUUAAUACUUCAAAAUUUUAAACAAUUUUUAAAACUAUUAUCAUGUGAAUGUAAGUCUUUAAUUUUUUUUGUAUUUUAUAUAAACAAGCUAUUUUCUCCUUUUAAAAAUAUAAAACAGUAAAUGCAUCUAAGAAAAUACUUAAUUACACGUUUGUCUCUUGGUAAUUCAACUCCCCUAUGCUCUCUCUUAUUAUUUUAUUGCCUCUGUUUUGAAUUUUAGGAUAUGGGCCCGGUUUCAUCCGAAGCUUCCUAUAGUUGACUAAUUCAUGAAUUUGAAAAUUUUGGAGGAUAGAAGAACAAGCACAUGUCUUCUGCAAGCAUUUGAAAACUUGUGCAUCAGUACAUCAAUGGUUGUUGCUAGUGCUCAUGGAGAUUCAAAUAUGUGAAAUGGUAAUUGUGAGAUUGAAAUCCUGACCAUGAGACUAGCAGACGAGUCUUGGUGAACUUGAGAGUUUUGCCAUUCUCUUUCCUUGUGGAUCAUUCUCAAUACAAGUUGUUCUCCCAUUAUGUUUUAACAGUAUGUAAUACUCUAAAUGGUAAAUUAUGCCUCAGUUGAUCAUCUUUGAAUUACAAUUAGAUGUUAUUAAUGUUUACUUCAACAACUACAUAAUCUAUAGUUUAUUUUUUAAACAAUGUUUUAAAAGCAAUGAUGUUUACAUGGAUGGUAAAAAAAAAAAAUUGGUGACAAUUGAGUUUGAUUUCUCUUGAACAAAUUUUUGGCCCAAGCACCCCAUGAAAAGGACUUUGAGGAUUAGUUAUAAAAUAUAAAUUGUAGAAUCAUUUUUAUUUUUAGUUUCCAUAUUUACUAAAAACUACCAUCCUAGUAAGAUUAAGUAGCUAAGUCACAUUUCUCUGCUAUGUACAUAUUUUCUCUAUUUAAGUUCACUUGCUAUUAACAACAUCAACUAAUAUAAUAAGAUUCAUUUUUGGGUUACAAACUUCAUUACUAUUAUAAAAACUAUUUUGUAACAAGUUCAAGUAGUGACCCAUCAAUCUUUUGCAAUUUUUGAAGGAGAAAUGUUAAUAGUACUUGUCAUUUGAGAAAAUUUCCCUAUGGUACAUCUAUUUUAAAAUCUAUUUGGAUUUAAAAAGAAAAAUAAAGAAAAAAAGAAAGAAAGAAAGUUAACCCUCAACGACCUAAGACCACAUGGGUCCAUGUGGUGAUCUAAAUUAUUUUCUAAGUAUCAACUAAGAAGAAAUGAGGGUGGAUUAUUCUUGGAUAUAAUGCAAAAUAAUGAUGAUUAAUAUUAAAAAUAUUGAUAAUAUUAUUUCUCUUAUUAUUAAAAAAUAUUUUACUUUUUGAUGAUUUGAAAUACUUUUUAUCAAGUGUAAGUCAUAUUUGUGAUAAAGCACUUUAAGUUAUUUUUAAACUAACAUGUUGCAUCAUAUAAGGAUGCUCAAAAUGAUCAAACCAGUUUGGUAGGCCAUAAAAGUGAAAAAGUUUACAACAUUGGUAUAUAAAUAUAUGAAGACCGUGAAAAAUGUUUUUCAAAGUGAGUUACAACAUAUGAGGUGUGGACAUGCUUGUUGAGACAAAACUCUUAAAAGCAUGACAUAAUGUAACAAAAUAAAAUUUUAUUAAUACAUAUAUAUAUAUAUUAUAAUUUUUGUCUCUAAUAUUCUAUCCAUGUUUGCAUUGAUCUUUAUUUAAGCAUUCAAGUUUGCAUCACUUUUCUCAUACAUGGCUUGGGUGCAAUAAAAGUUGCAUGAAAUAUCUAAGUUAUGUAUUUCUUGCAAGUUGAUGAAUUGUUCAUAACCAAUUCGUGGACUUAGGCAAUCCAUUUGAGGCAAUAUAUACUAACUCUUAAUUGGAGGAAUAAGGACUUGUUUGUUGGGGAUAAAACCCAAAAAAAUCAUGACAUCGUGUAACAAAUCAUAUUUUAGUUUUCACUAUUAUAUUCUCAUUUGUAUUAAUACUUGUUUGAGCAUUCAAGCUUACAUUAUACAUGACUUAAGAAUAUUAGAAGUUUCACGGAAGAUCCAAAUUAUAAAUUUCUUAUAAGUUGAUGAAUUGUUCAUAGUUUAUAACUUACACAGUCCUUCUAAGGUUGUAGUGAACUAUCUCAUAAUUGGAGGAAUGACUUAUCUUAGUUAUCGGGCUAGAAUAUACAAUAUCAUCUUAUGGGAUCAGUGUGACUUGCAUUGCCAGGGGAACAUCUUCUUUUCUGGUUGGAUGUGAUAGCCACACUUACGAGAUGUAUUGCACAACUGGUUCAGGCUGGAAUAAUCGUUGUCGUAAAGUUUGCCUCACUUUGGACUUGGGAAGUGUCAUUUCAAGGUGGACAAACUCAGCCACGCUCAAACUAAUGGAUGAUGCAUUACCUAUGGAAGGAAAUGGCAUUUGCAAGGAUUUAGGCUACCUGGGCAACCCAGCAGAGUGACAUCAAAAUUAGUAAAGCCUAAGUCUUCAACUGUGCAAGCAAAUGCCAAUUUCUGAUCUUGUAUUAGUACACCAGUGCCAUGUCAGUCAUCCGCACCAACAGAAUAGUCACCUAAGCCUCCCCGGGGCCCAUUUUUCCAACUCCUACAUUACAUGGCCACUUUUUCCUCUUGCUGCUUUUCUUUUAUUUUUCUUUGUGAUCUUAUAUGUUUUGAAUUGGUUUUCAAACUUUCUUUUUUUCUAUUCAAAUAAUCUCAGUUUUCUAAAUUUCAUCCUUUGGAGAUACUAGAAAAUAAAAUUCAGUUUUGAUAAACUAGCUGUUUUUUUUUUUUUUCCGACAAGCACCUUUUACAAAUUUUCUUUGAUUUUGAACUUUUUUUUUUUUUUUUUUUUUUCUGAUUUUCAUGUUUUUAAUAAGCAUGGUGUGGACCCCGCAUUUGAGCUCAUGCGUUUCCCACUCGAUGGCGAGCUCGAUUUUUGGUUGAAAAAUUGAUUUUUUAUUUAUUAAAGUUAUGACUUGGAGUUGCCACUUAUUUUUGUUUUAUUUUUAAAGGGUAAACAAAAUAAGAAAGAAAAAACCCUAAGUGUGACUCCUUGUUUUGGAAAAGGUGGUCUGUGAAAAACUGGAUCGGGUUCGGGGGUCAGGUUACUUAUCGGGAAGGUACGGUAAAGACCGUAGCACCCCUCUAAGUCCCUAAAGUCGGGUCUCUACUAAUAAAAUGAAGCAAUCAUGGCAAUUGAUGAGGAAAACAAUGAAUACCCGAAACUAUCAUGCACAUAGGAGAAUCAAAACAUGUAUAUGGAAAUACCGGAAUGGGAAUAGAUACGUACCUAGGUGACGAGCCACAAUGCGCUUAUCAAAAAGUGAGGUUAGUGCACAAUUAAAGAAUAAUUUCAAGCAUGUCAUAGGGCAGAAUAGAAACAAUCGUGCAUGGCAAAUAAAUCAAUCAGUUAUAAAGUCGCAUAUGUCGGGCUCCCACCAAUACCCAUUUAUUUUGCAUGGACCAAAUCCGUAAAUUCCAUUAUUCAGAAUUACAAAAUUUGAUUCUUUGCUUAUUUCAAAACAUUUUUAAAAUAGAGGAGCAGAAGAUUGUUUUGAAGACCAGAAUGGAAUUAAGCUAUUUGAGAGAAAAUCAGGUUUUUGAAAUUUAAUUGAAAAAUUGGAAUCUCGAAGAUCACUAGAAAAUUGGAGUUUUAGAGUUUAUUUGGAGAUUAGACUUUUAAAGAUUGAAUGUGAGAAUGAGAAUUUUUAGAAACUGAAUUUGAAAGAGGUUGGAAUUUUAAGAACGAUUUGAGGGUUCGGGAUUUUAAAGAAAAGUUAAGUUGCGAAAGUUGAGACUUUGGGAGUUGAAUUUUGAAAGAGAUCAGAAUCGUAAGUUAUUUGAGAAAUAGAAAUUAUGAAAGUUGAUAUGUAAAAAUUGGAAAUCUUAGAAAUCAUUCGAAUGCGGAAUUCAUAGAAAUAAUGAAUAAGAUGAUAAUGAUAAUGAUAAUAAUAAGUAGCGGGAUAAAUACGGGAAUUGGAGCAUGGGGAACUGGAAAUUAAGUUCGGAGAUUGGACAACUGGAGUUUCAAAUAGCUAAAUUUAAAAAACGGAAUUUUAAAGAAUUAAACCUUAAUGAUUGAGAUUUUUAAGAGAAAUAAAUAGGUAAAUAUGGAAUAAUGUUAUUAAUUAAUCAAAAUGAUAUUUGGACGGAUGAAUAGUGAAUAGUGGGAUUUUGAAAAUUAAGUUUGAAAGUCAGAUCUCUGAAUAAUUGGACUCUGUUUAUUGGAAUUUUUAGAAGAAGGGAAUAAGUAAACGUAAAAUUUAUAACAAUGAUAACAAAGAUGAUAUUUGAGUGAAUAAAAGUGAAGGGCGGAAUUUUUAAGUCUCAAGGUUAAAUUUGGAAAUCCGGUUUUGAAGAAUUGAAUUUUAAUGAUUGAAAUAAAUAAAUAAACAGAUAUGGAAUAAUGAUAUUUAUUAACAAAAAUAAUGUUUGGACGAAUAAAAUAGUGAAAAUUUUCUAAUUGAAAAUUUGAAUUAGGGCAUUGGAUUUUUAAAAGAUAUGACUUUGAAUAAAUAGGUAGGUAUAAGAUUAUAAUACUAAUUAACGAGAAUAAUAUUUAGGCGAAGAUGGAUAGUGGUAUUUUUGGGAUUAAAAAUUGAAUUAAGACGAGAUUUUUGAAGAACUAGGUUUUAAAUAAAUAGAUGAAUAUGGGAUAAUAAUCCUGUUUGAUGAAAAUAAGAUUUAAACGAUAGGAUAAUAAUUCCAAUUGAUGAACAUGAGAUUUAAACAAAUAUUUGAAGAAUUAAAUUAAGGCAUGGAAUUUUCUUAAAAGAUUCAGAUUUUAAAUAGCUAGAUAAAUAUGAGAUAAAUGAUUCUAAUGGAUGAAAAUGAGAUUUGAACUAAUUAUGGAAUUUUUAGGAUUAAAUUAGAAUAUGGAAUGUUUGAAGGAUUAGACUUUAAGUAACUAGGUAAGUAUGAGAUUAUAAUUCCGAUUGAUGGAAACAAGAUCUAAACGAGCUUUUGAAAAAUUAAAUUGAGACACGGGGUUUUUGAAGGAUUAGAAUUUUGACUUUAAUAAAAGAGAUUUAUAAAAUAUAAUAAAUAGAUAUACACGAAAAAAUAAUAAUAAUAAAUAAUUAUAAUGUUUAAGCUAGUGAAAUUGAAUAAUAUAAGCUUCAAGAUAAAACUAUAAUUAACAAUAAUAAUUUGACUUUCAAUUUUCUUUAAAAUGAGUUAACUAAAUGUGUAAAAAUAAGAUGACAAAUAAAAGGGGAUGAUUUGAUUAAUUAAUUAUGGAUAUUAGAGGUUUUGUUUUGUUUGUUUUUUUUUUAAAAGGAUUAUUUAGGAAUUGGGCCACCUGAUGGGCUAACUUGAAGUGGGCAUGGGCCACUUUAAUAAGGGGAAUUAGCAUGAGGCCUUCAUCAAUGUAAAUGGGCCUGGGCUCCAACUUAAGCCCAAGUCCAAUGACAUCAUUGGGCAAAACUCAAGGCUCCAUCUUCAGCAUAGGCUUGGGCCUGGGCUCCAACUUAAGCCCAAGCCCAAAGCCAUCAUGGGCAACACCAAACCCGUCAUCAACACUGUUUGCCUCUCCGCCCGCGCAUCAACAUCAAAGGGAAUCUUCCACCACCGGCGGCGUGGUGAAGAGAGGAGCUGCGGCGGCGCGACGAAGAGGGGAGCCGCGGCGGCGUGGUGAAGAGAGGAGCUGUGGCGGCAGUCUGGCGACGUCCAAAAGGUGCUGCCGCCAUUGGUUGCUGGUGCGGAUGCGUGCAUAACCGGAGCGAGUGAUGGCGGCUAGUGGUGCAUGAUCCUCGCAUGCAUGGAGAGUGAUGAAAGGUGCAUAGCGUUGAGCAUGUUGGGAUGGUGACGGUGGGUAUGAAAAACGAGGAAGAGAGGGGAUCAGUUUGAGCGAGAUGAGGGGUUAAUGAGCAUAGAAAGAUGGCCAUGGGUAUGGGUUUGGUGUGCAUGAUGAUUGAUGGAUGGGUAUGGAGGUUGGAAUGGAUGUGGCUAACAGAUUUAGUUGGGUAUGAGGCAUGAGAAAAUGGACGUGAUGAUGGAAAUGUGGAGUCUUGCAGCAUGGAGAAAUGAGAAGAGUAGGUUAUGGAAAUGGAGAUUCAAAGGUAUCACUCAAACACACAAAGGAAAGCAAAAGAAGAAUUAGUUCUUUCUAUAUCCAAUCUCACAUGAAGAACAAGCAGCGGAUAUAUUAUAGCAUAAUAACCUCAACCCAAAAGAUUUCAAUGGCAAUAAUAAAAAAAACUGUGGCUUAGUAGACGUACCUUAGGACGCUCCCCUUCCUUAUCUGUUUUUUUCUUCCCAGACCCCUGCUAAAACUCUCACCUGGAACUCCCUUUUCUUCCUCUCUUCUCCCCUGUUCGUGUCUUCCUCAGCAAGCCUCUCUACUUGCUUUCUCGUCCCAUCUCCCCGUCCCAUCUGGCCGCCCCAUGAAGCUUAAUUCUCGGGGUGGUCAGAAGAAUAAAAUAAAAAAAUAAAAAAUAAAAACCCCAAAAACCUUCAUUGUAUGAGGGGUCUACACAUGGAUACAAUUUUAUAAUUUAAAAGUAAAGAAAUAUAUGGAAUUAAUUCAUGCAAAAAUAAAUCGAUCAUUGGUGGGGUCCAACACAUGAGACAUUCGCCAUUCGUUUAUUGAUUUUGAUUGCUAUAUUUAUUCAAUAUUAAUUUAUUUUUGCCUUGCUUUGUGACUUGCGUGAGAUAUUUUAUGCUUGUCAUUAUUGAGUUAACCAUGUUUUUCAUGAAAACACUAUUGAUUCGCCGCUCAAGUAUGCUCCCAUCUCCAUCUUAAUUAUUUAUUCAUUCUUGUGCAUGAUUUGCUUUCAUUCUAUAUGAUCUUUGGUAUCCACAAUUAAUUGAUCAUUUGUCACACUUGUCUUAACUGAUUAGUAGAAACCUAAUUUUUAGGGUUUAGACGGGUAUUACGGUCUAUCGCUGUACUUUCCCGAUAGGUAAUAUGAUCCCUAAACCUCGACUCGAUUUUUCUCAGACUUGUUUUUUCCUUCAUAAGUAACACUUAGAGUUUUUCUCUAUUAUUUUGUUUUUCCCUUUAAAAAAGAUAAAUAAAUGGUGUCUCCAAAAAUAAGUUUCAAAAAAUAAAAAAAUUCACAAUAAAAAACAAGUCUCAUCAUAGAGUGGGGACACAUGCAAAAGAUGGGAGGUCCAUACCAACCUAUCUAAUCAAGGUCAACCUCUCUAAUCAAAGGUUGACUCCUAUAUUAGCUACUACCAACAUUAAAAUAGGACAACGUAGAAGGGGAUGAGUCGACCUCUCCAUCCAUGGGUUGGCCCCUCCUUUUGCUACCUUAGGCAUCAUUUUAAUGCAUAUUCUACAAUUUUACCUUGCCACUGUCCAUCAUAAAUAUGAUUUGAAAACCAUAAAAUGUGAAGAUCUAAAAUUGGAAUUGUGUCAAAUGCUCUUCAUCCACGAAAAUAACUUAACAAAAUUUUCUAUAGCUAAAAUUGGAUGUUGCCAAUUAAUGAAUAAGUGAAAUUACAAAAUAGAAAACAUGAGUAAAAGAGAUUUCUAAUAUUAUGAAGUGGAACAAAAACAUAAGCAAAUGUUCCUCAUUGACCAAACACACUAAGAAGCUCAAUGAUUCUAUUUUUUAAAUACAUAUGCAUGGCAAAGAGACUCUGAAACAAAAGUUUGACUAAUUUCGGUUUUGUUAAUAACAAAAUAAGGUUUGAAACUAAUAAUUUAUUUUAAGUAUUUUUUAGCAAGAGGAUUUCCAAAGAACCAAUCACAACAACAUAAUAAAGUGAAAUCAAGAAAAAAGAGAAGACCUUAAAGAGGAAAUCAAGCAAGACUCAUGUCUAGGAUCUUUUUAUAAAAUUGUUGAUGCACUAGGUUCAAAGUGCAUUUUAUUUUUAUUUAAGUACCUAAAAUCAUCCAAUUUUCUAAAUCAACUUUAUUCUUUUAUAAAGUAAUGAAGAAUCUUUCUAAAUGAAAACCAACUUUAUUUAGUACUAUUCAUAGUUUAAAAGGUCUUUAAAAUGAAAAGGAGUUUAUCUACCUAGGUUUUCCUAAGAAUUUUGUGAAAAUUAUAGAAUUCAUUUAUGCAUAUUUCAAUGAUUUUUACAUGUCAAAAUUAAAAUUGAUUAUUUCAAGAUAAAAACUCAUAUUUUGACAUAUAUUUCAUCAUUUAAAUGGGUACUUUUUUCAAUAUUAUGUUUUCAUAUUAAAAUAAUUUGAGUCACUAAAGUCAUUUAUGUAUCAAUUUUCCAUAUUUUGCAUAUGUUUGAUUGAAGUGACUCAAUUGGUUGAAUUGGUUAUUGUUCACUCAAUUGAUUGAGGAUUGGUAGAACUGGUUGAGCUCUUAUGAUGUAAUAGUCAUUUUUUUGUAUCUUUUAUCACCCAAAACUAGUGACCAAUUGGUUGACUAAUCGAUCCCAAAUUGUUUUUAACAAUUAGUUUAGGUCUUCAACUUUUAAUUAAAGGCUCCAAGCUUUGUGUACCAUUUAUUAUAGAUUUUUUAUUCCAUUGUGCCAAUUUAUAAACCAAAAGUUAUAUUCUUGUCAAAUCUUUUCUCAUGUACCUUGUGAGGUAGGCUCAAGUGUGGGGUAACACUUGAGGAAUUCCAAAUGUGGUGUGACUUUUAAAGAAUUCAAAAGUUGUUCUCUUAAAGGUGUUUUGUAAAUGGUGUUUGAAAUCAUUUUCUAAAAGGGUACUUGGAGUCACAAGCUUAAAAGGAUUGAUUAGAAUUAUAAUUCAAUUGUAAAACUUGAAGACUCGGAUUGAAGCUUUGAUUAAUAGAACCCUCACUCAAUUAAGAGUUUAAGGAGAUGGAUGUAGGCGGACUUGUGCCGAACCAUUCAUAAAAACUAGUACUUGCAUUUGUAUUUUCUCUACAUACUUGCAAUAUUACUUACUUUCUAAAUUUAAAUUUGUAAAAAGUGACUAUUACUAUUCAACUUUUUUGUAAAGUGAUUACCUUGCAUUGGUAUACCUCAAAUUGUAAUAAAAACCACAAAACAUAAGAACAACAAAAUCAAACACUUAUCCUAUAGGAUAGUGUGAACACUUAUAUAAAACCAAACCAGAUUUUUUAUUCAAGCCUUCUUGAAAAGGAACAAUGAUAAUCAUAUAGUAGAAAAGCUUGAAGAAAGAAUUAAGGUCAUAUGCAAAGAGCUUGUCUUUUUUCCUUUGUUAGGGCAUUGUUUUUGAGAAAAGUUAUGAAGGAGACAUGCGGAAAUUCAUUUUUCAUUUUUUAUUUUUUUUAAAGUCCAAGUGUUUUGAUUACGUGGCAUUUGACGGCAAUCCCACAUCGAAUUGCUUAUGUGGCUGGAGGAGUAUGGGCAAAUAUGGAAUUCUUAUUUUAACAUCCUUGAAGUGCUUAUUUGAGAGACCAUUUCUACAUGAUGUAGCUGGUAUUUGCCCUUAGGAUUUUCUAAGCAUAGAGCAGUGUGUAUCAUACUCUCUCUUCAGUAAUUGAAUGGCAGUACACACCACAUCAACCACCACAGCAAUCCACACCUCUUGGUCAAUUCUUCACAUUAUUUUUUAAACCCUCACAUACAAUUGGCUAUAAUAUAACAUGGAGUUGCAUGCAUAAUUGAUCUUUUUAUAUCAAACAGCAUAUGUUUCCAUGUUUAAAUAAUUUUAUUUUACGAGGUUGUUUCCCAACUUCUCCAUUAAAAUUUGUACUAGUUUAUAUAUUUUCCAAACACGGAUCAGUGCAGCCCAUGUGCCCCUCUCUCUGCCACGCUUUCCUUUUCCAAACCUUGUUGACCCAGCAACCACCAUUGCAAUCUACACCAGUUGCUCACGUCUGGGCAGAGAAAAUUUUCAAUCUCGCUUGUUUCUUUUGUCUCCACUGCCUGCCCUUCGAUUUCUGGAAAGAACUAGCCGAUGGAGGUUGUUGGAGAGUCUGUUCUUUCUGCUGCCCUCCAAGUUCUGUUCGGUAAGUUAGUUUUCCCUGAGUUGCCCAACUUUGCUCACCAAGAGGGGGUCAUUGCUGAACUUGAAAACUGGAAGGAGAAACUGAUGAUGAUUAAUGAAGUGCUAGACGAAGCUGAGGAGAAGCAGACAACAAACCCGUCCGUGAAAAACUGGCUUGACAAUCUCCGAGACUUGGCUUACGACAUGGAAGAUGUGCUGGAUGAGUUCGCGACCGAGCUGUUGCGACGCAGGUUGAUGUCAGAAGGUGCUGAUCAGGUGGCCACAACAAGUAAGGUACGGAGCCUCAUCUCGACUUGCUUUACUGGUUUCAAUCCUGUUGAUGAAGUUAAGUUUAAUAUUGAGAUGGGGACCAAGAUCAAGGAAAUCACUAGGCGGUUAGGCGAUAGUUCAACCCGGAAAGCUGAGCUGGGUUUUGAUAUGGUCCCGGGUGUUGAAACAAGUUGGGGAAGUUUUGCAUCUGGAGCAGUUUCUACUUGGCAACGACCCCCUUCUACAUCUUUGAUUAACGAAGCUGUUCACGGCAGGGAUAAAGAUAAAGAAGUCAUUAUUGAGAUGCUGUUGAAGGAUGAAGCAGGUGAAAGCAACUUUGGGGUAAUUCCCAUUGUAGGUAUAGGUGGGAUGGGGAAAACUACACUGGCCCAGUAAAUAUACAGGGAUGAAGAAAUAGUGAAGCAUUUUGAGCCAAGGGUGUGGGUGUGUGUAUCAGAUGAGAGCGAUGUAGAGAAGUUAACGAAGAUAAUUCUCAAUGCCGUCUCUCCGAAUGAAGUCCGUGAUGGGGAUAACUUUAAUCAAGUGCAGCUCAAGUUAAGCAAUAAUCUGGCUGGAAAAAGGUUUUUGCUAGUUUUGGACGAUGUGUGGAACAUCAACAAUUAUGAGCGAUGGAAUCACUUACAGACUCCCUUUAAGUCCGGAGCUAGAGGAAGUAAAAUUGCAGUAACAACACGUCAUGGGAAUGUUGCAUCUUUGAUGAGAGCAGACAGCUUCCACCAUUUGCUCAAGCCUUUAUCCAAUGAUGAUUGUUGGAAUGUAUUUGUGAAACAUGCAUUUGAAAACAAGAAUGCCAAUGAACAUCCAAAUUUGGAAUUAAUUCAACAAAGGAUCGUAGAGAAAUGUAAUGGCCUGCCCUUAGCAGCAAGGAUGCUUGGUGGGCUUCUACGCUCCGAACCACAGGAUCGAUGGGAACGUGUACUGAGUAGAAAAAUUUGGAAUAAGAGUGGUGUUUUUCCAGUGCUAAGAUUAAGCUAUCAACAUCUCCCUUCACAUCUAAAAAGAUGUUUUGCUUAUUUUGCGUUGUUUCCAAAGGACUAUGAAUUUAAGCAAAAAGAGCUAAUUUUAUUGUGGCUGGCAGGGGAUUUAAUUCAUCAAGCAGAAGAAGAUAACUGUCAAAUGGAAGAAGAUCUAGGUGCUGAUUAUUUUAAUGAAUUGUUAUCAAGAUGCUUUUUCCAACCAUCAAGUGACUAAAUCCGGAUUCAUAAUGCAUGACUUGAUUAAUGAUCUUGAUCAAGAAGUUGCUACAGAAAUAUGUUACAAUUUUGAGAAUAUACAUAAGGUCUCUCAAAGGACUCGUCAUUUGUCAUUCGUGCGUGGUGAGUAUGAUGCGUUAAAAAAAUUUGAAGUCCUCAGUAGACUAGAGCAAUUACGAACAUUUGUUGCAUUACCCAUCACACUAGAUAAUAAGAAGAAAUGCUACUUAAGUACUAAGGUGCUUCAUGACUUGUUGCCAAAGUUGAGACAAUUGAGGGUGCUCUCUUUGAGUGGUUAUGAAAUAAAUGAGUUACCAGAUUUGAUUGGUGAUUUCAAACAUUUACGAUAUCUUAAUUUGUCUUCUACAAAAAUCAAACAGUUACCUAAAACAGUAAGUGGUCUUUACAACUUACAAUCGUUGAUAUUAUGCAAUUGUGUGCAACUCAUUAAUUUACCUAUGAGCAUCAUAAAUUUAAUCAGCCUUCGCCAUCUUGAUAUUAGAGGUUCAACUAUGUUGAAAAAGAUGCCUCCACAAGUUGGCAAGUUGAUAAAUUUGCAAACGUUGAAUAGGUUUUUUCUAAGCAAGGGUAAUGGGUCACGAAUAAAAGAAUUGAAGAACUUGUUGAAUAGGAGAGCUUAGCAUUUCAGGGUUGAAAAAUAUUUUGGAUCCAAGAGAUGCGAGGUAUGUCAAUUUGAAGGAGGGACAGAAUAUUGAAGACUUAAUCAUGGUAUGGAGUGAAAAGUUUGGCAAUUCAAGGAAUGAAAGCACCGAGAUAGAGGUCCUUAAGUGGUUGCAACCUCAUCAAAGUUUGAAAAAACUGAAUAUUAUAUUUUAUGGUGGCUCAAAAUUCCCAAAUUGGAUAGGAGAUCCAUCCUUCUCCAAAAUGGUGUAUCUGGAUCUUAUAUAUUGUAAAAAUUGCACAUCUUUGCCAGCACUAGGGGGACUACCUUUCCUCAAAAACUUGGUGAUUGAAGGCAUGAAUGAAGUUAAAAUCAUAGGCGAUGAGUUCUAUGGGGAGACUGCAAAUCCUUUUCGGGCUUUAGAACAUCUGAGAUUUGAGAAAAUGCCCCAAUGGAAAGAUUGGUUAAUUCCUAAAUUGGGUCAUGAGAAAACCCAAGCAUUGUUUCCUUGCCUCCGUGAGCUUAUAAUAAUAAAAUGUCCAAAACUCAUCAACUUAUCUCAUGAGUUACCUUCCCUUGUGACGCUUCAUGUUCAAGAAUGCCAAGAAUUGGAAAUUUCAAUUCCACGACUUCCACUUCUUAUUAAAUUAAUAGUAGUUGGGUUGUUAAAAAGUUGGGUUGUUGAUGUCCCCUCGCUCACCCAAUUAUACAUUUGGAAGAUUUCAAGCCUGAGUUGUUUAUGGGAAAGGCUUGCACGGAGCUUAAUAGCCAUUGAAGAUCUGGGAAUUGCUGAAUGUGAUGAACUGGCAUGUUUGAGGAAGCCUGGAUUUGAACUAGAAAACCUUGGUGGUGUGCGACAUUCAUGGAUCAAAGGGUGUCAUGGGGUUGUAUCCUUGGAAGAGCAGGGGCUGCCUUGCAAUCUUCAAUACUGGGAAGUGAAUGGAUGUUACAACUUAGAGAAGCUGCCUAACGCAUUACACACCCUCACAUCUCUUACAGAUUUGCUAAUUCAUAACUGCCCAAAACUCCUAUCAUUCCCAGAGACAGGUUUGCCACCUAUGCUAAGACAUCUUGGGGUGAGAAAUUGCAGGGUUCUGGAAACACUGCCUGAUGGAAUGAUGAUGAACAGUUGUAUACUUGAGUACAUGGAAAUUAAAGAGUGUCCAUCGUUUAUUGAAUUUCCAAAAGGUGAGCUACCCGCCACCCUCAAGAAGUUGACGAUUGAAGAUUGUUGGAGACUAGAGUCUCUACUUGAGGGAAUUGACAACAACAACACUUGUCGACUUGAAUGGCUACAUGUAUGGGGAUGUCCAUCUCUCAAGUCCAUUCCAAGAGGCUACUUUCCCUCCACACUUGAGAUACUUUCCAUUUGGGACUGCGAGCAAUUGGAGUCGAUUCCAGGGAAUCUACUGCAAAAUCUCACAUCUCUUCGACUUCUGAACAUAUGUAAUUGUCCAGAUAUGGUGUCCUCUCCAGAAGAGUUUUUGAACCCCAACCUUAAAUAACUUUCUAUUUCAGAUUGUGAGAAUAUGAGAUGGCCUCCACUGGAUGGGGCCUCGACACACUCACCUCUCUUGGUGAGCUAUUUAUUCAAGGCCCAUUCCAAGAUCUGCUUUCUUUUUUUGGCUCUCACCUUCUUCUUCCUACAUCUCUCACCACUCUCCGGUUGGGAAAUCUCUGCAAUUUGAAAUCCAUAGCCUCCACGAGUCUACAAAGCCUCAUCUCUCUUAAAACCCUUGAAUUCCACAUUUGCCCUAAGCUCCGGUCCUUUGUGCCAAAUGAAGGGCUGCCAGCAGCACUUGCAAGACUUGUAAUCAGGGAAUGUCCCUUUCUAAAAGAGAGGUGCCUCAAGGACAAAGGAAAAGAUUGGCCUAAGAUUGCCCACAUCCCCUACGUGUAAAUAGAUGGCAUUGUACAACAAUUAAAAAACAAAUAACAACUUCAAUCAGGUACUCCCAAUUCUCUAUUAUCUUCCAUCAAAAGUUCGACAUUCUAAUUGCUACCAUCUCUAUAAUAUUUGUGCCUCCCUUUUGUUUUGUAAUCAGGGGUUUGCCAUGGUCAACAAUAAGCUACAAUGUUUUGUGCUCAAAACCUCGACUCUCAUGAAUGUGUACCCUUAGCUUUUUCCUUGCUUUUAGGAUGACAGGCCUUCCUACCUUAGUUUAAUAACUGGGUAUUUGGCACUACCCUCUUCCAAAAUAGAGGUGCGUAUUAAUGCAUUGAAUUGUAAGUUCUGAUAGAACACAAUUUCACGAUUUUCAACUCAACAUAUUGCUUUCAUUUUCUAAUAAUAUUGGUGGAAUUUAUGUUGCGCAUAUAGGAUUACAGGAAAAAGGAUUGAUGUAGAGAUGAAAGUAAAAUUCCCUGCCAUUUGUAUCUGCAAGGGUAAAUACAAAAUACCCUACACAUGAAAGGAGAUGUAUUAGAUGCAUCUUUCUUUUUUAAUUUUGGGGUUUACAUGUGAUUCCAGUUUCAUGUGUAAAUUUUCUGUUAAUCAGGUCCAAAGGAAGUUUUUAAGGCCCUAUCAAAUUUGGCACCAACUUCACUUUCUACUAAGGGAUGGGCAGCUUGGUCAACUUGUAGAACUAACCCACAACAAUGGGCCCUCAAGUUGGUACUCCAUUUUGCUUAAAGCCAGUAUACUAUUUCAAUCACCAUUACUUAAUAAAAGGUAUUCAUGAUUUUGUUUUAUUUCUGUUUCAUUCCAAUCUAAAUUUGAAUCUCAUUAUGUUAAUGAAGCCCUUUUAUUUGAUUUUGUUUUGUAUUUUAAUCACACAGGAAUGCUCCUUAUUCAAUGCCUAGGUUUUCUAGGAUUCUGGCAUUUGCUUGGAAAUAUGUAUUGCAAAAAUGGGAGGGGUAUAACUUUCUCAAACUUUGAAACUGAACAUUGCAUUUCAUCGGGUUGUGUUUAACUUUCUUAUCUUUUUUCUCUCUUUCUGCUUAUGCCACUUCAACUUUUAUGACUAAUUACAUGACAUUGUAAUUGUUGUUGGCCUAGAUAAUACCUUUUCUACUGGCAAUUGGUAUGUCAAGUGGUUCAGGAUGCACAGAAAGGGAAUAUAUCCCAGGUUGUUCUUUUUCUCAUUAUCUCUCUUCUCACUCUCAUUGAUUUCAAAAAUGUGUUCUUUCAAAUUUAUAUUAGCAUAAUAUAAAUUGAAGAUAAAAUCCCCUAAUAACAGGUGGUAGUUAGGUCUUUGUAAGUUAGUUGUUGAAAGUAAAGAAGAGAGGGCAAUUAUUGGUUCAAUCAACAAUUAGUACCUCCCUUGCUAUGUGCUUUGGUCUAGGUGCAAGAAAUGAGAUUGAACAAUGCCCUCCCUCUGCUUCCCGCCUUUUCUUUUCUUUUAUUUUUUAUUUUUUAUUCUUAUUUCUUUCAUUUUUUUUCUCUUUAUAUUGAACCUCAUGACUCUCAAGAAAUGGCUCUCAAAGACUCCUGGCAAGAUAUUGGUGAAUUGUAAGAAUAUUUGUAAUGGUAAUGUUAAGAUUGCAGAAUUCAAAAAUAAUCAGAAGAAUUUAUUGAAGAGCGGUUUGAUAAAGAGGUGAAAUAACUUAUCCAAAGGAAGGAAAUUACCUAACGUUGAGAGGGAAGAGUGGAUCCUUUCCACACCAUGAGGAGCUUAAAAAGAGGGAAAACUAAAAUGAUAACCCUUGGAUCCUCUUACAAAGAGUCAAGUAUGGACUCCUGCUUUGGCAAGAGCAAAAUUUGCUAAGGGAUGGUCUAAGUUAGUGUGGACCCGCAUUUUUCACGUGCGCCCCCACUCGAUCGGCGAGACUCGCUUUUUAUUUGUGAAAAUUUAAUUUUUGGAAAAAAGUUGGAGUCGCUACUUAUUUUAUUUUUAUUUUAAAGAGAAAAUAAAACAAGAAAGAAAAACCCUAAAAUGUGACUCCAUAAUUUUCGGAAAAAACAUGUCUUUGAAAAACCCGAGUCUAAGUCCGGGGAUCAGGUUACCUAUUGGGAAGGUACCUUUAAAAGGUAGCACCCCUCUAAGCCCUUUAAAGGUCUCUACUAACUAAGUUAAGGGGAAUGUGGCAAUUAAUCGGUUUAAUUAUGGAUACCUAAGUAGGCUAGGUGGUUCCAAAAAAAUAGCAUGCCAAACAAGAUCAAAUCAUAAUAAAGGAAGGUUAGGAUGCGUAGCCGGACCGCUUCUCAAGCGCUAUCAUAAAACAUCGAUGGUUAAUUUAAACAAUAUAUCAUCCAGUAUGUAUUUUAUUAGAAAUAAUCAAACAUUGAAACAUGUAUAUCAGAACACUCAAGCAUUAUUAGACAUAAACAUUAUUUCACAAUGACAAGCAUAUUCACAGAAUUCAGAAACUAGGUGAUAGAGGACAUAUCUGGAUAGCAUAGAUAAUUUGUAACGUGCUUCCUCAAGUUGUAAGGGGUUAGAUAACAAAUAAUAAAAUAUAGAAAUCCUAGCAUGCUCAUUAUCUAACACUACUACAAAAAUACUAAAUAAUGGCGUUUAAUUUCUUGACACUUUUAAAAAACGUCAAUGAAUUAGAUCAAUAAUGGCGCUUUCUAAACAAUGACGCUUCCUAGAUAUUUACAUUGGCGUUUGAAGAAAUUUGAUUAACAUUGGCGUUUACGUAUAUAAAACAAUGAUACUUUUAAUAAGAUGGCGCUUGAAAACGUGUCAUUGUAAAAUAAGAACAACCUUGGCGCUUGUUACAAAUGUCAUUGUCUCCUCUGUAUGCAUAACUGGAUUCCUUGGCACUUGUUCUAAGGGUCAUUAUCUCCCAUUAUAUAUAUACUAGUCAUAAUUUCCCUCCACUAACAUCUCAUUUUCACGAACCCAUCUCAAAUCGACAAACCCCCAUUUGUAUAGGAAAGCUACCUACCGGCAAUUUCAUCGACGAACACAUCGACGACCACCAAAAGCCAACUAGUGACCACCAGCAACAAACUGGUGACGUCCAACCAUUACUCAAAAACUUUAUUGGAAAUAUUUAGAAACCUAUCCAUGAAGCCCUAACCCAUUAGAGACUCCCAAAAAUCCACCACCACUACCUUCGCACCAAAAUCAUUAUCAUUCUCAACAAGGAGUGCCAGAAGCUUAACCUUCUAGCUGCCAAUCACCUACACAUGAAUCCUCUUGAACAUGGGUAACCAUUUCCUCUUUUCAUGUUGAGAUAUUGAGUUUUAAUUUUGUUUUAUUGUUGGAUCUAUUCUUGUACGGUGAAUUUCGAAUACUGCAUUUCAUUGUGUUAUAGAUCUGACUAGUUUAGGGGUAUGUGUUUGGUAACGUUCACAGAUUUGGUUUGGUGGCUGGGAGUACUAAGGAAAGGGAUCGACAACACUUAUGUCAUCUCAAGCACCAAUUGAAUAGGUCAGCCAUAUAAUUUCUUUACCUUGAAAAAAUCUAAUGCAAAACAGAGACUUAUGAAGUUUGUUCUUUCAUAUAUCUCUUUCAGACAAACCCCUCUUGUUGUUUCUCCUUUUGACCAGUAUUUUUCACAAAGUUGAUUCUUUCUCCCUGUAUUUGCUUCUUUGGGAGAAGAGAAAGAGAGAAAAAGAGGGAAGAGGAAGGAAGGUGAUGCUCUUCUGCAUGUGAGCAGUUGCAACUGCUAAGCUGGUGGACAUAGUUUGAAGCAGUUAAAAGUAGGAUAAAGUUGUUAGGUGCUGUUGUGCUUUAGUUUCAGGUGAGCUUUGAGUUCUCAGAUUGCCUGUAAGAUCACAUACUUUGAAUACUAUGAGCUUUUUCUAGGGCACGAAAUAUUGAUAUGAUCACACCCACGCCAAUAACCCCUUACUCCUGCCUUUACUCUUUGCCAUUCAUAAACCUGUUGCUAUCAAGAGUUUUAAAAAAGACAAGUCUCUACAUGCCUGCUUUCACGAUUUUAAAAAGGAUGAGCAAGCCCAGGAUAUGAUUUUAUCCACUAAUAAUACAAAACCAUAGUAAAUAUGACUAGUCUCAUGUAAAUUUGCAACUUGCUAAUAUUGCGCACUAAUGUCACUUACAUGAAUAUUUAUAUGAGAAGAUCCUCUGUUAAGAGAAAUCACUGUGAGUCAUCGACAAAUGUCAGUGAUUCCAACAAACAUUACCAUGAUAUUGUAUAAUAAUUCUUAGCUGAAUUCUGAAUCAUAUAUCAAUCUAUGCCAUGAACCAUAUUUUUAUGCCAUCUAACUCAUGGAUCAUUCUCAUUCUCAUUAUUUUUAUUUACUUAUUUUUGGUAGAUUAAGCUUGGGAUCAAGCUCACAAGUUUCAUAGCGGCAAGUCAUGGCACCAUUAAGUGACAGGUAAGAGCUCAACCUCAAUAAUUAAGUCAAGUUGUGCUUGAUGUGGAGCUUUCUGUCCCUACCUCCGGAUUCCAUAUGGGCCAUGUCAUGUUGGUUGCUGGUUUUUGCUAUCUUUAUUUGAGAGACUCACACAUAUCAUUUUACCAAAACUGAAACUUUAAUUAAGAAAAAAAAAAAAAACCAGAGUUUUUCAUCUGCUAUGCUUCAACUUGCACUAUCAUAUAAUUUAAAUUCUGAACUGUUCUUAGUUCAAAGUUUAAAGUUCAAACAAGGUGUCUGAUGAAAGUGAAGAUGUUGAUUAGGGGCAUGCCUCAUUUUGUAGUUACAGAUAAUACAGCUUGACCCUUUAGAGGCAUAUCUCCUAUCUCUUUUCCCAGGAUUAAGCUUCUGAAUGUGGUUUCUGGGAGAGAUUCUAUAUUUUUUUCAUGAAUGCCCUCAAUCUGAAACUUAUAGUAGCAUAAAAAUCUGACGCAAAUAUUAUUCAAGUCAAAUGCAUUUGUAGCUAGUACACUUAAAGUAGUGUUGUGAAAUCUAAAACUUUUUUAUUCCAGUCAAAUGCAUCUGUAACUAGUAUUGAAGUAGUGUUGAGAAAUCUGAAACUUAUUUAUUCUAAGAACAGAGGAUUAAAUCAUAGAUUGUUUUCUUUUUAGCUAAAAGCUCACUUUUUCGUUUUUUUUUUUGUCUAAAUAAGAGUUUUCCUUUUCUUUUUGCAUCUUGAGAUGCAUUUUUUGAUAAAUGAUGCAUUUUUGGUAUGUGUUGAAAUUUGAAGAUCAAUGCAUCUGUGGAACACGAAAGUAAGUCCUUAGGUACAACUUUUCUUUUAAUUUGAUGGUAUUGUUCUAUCAUUUGCUAAUCAUAUCUUAAGAUAUUAGAAGAAAUACAUUUUUAUUAAAGGCCUCUGGAGCAUACAUCUUUAGGCCAAAUGGUACAAACCCCAUUAACUCUGAAGAACAAGAAUGCAUUAUCCUCCUAGAGCCUUAACUCAUCCCUGACUUAUAAUUAAUGGGAAGUGGAAAAAAAGUUAUUACGUACCAUAUACUGCAAGUUGCUUUUACAGUUCUUCUUGGACCAUUGUUGGAUGAAGUACAAUAGAUAAUCAAUUCAUGGAUAUAUCACAUGAUUUACCUUAGCUGUCAUCAUUUUAAAUCUUCCAUUGUUUGCUUCAUCACUAACCUACCAUUGAUUGCAUACUUGAGAAGAUCACUAGAGUGUACAAGGGAAAAGAGCAUGCUGAAGAUGAUUUUAUAGUAAGCUCAUCAUUUCUAUUUUUGUUCCACUGUGAGCUUAAUUAGAGUUGUAUUUCUCAAUGACACAUUGAAUUUUCAUAUUGGACCAAUAUUGAUGAUAGGCAAGCCAAUGAUUUAGAAAUCAUACCUCUGUUAAAAGAAUCUAUAACUAUAAUCUCUCUUAAAAAAUUAUACUAAUGAAUUUACUUAUUUCUUUACAAAUACAAUUGCAUGGAUUGGAAAUUCCCAUCCUUUUAUGUUUUGGGUAUUACUUUUUUUUUUUUUCCUUUAUUCCUUUUUAAAAACAAGUUUUGCUAUUUUUUUUAAAAAAAAUUCUGGAACUACAUUUUUUUAUUUUUAUAUUUGUGGGUGUUAUAGUGGUGUUUGGUCAGAGGGAAAAUUGAGAGUUGGCUUCAAGCAACAAAGUUUAACUAUGUUCUUUAUAAUAGGUCAUAGUGUUCAAUAGUGAAUAUACUCAACAAAGUUUGACUAUGUUCUUUUAUAUAUAGAGUGAGGUGAAACCUAUCUAGACCAACUUUAAAAGAUAAGACUUCCCUAGUUGUGUACAAAGGGAUAAGAUGCAUUUACCCUAGUUGUGACUAAGAUACCGGAAAAGUAGUUAUCUUGAGAAAUAAUGAUGAAUGUGAGUGAAAAAAAAAAGAAGCAAAGAAAGCAAAGUAAGCAAAGUUGCUAAUGAAGAAUGUGACUCCAAAAUAAUAUCUGGAUGAGGAAAUCACUCCAUCUUACCUUCCAACAAGAAACAAAACUCAUGUUAUUAGUGAUACAUAGUAUUUAGAAAAAUAAGACUCUAGUUCUCGUCGCUACCAACAAAGAAUUAUUGCGUCCAACCAUGCUAUUGAUGAUAAGUAGCAUUAGAAAAUAGUUUUUUUUCCUCUUUCUUUGUUCUUUUUUUUUUUUAAUUCUAAUUCACAUAAAGAUGAAUUGUUGCUUGUACUACCAACAAAGAAUUAUUUCCUCUCAUAAAAAAUACUUGUGCAAGGCAAUGUCAUGCUUCCUAGUAAAAACCUGAACAUCCAGAAAGUUGUCCAAACUUUGGUAAUUUUAUUUGAAGUUAAGGUUUAUCUUCCAUUUUUAUAACCCUAACUUUAUUUAUUUAUAUGCAUACAUGCAUGUCUGUUCUUCGGAAUGGCAUGGUGUAUAAUGAUGUAACAAUUGAUCCUUCCAUUAUUAUAAUUAGUCUUAUUGAUAAACAAUUCAAAAAAGCCUAAUAGAAAUAAAUCACUAGUUCAACAAGUAAUAAAAUUCUGACAUAGUUGAAACAACAAGCUAAAGAGCUAAGAAUUGAAACUAAUUAAUAGAAAGCUAAUAUUGAUAAAAAUAGAAAUCUUAAUUUUACUAAUGUAGAUAGGAAUCCUAAUUUGAAUGAAAGUAGGAAUCAUUCUUAUAUUCUAUGCCUUGAAUAAUCUUGUAAAGAGUGGUUUUGAUUGUCAUCAACAAUUUGGUCAUGAGGUGGAUAAUUUUGUGAACCCACUAUAUGUUAACUCAAAUGCAUUAUCUUAAGCAAAUUCUAAUAUGGGCAUCCGCAGACAAAAAAUUCUAUUGGUAGGUAAUUGUACCAUAAAUCUUGUAAUUACUUUCUCUAAUCUCUUGCUCAUACCCUUGAUGAAGGCUAGAUAUUUUAUUAUAUUGCCCCUCCCCCCUCCCCAAUGAAAGUCAACAUUCACCACAACCAACUUAGUUUGUGGUGAGUUCAAACCAAUCCAUUGUUAGCCAGCCACUACCACCUUCAUGUACCUUACCUAAUUAUAAUUAGUUUUAUUUGUUUGUAGCUAGGCUUAAAUAAACUACAUAUUGGUUAUAAUAAUAUAUCAACAUGAUGGAUUUGGGGUGAAAAUAGAUUCUCAAAUUCAAAUUCUUAAACCAAAUAAGAGAAUUAGUGGGAUGAAAAUAUAACACAACAUUCUUAAGACCCUAUUAGGUGGACCGGAACAUGACGGAAAGGAUAAAAUAUAAAAAUCAUUUAAAGAUGAGGGGACUAAAUGUAUUCAUGUUAAGAUUGUUAACGCAAUCUUAAAAGUCUUGCUCUUCAACACCAUCCUAUAGAAUAUGCAUAUGUAUAUUAAAAAAAUGCAACCAUUUUUCAUUUUUGUUAUUUUCUUUUUAGAAAUAAGAAGUAUUAUUAAUAGUAAUAAUUGGCCUCUAUACAUUAAAAUAUAUAGUCUAAUUCUACAUAUAUGUGUCUCUUCUUCCAUUUUUCCAUUUGAUCAAUAAAAAAAGAUGAGUGAUGAUUGAAUGGGAAAUUUUACUUCUAUAAGAAAGCAACCUAUAAAAAAAUUAAUGAAAGAAAUUUUCUAUCUAGGUUUGAAAAUUUCUGAGAAAAUAUAACAUGAAAAUAAUUAAUGGUAAGGAAAAUUUACAUCUUUUUUCUUUAUUUUCCCCAUUAUUUAUAGCUUUUAAAGUUUUAGAGAAGGAACUCCCCUAGUCUUGUAUUCCUUUGGUAUUUUCUUUGUAUAUUUCAAUUUUUUAUGUUCACUACUUUGCUUGUAGAACAUUUAUUUUGGGUUAGUCGUUUAUAUCAUGUUUCAUUUAUCCUCUUAUUGUUUUGGGGUAACAUGAAUCAUUAUUUUUAACUUUUUGAUGUUAUAUCAUAUUUAGAAAUAUAUUACUUUUGAAUAAUUUUUUUUUUUUUUUUACUAAUGAAACACUAUUUUAUUACAAAGUUUCUUUGUUCAAUUAGUGAAAGACAUUUUAUCUUUAAGUGAUAAGUUCUAACUAUUUUUCUCUAACUCAUGUUUAUUUUUCUCAAAAUUUUCUACAUUUCAUUUUAUAUUUGUUUAAUGUUUUUCUCCUUUAGAUUUUUGUGAAAGUUAUAUAUAGUUUCAAUUGCACUUAUUGGUUGUUACAUGUAUAAUUUAGAGGUUUUUUUUUUCUUGUAUUUGUUUACAGGUUGCGAAGAAAAUUGAUUUGCCAAAAGAAGAGAAAUCAUUAUGUUAAAGGAGGUGAUGUUGAAAACUAUGAAGAUUACAUCAAUAUAGUCAUUUGGAGGUUAAACUGUAUUUUUUAUAGAAUAUAGAUGUUAAUAGUUGCACUAAAUAUUUGUUCUUUUGUUGAAAGAAUUAGAUAUUGUUCUUGAAAUAUUUUGAUUUAAUUAACAGAUUUGUAUAUAAUUAUUGUAUAUAAGUAGUUACAUUGAUGGUUUGAACUAAGUUAUUGUAUAUUAAUAUUUCAAGAUAUUUUCUUUAAUUAGUAAAAUUCAAUUUAAUUUUGGGGGGUUUAUUUUUUAUUUUUAUUUAAUUAUAUAUGAAAUCAUUAUUUUAAUAACAGAAUACAAAUAUUAUUUUUAAUAAGAAAUGUUCAAAAAUGGUGUUUCUAUUAAGUGUCAUUGUUAACAUGAAUCAAAGACGACACUUCUGAAAGUGUCAUUGAUAAAAUAUAUUAACGAUGACACUCUUAUUGAGUGUUAAUGUUAUUCAAAGAUGACACUUUUUUAAAUGUCAUUAAAGGUAUUCAUCAAAGAUGGCGCUUCCUAAAAGCGUCAUUGUUGGUUAAAACAUACAAUGACAGGCCAGAAGACAACGCUUUAGAGAAGCGUCAUCUUCUACAUUUCUUGACACGUAAAAAGCGUCAUUGUAUCUCAUUUUUCUUGUAGUGUAAUUAGCAUAGAAAAAGUGAUCAAAGUAUACAGAAUCAUCAAUUAUCACAUACAUCUUGUAUAUAAUUCCUAAAAAAAUAGAUAGACAUGACUUCAACAAGUGUCAAAUGUGGUAACAAAAAUAAAUUUUGAAAAGAUUUUCUUAUGUAGGGGUUUCACAAAUUCCCCAAUCAAUAUACACGAAUUUAGCUUAGAAUUAUCCCAUUUAUUUGGGACCACAAGCUUUGAUUCAUGUUUUAUUCAAAACUGUAAUUUUAUUUGAAAGAUGUGAACCGAUCAAAACAUGGUUGCACAUUAUUUUAAAAAAAAUGAGAUUUUGAUUCUAAGAACUCUAAAUAAAUUUUUGAAAUGGAUUGUUAAGGGGAUCUUUUGACUCUAAGAAACUCUAAAUGAAUUUUUGAAAUGGAUUUUUAAGGAAAAUUAGAUUUUGAGAAUAAUGUUGUAUUUUAAAAAUAAAAAGAAAUUAAUUUGAAAGCAAUAAAGUGUAUGAAUCAAAAUACCAAGCAAAACAAAAGAGAACAAAAUUACAAAGUAGAAUUUUUGACAACCAAGAAAAUUGAAGGUGAGAAUGGAGGCUAAUCUUCAUGAGUUUCCAAAAGCCUCAGAAAAAGAAAUCAAAUUAAGUGAAGGAUCACUAAAGCAACAGGCAAGACAUUCUAAAUUAGACAAACUAACAAAGUAUCAAUUCAUGAACUAACUGUUAGGGUUUUAAAAGCAUAUAAUUUUAGACAAGGGUGAUCAGUAUCUAACAUUAAUGAUUUUGAAGCAAAAACUAAAAAGGCAUCAAUUCAGGUAAGGAACUAAAACUAUAGAAGUACCUAAACUAAUUAAAACGAGUUUGACUAAUUAAACUAAAAACGUGUACUUUCAAGCAUAGAAUUAAUUUUACUAAUGAACCAAAAGUUAUAAAAGUGUCUAAACUAAAUAGAUGAAUUAAAUUAAAUCAAAGUACACUAAAAACAUGAACUUUUAAAUAAAGAAUCAAUUUUAUCAUUAAAUAAAUAAAACUAUAAAAACACAUAAAUUAAUUAAAAUGAACCACAUUAAAUCAAAGAAUACUACAAAAAAUGAACUUUCAAAAUAUGGGAUCAAUUUUAUCAAUAAAUAAAUAGAUGAAUAACAAGUAAUUAAGAGAGUAGCAAACACAUGAAUAAAUGAAUAAAUGAAAAUUCAAACAUUUUUAACUUGAAGCAACCAAUCAAAAUUAAAUAGGGAUCAAAUUAUUCUUCUUUUUUUUCUAAUAUAAUGAAUCAAAAUUAAAACACACAAACUCAUUCAAGCUAAACUAACAAAUAGAUUAAUACUAAAUUAUAUUAGGACUAAAAAAAAUUCACUUCAUCUAAUAAAAUUGAUUAAGCUAUCAAAUUGGAAUUAAAAAGAAUGCAUUUUUAAAAUAAAACAAAUUAAUAAUUUAGUGACUCGAAACUGAAAUAAUCGAAAUUAGAAACAAGAUGCAAUCUUUCUAAAGGUUUAAUCAAACAAUUGAAUUAAAAUUAUGAAUAUAAUAAAUUAAUAAACCAAAUCGAAACCUCAACCUUAUCAAAGAAAAUUAAUUAAUUAAGCUAAUAGAUCAAAAUCAACAACGAAACUAAACUAAGGAGUAAACUAAGACAAAACCAAUUAAAUUAAAAUCACAAAUACGUUUAAACUAUCAUAUGGAUUAAAACAAAUUAGCAUGGACUUAUGAAUUACGAACCCAUAGAAAAAGACAUCUAAUAAAAGAAUGAAAACUCUUUCAAAAACUAACCUGUGUUAUGGGAGAAAAAUCCGUCUUUGAUGCGUUGAAGUGGCUGCUCUAUUCAAAUUUGAAAGCCUCUGUUACUUCCCUUUGUCCAGAAAAUUCUCCCUCCUUUAUGUGUUCUCUCUGCCCCAGCAAAAAAAAUAUCUUUCCGUGUGGAUCUCUCUGCUAAAAACCCCUUUAGAAAAGAACUCUCUUCUCUUUUUAUGUGGCAGCCUCCCUUUAUAUGGAAUAUCCUAUUUCCUUUUUCUUUCUAACACACGUGGAUGGCCUCUCCUAAAAAAUCCUUCACUUGCCUCUUUUUCAGAAAAUUCCCUCUUCAAUUUAUAUGGCGGCCUUACCUUAUGGAAUAUUUUCUUUUUCCUUUUGGAGAUGUAGGUAGAUAUGGGAAGUAUGGCUCGCUUGGAGAUUCCCAAGGAUACGUGUGUCCCAUUUGGUAAGCGUCUAGAUCUUAAUGACUGCAUCAUCUGCCGUUAAUUGGAUUGAUCAGGCUGGAACCUUAUCCUACACCAUCACACGCUGGAACAUUCACAUCGUAAUGCAAACUUCACCGGAAAAAAAAAAAAGACAAAGAAUAUUCCGGUAGCUUUGUAAGAUCGACAAAUCAAGAUUUCUCUUCUUUUCCCAUGGCGAACGCGUGGCGGUGGGUCGUGGUAUUUUCCAGCAUAAAUCUCCAUUCAUUUUCGGUGAUGGCUGCCAGAGUUCGACCCUGUUUGGGUGAUGUGACCAUGGCGUCUUUCCUCACGGAGGAGAAACUCCAAUCUUAUUGACGGAAAACACGUCGUUCAUCGGAAAAUACCCCAUUGACUUCUCAACGACCUCGAAAACUGUGAAGCCUAUAAUCAUCAUCACCACGACAGCAGCUAGCAGCACUAUUCUCGUCGUUAUAACUCCGGCUGUCAUUCGUCCUCAGGCAUGGUGCGCAUGUUUUCUUGCUCACGUGUCCUUCAUGCCAGAUCAUCCUCUCCAGAGACUUCCAGAGAAACUCCAAAAAUGCCUGACCUCCCAUGCCCUCCUCACGUGACAGCUGCAUCAACUUCAUCCUUCUUUAAAAUUCCUCUCCCAUGCAAAAUAGAAUAGAAUAAUAGUAUAAAAAAAAUUAAAAGAAAAUUAAAGAAACUAAUGAAAUUAGUAAUAAAAUAGAAUAUGAUUUCAAAGAAAAAGCAAGGGAAUAAGGAGAGAUUAGAUAAUAUCAUUUCCUCGUUCAAUAAUAGGGUCACAUGCGUAUUUAAAGUAUAAACAAUUCAAGCAAUUUUUUUAUUAAGUAAAUAAAAAAAUAAAAAAAUAAAAUAAAUAAAGAGAAUUAAAUACAUGAAUAAAUAAAUAAUAAAAAGUAAAAGUAAAAAUGAAUAGACAAAAUAAAUGUAAUUAUCAAAUACAUGCUAUAAUAAUAAUAAUAUUAUAUAUAAUAAUAAUAAUAAUAAUAAAAUGUUGAGCCUCAAUGAAAUGUCUAAAUGGACCUAUUCUGAAAAAGGUGUCUAAGUGACCCAAGUGACAUGUGUGUAAGUGAGGAGGUGUCUCGGUGUGAGUCAAGGUGAAUCUAGGUGGGCCUAGGGUGGUGCCUAAUGGGCCAGGUGUAUCUAAAAGUUAUCCUAAAAAGAAUAACAAAAGCCUAAGUCUAAAUUAUGGCUGCCAAGGGUCACAAUAAGGGGUCAGAUAAUCCCUCAACCAAAAUCUCCAAGAUGACUCGGAAAAGGUAAGUUGUACGAGUAGUAAUGGGUCACCAAGGAACUACUGUGGAACACUGAAAACGAGUUUAAAGACAUGUGCUAAAUGGACAAAAUUGAGGGUCUACAGUUAGGAAUAUCAUAAUCUAUGAAGUAUGGAUUUCUGCUUUUCCAACAUGCCACCUGGUAUGACGCCCAGAAUAAUUUCUUGUCUUAAUGAAACAUGUAGAACAACUUUGGACACACUUGUAAUUUCCAUAUUGCAGAUUCUUUUUUUGAAAAUUGCCAUCUGGAUAUCUAUCAUCUCUAUGCCACAAUAACAAAAGUGUUCUCCUAAGGUCCUAGUCCAACUUUCAAAGCCAUAGACCACCACAAGCCAAAAUUUCUUGAAUAACAAGACAAUUGUAUACUUUAGGACUUGAUAACAAUGAGAAGAAUUUUAGUGGAGGUAGAAUGAAGUAGGUCUGCCCAUGUAACAUUUCCAACAUUCCUUUGACUCUAAAGCCUUUUUUACUCCCUUCCUACUUUUCCAUUCCUUGUCAUGUGUUUGGCUACACCUUCAUGUUCUUUGUCUAUAUACAUGGGAAAUAGUUAUAUUCUUAGGGCUCUUCAUUUAGUACUUCAGUAUAUAUAUUCAACAUACACACACACACACACACACACACACACAUAUAUAUAUAUAUAUAUACACACAUAUAUUAAUUAUAAUCAGAAUUCAUUGCUUGAAUAUUAAUCUAUAAAGAAUCCAUAAAACUUGAUUUUUGCUUCUCUUUGCAUUCCAUACUUAUGCAAUCUUUAAUUGUUGUUGCAUUAGUACUAGUCUUCAAGUGUUGAAGAUGUGGAUGAGGUUCAUACAACAAUUUUUUGCCUUCCAAAAGGUGAGCUACCGACCACCCUUAAGUGAUUGUUAAUUGAAGAUUGUCAUAAACUGGAGAUGUUCAUCCAAGGGAAUUAAGCACCAUGCUUUAAUGGAAAACAAUAACACUUGUUGUCUUGAAUGAAUAGAGGUAUGGGGAUGUUCAUCUCUAAAGUCCAUUCCAUGGAUCUCCAAAGACUCAUCUCUCUUAAAAUCCUUGAACUCUACAACUGCCUAAACUCUCGUCCUUUGUGCCAAAGGAAGGACUGCCACUAACACUUGUAAUAGUUGUAAUGGGGACAUGUCCUAUUCUAAAACAAAUGUGCCUCAAGAGCAAAGGAAAAUAUUAGCCCAAGAUUGCCCACAUCCCCUACAUGGGAACAUAUGACAUUGAAUUACAAUAACAAGUUCAACCAGGCACCCCAAUUCUUUGUAAUCUUGCACCAAAGAUUCUACUCACUAAUUAUUAUUUUGUUUAAAUAUGUUCUAGUCUUUUCUUGUCCUUUUUUACCUCAAGGAUUCUAUUAUUUCUAAAAGAAGCUCCAAGGGUUUCAUGAAAUUGCCAACAACCCACCCUGAGAUAGAUAGCAUUGUACAACAGUAAAAAGUUCAAUCAUGUAUCUCAAUUCAUAAUAGUGAAAUUUCAACUUCUAUGUUUCAUGUGAUUGCAAUUCCAACUUCAAUUUUGCUUUUUAAUUUGCAUAUAAAUGCAUUUUUUUUUUGCAGCAUUUAGUAAUUGGUGGUUCCACCUUAAAUUUUUGUCUUUAUGUUGCUCAAAUGCAUCAUUCUACAUGAUUGGAAUUCUAGUUUUCUAAUUCAUCAACUAAUCAUUUAACAUUAAACUAAAAAUGUGUAAAUCUCACCAUUUUUUAUUCUUCUCGAUUUAGCAAUGCAAAUAUGGAUAUACAAGUAUAUUUUGCAUUAAUAUUUUUUUUUUGGUUAAAUACUCAAAAUUAAAUGCUUUUGAUUUUAUUUAUCAGGCUUUUAUGUUAAUAACAUGGUAAUUCUUUUUCAUUAUUAUGCUACAAGAAAGGAAUAUUGAAUUUCAUAUUGGAGACACCAUGUCUGAAGUGAAUUUGGUGUUAGUUCUUCAUUUUAUAUCAUGGUCAUAGUGAAAAUAAGAUGAAAGAGUACUUAGGAAAAGCAUGCUAUGCUAUUUUCAUUUGUUUAUCUUACAUUCCCCAUUUUGAUUUUAAUAAUACUUAAUUUUUGAAAAUCCAUCCUUUUAACCUCUAAUACAUUCUUCGACUACUUGCUAGAGAAUGGCUCUUGCACUAGGCUUGUUCUCUCAUGCAGCCCAAUUUUGUGAACUCGCAGCAAAUGUGAAAGCCUUUUAAUCACGGUAACCCGAAAAGGCAAUAGAAAAGGCUGCAUGAUCAUCUCAUAUCUCUUGUAGAGUUGAGACUCAUCAUGCUCAAAAAUCUUUUCCUCUGAAGGGACUAUCAUUUUGUGGUUAGUGAUUGUGAGGAGAAUACUUUUAUUAUUGACUUAUCUACUUUUGAAUUCCUCACUGAUUAAAAUUUGAUUAGGAGUUUUGGCUUUUGACUGCAGUUAUAGGCUCUAAACACUAACAUCUCUCUAAAACAAUCACCUAUAUGCAUGGUCCCAUCACUCCAACUUCUCUAGCAUCCAAAAACUCUAGAAUCGGGAAUGUGCACUUAGUUUUGUCCUUAUUGGCCAAAAUAAGCCAUUCCUGCCGCACUUUAAUUUGUAAGUUCUAAUAGAAAGCAAUUUUCACCAUUCUCAACUCAAAAGAUUGCCUUUACCUUUUGAUAAUGAUGGAAUUUAUGUUGUACAUGUAGGAUGGCAUGCAAAUGAAAGCAAAAUUUCUUAGGUCUGGUGUAGCUCAUUGGUAUCUGCUUGGGUAAAUAUCCUAAUCAUGAAAUUUUGUGUUUAAUGAAAGCAAAAUUGUUGCCUUUAGUGGACCAUUCUUUUUUACUUUUGGUACAUGUGAUUCCAAUUUCUAGUCUAACAUUUUUUGUUAAUCACCUCUUGCACUAUUCUCAAAAGGCUUUGAGGUCAUGCAUUACAUAUAAAGACUCAUCAGUUAAAAAAAAACACAAAACUAAUUUUAAUUCUCUUCUUUUUAUUCCGUUUUUAGAUGAUGUGAGUUUUUCCCCCCUUUGGUUUGGUAUGGGCAAGUGGUGUUAAUAGGAGUCUGAGGGCCUCAAGGAGUUAGAGAACAUUAUGAAUGAAAUAUUCAACAAAUGUUGAGAGAAAUAAAAUUAGACAAUGGUGAGAAGAAUAAAUUUCAAAUCCAGGGUGAGCCUUGGUUUUUUGCUUUCCAUGUUUCAAAUUAAGCUUUUAAUAUGUGAUCUCGGUCUUUUAGUUCUGCCCAGUGCUUAUAUUUUUUUUAUGAUCUAAAUUGAGCCUUCACUUCUACCAUGUCUCAAUUGGUGCUUGCAUUUCUAAGUGUCAAGUGUCAUUCUUUUGGAGGUUAUUCAAUUUUCAGACUAUGACAAGAUAAAAUCUCAAUGCAAUCCUAAUUACACGUUUUUCUUUCUAGAAUCAUUUGAACUUAGUAAUAAUUCAACUUAUGUUUUGAAUUUCAGGAUAUGAGACUUGUUUCAUCUGUAAAAGAAUGUAGGUAGAACCCAAGUGAAUCCCACCAUUUGAAAACUUAUGCAUCAAUGGUUGCUGCUCUUGCCCACCCAGAUUUGGAUUUGAGAGACGGAAAUACAAUGCAUCAAUGGUUCAGUUGGGAAAACAGUUUUCAUACAUGGAGAGAGAGCAGAAGAGGAUUCUUGUAAGUAGCCAAGCAUUUCCUUACGUACAAUUUUAUUAAUUGCCUUAAAUGCAUUGUACCUUAUGGAGAGAGAGCAUUGGCCUAUUGCCAAAAUUUUGAAAAAAUCGCCGGCAUUUUGAAAAAAUCAAUGAUUUUUUUACAGUCUUCCUCUAUUGCUUCAUGUGUCACUCUAUGCUCGAUUUUUUCAUCGAUUUUUCACCUCCAAACCGAUAUAUCAUCGAUAUUUCGCCGAUAUUACUGAAAUUUUUUCGAAAUUCUCAUCGAUUGAUAAUUGGUGCCUAAUAUUAUGUCGGUGAUUCGACUCAUGGUAGCUUAGCUUUAAAGGCGUAUCAACAAAAUUUAUACCUUGAAUACUAUUACUAAAGUAGCCAAGCUACUAUAGCAUAGUGGUUCUAGGAUCGUUCACUGGGAAGGGUUUUCGCAAACACAAGUGAUAUUCAAAUUAGGAAAAUAGGUGAUUUUCUUAUGGAUGUUAGCUUUAAAAGAAGAUGUAAAUGUUUUAGAAAGAUUUAAACUAAUCUAAGCUAACAUUAAAGACUAAAAUGAAAGGGUGUAAAAACAAGUUUCUUAAAGAUAGGAUAGCUAUGCUCUGGCUCUUAUGCAAAUUGGAAAUCUCAUAAUAGGCUCCUCGCGUUGGGGUUGCAACUAUGGUGAUGCUUGCUUCCCGAACCGGUAUGGAUUUAGCAAAUCAAGUUUUAAUCCUUUAAAAUGGCAAAACUGAUGGUAGUGAAUUUCAUCAAUGGUUAUUCACCUUAGACUUCCUUUGAAUGGCUCAUAAGAGAUAACUAGUAGUCUAAAGCUAAAAGCUUACCAAAUAUUGGCAACUCAAAGUCAUUCCAGGUGAUAAACUCACCUUUCAAUGGCCAUUGAAAUUGGUUCUAAUGGAUUAAUGCAAAACUUGGAAUUGAAAACCUCACCUUCCAAUAGCUCGUAGGAGAUAACUAAUGGAUAGAAAUCCAAAAGCUUAUCAAGUAUUGGCCGUUGGAAGUUGUCAAAAGGAAAUAAAAACCAAACUUUGCAUUAAUGAACCAUUAAUGAAAAACGACUACCUUACCUUCCGGGUGCGAGAAAUUUCCAUGGGAUUGCAUCCAAGCCAUCACAUAACAUCCAUACUUUGAGAAACUUAAAAGGUUUUAGCCUCUCAUCCUUGGGGAUUUCAUCCACCAAGGAUGUUUGGCUACUAAGAAAAUAGAAAUGGGGAAGAACCGGAGAAGAGAGAAAAAAAAGAACUUUAUAUAUUUCUAUAUCUAUCUAUCAAUAUAUCAAUAUUUGUUACAACGGAUGCAAGGGGAUAUAAAUAGAGAAGUUUUUCCAACCUUCCUAGCUAAGAAAUCUUAUGAUUGGUGGAUUACAAGGAGAAGAAUGGAAAUUUAUACAAAAAUAUCUAAAAGAAAAGAUCUCGUGUGGAGUCGGCAAAAACAGAGGAAAAUUCGCACCACGCAAGGGGGUGUGCGAAUUUGGAAGGUGUUGUGCGAAGAUUUCGCACAAGCCUGGGUCAGUUGUCUUCCGAAGGCCAUAUCUUCCUCAUUUCAGCUCCAAAUCGUACACGGUUUGAAGCGUUGGAUUCUUGACUUCCUGAGCUUUGAAAUGGUAUAUAGAAUGUAGAAAAUGGACUUCGGAAAGUACUCUAAAAGUGCCAAAUAAGACUGCAGCUGCUGUCCUCUGUUUUCCUCUUUGCUUCUUUUUGCUUCUCUUUGCUUCUCUCCUUUUGUUUGCUUGCUUUGGUGUAGCUAAAAGCUUGCUUUAACUUGUCCAAGAAGCUCCUCCAUCAUUUGGCAUGCUUGAAUUGAUUCAUAAGCUGAUAAAAACAUGUAAACUUGCCACAAAAUGGUUAAAACCAAUUACUAAGGACCUUAAUGAAUUAAUUGGGUUAAAUGAAUAUGAUUACUACACAAAGGUGCUUAAAACCAUUAUAAUUAGGUCUACAAAAUAGCACUUUUUGGUAGUAAUCAGUCGGGCACCAUUGAUAUUUGAUAUAUCAACGAUAUUUUGCUGAAAAAUAUGAAAUUUUAAUCUUUGCCUAUAGGCAAGUGUUUCCUCCAUCCCACUCAACUAGAUAUCAAAACAAUCAAAACAUAUUUACUAGGCAAAACCUCAAUAUAUAUAUAUAUAUAUAUAUAUAAAACAGAAAGCAUUGGCCUUAAGUUAGUGAUUAUGCCUAAAAUAUUAAUGCCAAAUUAUCUUCACCAAUAAAUACAAUAUUCUUACUACAUUUUUUCAAACGAUUCUCCAUGGCCAAAAUCUAAAUAAAUAAAAUAAAAAUAAUAUCUUAUAUGUGCCUUUUACAUGUAGUAUAUUGGUUUUGCGCAUGCAUGUAGUAUAAUUAUUUUGUAAAUAAAAUAAUUUUUGAAAGAAGAAAUAAUAGUAAUAAUAAUGAUAAAGUAAAUAAUUGAAAAAAAAUUAAAAGAUAGACUUCAUUUUCUUUUUGCUUUUGCCCUAUUCCUUUUUUUCCUUUCUAGCAACACUACUGCAACAUUACCAUUUUUCAAACCAACAAGCAUCCACUAAGCAACACUCUAUUCUCUCUCUCUGUCUCUCUGUCUCUGUCCCUCUCUCUUUCUCUUUUCCAUUGCAAUCGUGGACCAUGCAGCACCUAUUUUUUGGCAGUUGUAACACCUUCACGUUUUUUCAACCAUGGAGAACUUUUUACUUUAUUCAAAUAUGAUUAACCUUUUAUUUUAUUUUAUUUUCAAUUAAAACAGUCCAUUUUUUUUAUUUUUUUUAAAACAUAAAAAUUAUGGAGAAAAGGAUAAAACAUAAAUUUGAAAUCUUUACCAUAAAAAAUUUUCAAACAAAAAAUAAAGUGCAACCUUCAAAGCUUCUAAGAACAAAGUGAAUGAGUUUGAAGAUAGUUUUUUUAUGUUUGUGCUUUUGAUACCAUGGAUAUCCACAUUUGUACAUGCAUUUUAAAAGAAAUCCAUAACUCUCUACUUGUAUUGAAUCGACUAUUUUUUUUUUUUUUUUAAUAGUAGUCAUUUAUUGUCAUGCCUUAUGAUUGUUGUGUAUAUUUAUAUCCUUAUUCUCUUCAGAUAUUGAUUAUAUAUUAUAGCAUUUGAUUACAUGCUUUAGAUAUCCAACAAAAAAUAAUCGUAGAAAUCAUUGAAGUUCUCUCAACUUGAUAUUAGAUAUUGAUUUAGGGUUUAAAUGGGUGUUAUAACUUAUGUCAUACUGUAGACCCCCAUUUUGGGGUGUAUUUUUGCAAAUCAUUUUUGCCAGGUGGAAGGCUCUUGGAAGACCACGUGUUGCCCUAAGAUUGGUCAUUGGGGAAUUCGUCCAUAAUUGGUGUACUCUUGAUUCAGUCCUUAGAUGAGAGUUAUCAACAAAAUUUAUAAACCUAAUUCACCAUAUACUAGGGUAGCAUAGCUAGCAUAGCAUAAUGGUUCUAGGAUCGUCCAUAGGGAUGGGUUUUCAUUUCACACAUGAUAUUAGUUUAAAGAAUUGGAUUGGUGCUUUUUCUUUUAUGAGUUAGUUUUAAAAGAAAACAUAAUCUUUGGUUGAAAAAUGUUGGUUUUAAGCAAACCAAAAAAAUAGUAACUGAUACUAAUUAUAAAGAAAAGGUUUCUUGGAGUUUCAGGUCACUAGGCUCAGGUUCCUUAUACAAAAGGGGAUAUUCCAGAUCUUUUCCUUGCAUUGGGGAUUUAACCUACAGUUAUCCUCCCAACCGGUGUGUUACAGUUGCUUCCCAUUAAUGGUUUCAAAGCUAAAUCCCUCUCACUGAUGCAUCUUGCAAUGACUCGUACCUCUCACUGAUGCAUCUUGCAAUGACUCGUACCUCUCACCUAGCAUGUCAUUUAGGGUGAUCAUUAACCUUGAAUUACCCUUCAAAAGCUUGCAGGAGAUAACUAAUGGAUGUCUCUAGGGAGUCCAAAAGCUUACCAAGUGUUGGCUAUUCUAGAUAAUCCUACCUUUAAACCACCUCCCAAAGGCUCGCAAGAGAUAACUAAUGGAUCUCUAUGGAUUGAGUCCGAAAAGCUUACCAAGUGUUGGCUCGGGUGAUUAUAAGGGAUUUUAAGUUAACUAAAAAUAUAAAAACCAUUACCGGGUCACAACUUCCUCUUCAUUAAAAAUUGAAACAAGGAAAGCUCCCACUUUUGUAUCCGGGUCCCUUUCCUAGCUUCCUUCAGUCCAAGAAACAAAAAGUCUAGCCACUCAUCCUCUGAGAAAACAUCCUCAGAGAUUGUUUGGCUAGAAAGAAAAUACAAUCAAAGUGAGUAGGUAAGGCAGAGCAAAGCUCUAUAUAUUUCUUACUAAAAAAUGUACAAGUGAUCCCCAAGAAUGUCUUCUGAGAUUCUGAGAUAGAUAUUACAAAAAGAGAUAUGUUAAGACAUAUAUAGAGAGAUAAUUUUAACCCCUCAAUUAGAUAUCCUAAAUAUCUAAAAAGAUCUUUAGCUGAUUACAAGGAGAGAAUAGAUAAUUACACAAAAUAUCUUGAGGUAAAAAUCUAACUGAGUCGGUGCGCAAAUAUCUGAAGAUUACAUGAAGAUUUCGCAAGUUAGAUAUGGAGUUGCGAAAAUUUCACAAGGUUGAAAAGGAGUUGUGAAAUUUUUGCAAUGUUGAAAAGGAGUUGCGAAAAUUUCUUCUGGCUUGCAAAAAUUUCGCAAAUGGUGAAAAGAGGUUGCGAAAUUCUUCAGUGUUGGAUUUCUUCUCUAAUUCUCUUCCUUGCAUACUUGAUUGAUUUGGCAAAGGCUUCGAAGCUCUCCAAAACUUGAAUUUUUCAUGUAAUUUAGCUUCAAUCUUGCUUUGCCAUGCAUUAUACCAAGUUCUCCCUCAUUCUUGGCUUGUUUUAAUGAUAAAAAAGCUAUCAAAAACAUCAAAACUUGCCAAAAACUUAUUAGUAACACUUGUAAGGGUCCUUAAUGUGCCAAUUGAAUUAAAAGGUAAUAAAUACUACUCAAAAGUGUUUAAAAGAGUUUAUAAGAAGCUACAAAAGAUCACUUUUUGAGUAGUAAUCACUCCCCCCAACCGACAUAUUGCUAGUCUCUUAGCAAUGAAGGAGAGAAAAAUAAAAAUAAGACAGUAAAAUAAUUUACAAGUUCAUGCUGAUCACUCCAAAAAAUCAUAAGUGGCAUGAUUGUAAAGCAUAUUCUCACACGGAAUAUUAAAGAAGCAAAACCCAUCCUUCAACAAGAGGAUAUCAAAAAUCUUACCUGAUCAUAAUUCAUACAGAGUAGGUAUUAUGCAAAUAUAAGUAAUGAGAGGAUUUUCACUCUCCUAGGCUCAAUCAUUACUCUUCCACAAAAAUCUGUGUUAAGCUUAUUAGUUUCUGAAUAUAGUACUCUGAACUAAUCACUCCCCCCAACCUAGUUCUUUCUCAGACUUUAGCAAACUGACCACUUCCAAUAGGCUAAGAACGCACCUCUUUUAUUUCAUAAUUUUUUUUCUUGUAGGCGUGCAAUGCUAAAGGUAUUGUUUUCUAAAGUGUCCAUGUAACGGGGAUCCAUCGAUGACUCCCAACCAAUCAAGGUUUAGGGCAUCAAGCUUUACGGAUCUUUUAACCAUUAACUCCUCGGAUUUUUACCCCGGACUUUUGAAAUUGAAAUUUAAUACCCAAGCACCUACAAUAUGUUAAACUUCACCUAUUCACCUUUGUAACGAGCAUUGAGGUCGGUGACUCCCAACUAAUAAAGGUUUAGGGCACCGGGUUUUAAAGACUUUCGCUAUAUACCCCUCGAACCUUGCUCAGGUUUCAAGGCAAGCGAAACACUUUAUUCUUUUUUUUUUUCAAAGGCUCAUUGGCCUUUUAUUAGGUGUCUCAACACUAUUAAAACGAGGUCAAAGGUACCAAGUCUAAAUUUUCCUAAGUUCAGGUGGUGAGAUAGUUUUUCAUCUUAUAAACGGAACCUAAUGUGCACAGUGUGUGGUAAGAUUAAAGUGGAAGAAAUAAGGUUGAAAUUAAUAAGAGUUUCAAUAAUUCAUCAACUUCAAUAAACAUAAUACGACUCUAAUAUUUCAUUUUGAGAAUUUUUCCUUAAUAACCAUGGAAAGUAGAGUAAAAACUUUUAAAAUUAAGUAUUUUUUUUUAAAUUAAGCAAAAAGUACUUAAUUAACAAAAUAACUUAGCAUUAUUAACAAUACUUCCUUCUUUUACUCUCUCCCCAACCAAGAUCAACAUUGCCCUCAAUGUGGCAAGAAUGAUUGUAAAUAAAGGGAGGAAGUGGUACCUCCUGAGUGACAUGGAGUCUGAGUCAUAUAGGAAAAACCACAUGAUUCAAAAAACAAAAGAUUAAUGAGUAAACAAUCCACCCUGGACCUUGGUGGUAGGAACAAUGCAGAUCCAUCCUGAAGCGUAGUGGCACGGGUUGGGAUAUAGGUCUAAGAGCCAACUGAGUCAACAAACCACCCUUCAUGAGCUUCUGGAAAACUCGACUCAAAGGCAUACCUAGCUGGGAGAACUGUCAUGUCUGUCUCUAUACAAGAGGAAUAACAGUCUGUGGGGUUCAGGGCCGAGGGUAUAAAGUAGGAGGUCACUUUGAAACCUGUGCAACAAAAACAAGAUCUAAGGUCUGGUGUUUAUUAUAGGAGCCAUGGGCCUGAGCAGUCUAUAUUGAACAUAACACUAUGGGUAAUAGGCUCCUGAAGUCUGCCCAAAUGUUUGAUAACGCCUGAGAGGUCUCGAUCCUGUUGAACUAAUAUUACCCACAUCUUUUGGUCUCUGUCAUCCUGAGGGCUUCUUCCCUUUUGAGUCAAGAGGGGAAGACUCGAGCCACAAUCCUCUAGCAGUGCCCUCUUCUAUACCAUAUAAAGUCUGUACCAAUGAUCCAAAAUCCAUAUGAGGAAAUCCCAUCAAAUGUUUGGCGAAUCUGGGCUGUAAACUCCUCAAAAUCACACUAAUAUGGUCUCUCUCUGAGGGACGAUCAAUAAUCUGAGUGAUCUUCUCCCUCCAUCGGGAGAUAAACAAAGUCACUGACUCCUCUGGUCCCUAUCUCAAGACCUCUAGCUCUCUCCUCGAGACGUCAAUGACAACAUUAAAUGCAAACUGUCUCAAAAACUCUUGGGUCAAAUCAUCUCAAUUCCUACGGUGUGAGGCAUCUAAGGAAGCAAACCAACGCUAUGCUGCACCACUCAAGGACAUGGGGAAAAGCAUGAUCAAGUGGGCCUCAUCCAACCCAUGGGCCCUCAUCACACUACUGUAUAGCCUCAAAUGAAUCUUAGGGCAACCUAUGCCCAUAUACCUUUCAAUAUCUGGCAUCCUGAACUGGGCUGGUAAAUUGGCCACUGGUGCUCCAUCAAAAUCAUCCCAACUAAUAGCUCCAUUUGAAACCCUCAUUCGUCUCAUUCUCUGCUCGAAUCUAUCCAUAUGAGCAUGUGCAUCCUCUAAGAUCGGAACGGGUGCUACGACAGGAAGUGGGGUAGCAUCAGUCUAAUUAUGUAAAACAUACGGUGCAGGGUGUGGAACCGACUGAUCGAGUGGAGAAGGUGGUGAUGCUGUAGAGUCAUAUUGUGCACUAUCCCGAGGCGGGGCCUACUACCCAUCUAUUCUCUGGGAAAGGUCGGCUAUAACCUCGUGAAUCAAAGCCAUGGCCACGGAAAACUGGGCAAUAGUGACUACCUGUGAGUCCAUAUCUCUCUAAUCUAGUCUUUGGUNNNNNNNNNNNNNNNNNNNNNNNNNNNNNNNNNNNNNNNNNNNNNNNNNNNNNNNNNNNNNNNNNNNNNNNNNNNNNNNNNNNNNNNNNNNNNNNNNNNNGAGCCACGGGCCUGAGCAGUCUAUAUUGAACAUAACACUAUGGGUAAUAGGCUCUGAAGUCUGCCCAAAUGUCUGAUAACGCCUGGGAGGCCUUGAUCCUGUUGAACUAAUAUUACCCACAUCUUCUGGUCUCUGUCAUCCUGAGGGCUUCUUCCUUUUUGAGUCAGGAGGGGAAGACUCGGGCCACAAUCCUCUAGCAAUGCCCUCCUCUAUACCAUAUAAAGCUUGUACCAAGGAUCCAAAAUCCAUAUGAGGAAAUCCCAUCAAAUGUCUGGCGAAUCUGGGCUGUAAACUCCUCAAAAUCACACUAAUAUGGUCCCUCUCUGAAGGACGAUCAACAAUCUGAGUGAUCUUCUCCCUCCAUCGGGAGAUAAACAAAGUCACUGACUCCUCUGGUCCCUAUCUCAAGACCUUUAGCUCUCUCCUCGAGACGUCAAUGACAACAUUAAAUGCAAAUUGUCUCAAAAACUCUUGGGCCAAAUCAUCCCAAUUCCUACGGUGUGAGGCAUCUAAGGAAGCAAACCAACGCUAUGCUGCACCACUCAAGGACAUGGGGAAAAGCAUGAUCAAGUGGGCCUCAUCCAACCCAUGGGCCCUCAUCACACUAUUGUAUAGCCUCAAAUGAAUCUUAGGGCAACCUAUGCCCAUAUACCUCUCAAUAUCUGGCAUCCUGAACUGGGUCGAUAAACUGGCCACUGGUGCUCCAUCAAAAUCAUCCCAACUGAUAGCUCCAUUUGAAACCCUCAUCCGUCUCAUUCUCUACUCGAAUCUAUCCAUAUGAGCAUGUGCAUCCUCUAAGAUCGGAACGGGUGCUAAGACAGGAAGUGGGGUAGCAUCAGUCUGACUAUGUAAAACAUACAGUGCAGGGUGUGGAAUCGUCUGAUUGAGUGGAGGGGGUGGUGAUGCUGUAGAAUCAUAUUGUGCACUAUCCCAAGACGAGGCCUACUGCCCAUCUAUUCUCUGGGAGAAGCCGGCUUUAACCUCCUGAAUCAAAGCCAUGGUCGCGGAAAACUGGGUAAUAGUGACUACCUAUGAGUCCAUAUCUCUCUGAUCUAGUCUUUGGUCUGGCUGAUCUGAUGCUCUAGUCAACCUGCCUCUAACUCUAGUCCAUGAAGGCGAAUCCAGAUUGGGCACAAAAUACUCCUAUAAACACAGAAACACUAGAUGAGACGCUAUACAGGAGUAGCUCUGUAGGAACCGACUUAAAGGUAAUCAAGCAUACAACCCAUGUAUGCUGAAACUGAUACUCGUAUCUGAUCAUACCAAAAUGAGACUAUGGAGAGGGUAACCGAACCCAAUUGUAACCAAGACAGCUCUCAAGGUCCACAGAUGCACCCACGUGUGGGAAUGAAAUCUUAAUUAGGUCUAAGCUAACCUAAAAGGUUGAUGUGGCUUUAUAAGAGAAAAUGAGUGGGUUAAAGGAUCCCUAACAAAAACGAUCGUACCUUCCGACGAUACGCAACCCUUUACACACCUCCAAGGAGAGGAGAUGCUUCCAUGCAAGGUGGUCAUCACCUCCACACAUGCAUUUCCUCGCGUUCCCAGGGGGUUUCUUAAUGGUAAAGGUUCUCUCAUAUCUCAACACUCAAGGAAAAUCUAAAGUGCAGAGUGAAGGAUGUGGGUGCAUCAGAAAAACCUAAGAUCUAAAGUGAGAUAGUGAACAAAGACAAGAAAUCAUACAAUCAUGCAAAAGAAAGGGUUGUCAUACAGCAAGCAGUCAUUCGAAGCAGAUAAGUAUCAUACAAUCAGGGUCCUAUUUAACAUAUGUGAAAGUGAAUCAUGCUGAAGUGAGCAAAGCAAUCAAAUAAUUCUUCAAGGCAAUCAAACAUGUUAGAUAGCAAACCAAGUAAGCAAACAAACUAAAUCACCUUGUUUAAAAAAAGGAGGUACCCUCUAAUCGACCAAUUAAAUGCCACAUUUUCCUCAACUAAUGUUCAAGCUUGAUCCUCAAAAUCCCCAAUGGAGUCAGCAAUUUGUGGACCCGCAUUUUUCACGUGCACCCCCACUCUAUUGUGAGACUCGCUUUUAUUGGUGAAAAAUUGAUUUUGGAAAAGUCAGAGUCGCCACUUAUUUAUUUUAUUUUAAAGAGAAAUUAAAAUAAGAAAUAAAACCCUAGAAAAAAAUGACUCCAUAUUUUUUGGAAAAGUGUGUCUUUGGAAAACCUGAGUCUAGGUCCAGAAAUCAGAUUACCUAUUGGGAAGGUACCUCUAAAAGGUAGCACCCCUCUAACCCCUACAAAGGUCUCUACUCACUAAGUUGAGGGAAAUGUGGCAAUUAAUUGAUUAAUUGAGGAUACUUAGGUAGACUAAGGUGAUUUAAAAAAAAUAGCAUGCCAAAAAAGAUCAAAUCACAAUAAAGAAGAGUUAGGAUGCGUACCCGAACCGCUUCUUAAGCGUUAUCAUAAAACAUCAGAGUUAGUAUAGAAAUAUAACACACGACAUGUAUUUAAUCAUAGCAAAUCAAGCACACAUCUAAGCACUUAAGGAUCAUAUCAAGCAUAAAUAAGGCUCACGACAACAUGCAUGUUCAUGGAAUUCUGAAAAGAAAUGAUAGAGAGCGUACCUGGAUAACAUGCAUAAUUUAUAAGAUUUCUCCAAAAAUGUUAGAAUGGUUAGGAAAAGUAUAAAUUAUAUAACAUCUCUAUUAUGUCUAAUAUACAGUACCAAAUCCAAAAGUGAACCAAGGUAAGUCAAAUGACUCCAAAAGCAGAUAACAAAUUCAAGCAAGUACUGAGUCAUCAACAUGCAUAUAGUAAAGAGAGCAUCACAAAACAAUUGCUAAAAAAAUGUCUUGGAGUGAAUUUAAUCACAAAAAAUUUCAGGAAGCUACUCCUACAUAUCUAAAACAAGAUACCAAAAUCCAAACACUCAUUUGAAUGACAAAUUGCAGCAAAGACACUAAAAAGUUCCAAAAGGUCCAGAUUAGGUAAAAAAUAGUGAAAUGCAUAAAUGAAUUUUUUUUAAAAAUAAUAAGACAUCACAUAAAUCCAUACAAAAAAUCACAUACAUCGUUCAAGGUGUAUAUAUCAAAAGGAAAACAAAUUCAGGGUUCGGUAGUACUCUAAAAUAUUUUUAAAACGCUCCAACUUAAUUAGAUAUCCAGAUUCCAUCAUGCACAAUAGGUAUCUAAGAUCAAUUUCAAGAAGCCUAGAAUUGAGGAAAAAUAUUGGAUCAAAUUUAAAAAGUCAUCUGGUAUUUUAAUUUUGCAAAAAGAUCUCGGGUGUCUAGAUCUGGGUGAAAACAGAGUCCCCUUAAAAACUCGUUUAUAUCUUUUAUUCCAGAAUGGCUUUCUAACUCAAACGAAACUUUAAAUUUCAAGUUCAAGAAGUGAGGAAAGUCAUACAAGAUUUGGAAAAUUUUUAAAAACAUUCCAAAGUUGCUAAAACAAAUUUUAAAUCUAAAGGGUCAGUGGCUGAGUGAAAACUGGUAGCAAGGAAGAGUUUUGAAAAAUUUUCUUAUGUAGGAAAUUCACCAAUUCCCCAAUUGGUAUACAAAAGUCUAGCCUAGAAUCAUCCCAUUUAUUUGGGACCACAAACUUUGAUUCGUGUUUUAUUCAAAACCAAAAUUUUCAUUGAAAACCGAGAAAGAUGCAAACUGAUCAAAAAAUGGUUGCAUGUUAUUUUAAGAAAAGGAGAUUUGGAUUAUAAGGACUCUAAAUGGAUUUUUUUUUAAAAAAAAUAGAUUUUUUUAAGGAACAUUUUGAGAAAUGUAUUUUAAUUUAUUUUAAAAUAAAAUAAUUUGAAAAACAACAGAACAUAAUAAACAAAAUACCAAGCAAAACAAAAGAAAAAACAAAAUCAUAAAAUAAUUAUUUUUUUACAACCAAGCAAACUAAAAUAGUAAGAAUGGAGGCCAAUCUUCACUAUUUUCUGAUGGCCUCCAAAAAGUAAAUUUUACCAGAGACUACUAAAGCAAUAAACUAUUCAAACUUAAAUCAAUUAAAUUAAUGACUAAUAUUCAAGGAACAUAUCAAUUAAGAGUAAUAAUCAUGAAUUAACACGUGAUCGAUUAAACACACAAACACAUCUAGAUUGAUUAAAAUAGACCAAAUUAAAUCAGGGCAAACUUGAAUUUUCAAUCAUAGAAUUAAUUUUAUUAGUGAGCUAAUAUUAUAGAAAAUACCUAACUGAAUAGAUGAGUGAAGUUAAAUCAACGUAAACUAAACACAGACACCUUCUAAAUGUCGAAUUGAUUUUAUUAAUAACUUAGAAUUAUAAAAAAAUACCUAAAAUAAUUAAAAUGAAUCAAAUGAAAUGAAAGCAAGCUAAAACAAAAUAUGAAUUCAUAGAAUCAGUUUCCUAAAUAAAUUUACAUUAUUAAAUUGAAAUCUAAGCUCAAAAUGAAUUAAACACUAAUUACGACAAAUUUAAGAAUCAAAUAUUUAACAAAUAAGAUCAAUUAUUUCAACAAACUAAAAUUUUACUUUAACCAAAAAUUAAAUUAUAAAACUACCCAAAACAAAUUUUAAAACUAAAUUUCUAACCUAUAAAAUCAAACUCAUUAACAAAUGGAUAAGUAGAUAACACAUAAAUAAAUAAAUAUGACUAAAACAAAAUAUGAACUCAUGGAAUUAAUUUUUUUAGCUAAACUUACAUUACUAAAAUAAAAUUUAAGCUUAACAAACGUUUUUAACACUAAUUAAGGCAAGUGUGGACCCCACAUUUCGGCUCAUGCGUUUCCCACUCGAUGGCGAGCUUGAUUUUUGUUUUCGAAAAAUGAUCUUUAUUGAUUAAGAAAAAUGACUUGGAGUCGCUACUUAUUUUUGUUUUAUUUUUAAAAGGGUAAACAAAAUAAGAAAGAAAAACCUUAAGUGUGACUCCUUAUUUUGGAAAAGACGGUUUGCGAAAAACCGGAUCGGGUUCAGGGGUCAGGUUACUUAUCGGGAAGGUAUGGUAAAGACUGUAGCACCCCUUUAAGUCCCUAAAGUCGGGUCUCUACUAAUAAAAUGAAGCAAUCAUGGCAAAGGACGAGUAAAAUAGUGAAUACCUAGAACUAUCAUGCACAUAUGAAAAUCAAAACAUGCAUAUAGAAAUACCAGAAUGGGAAUAGAUACGUACCUGGGUGACGAGCCACAAUGUGCUAUCAAAAAGUGAGGUUAGUGCACAAUUAAAGAAUAAUUUCAAGCAUGUCAUAGAGCAGAAUAGAAACAAUCGUGCAUGGCAACUAAAUCAAUCAAUCAAUCAAUCAAUUAUAAACUCACACAUGUCGGGCUCCCACCAAAACCCAUUUAUUUUACAUGAAUUAAUAUCACAGAUUCCAUUAUUCUGGAAUUAUGAAAAAUUCAUUCAUGCCUAUUAAACUCAAGAGGAGCAGAAGUUUGCGGGCGGAAAUGGAUCCGGAGAAGGUGGGACGUCGGCUGGACAGAAUUCCGGAUGUGAGACAUCCGGAGAAGGUGGGACGUCGACCGAACAGAAUUCCGGAUGUGAGACAUCCGGAGAAGGUGGGAUGUCGACGGACAGAAUUCCGGAUGUGAGACAUCCAGAGAAGGUGGGACGUUGGCCGGAUAGAAUUCCGGAUGUGAGACAUCCGGAGAAGGUGGGACGCGUUGGCGAACAUAAUUCCGGAUGUGAGACAUCCGGAGAAGGUGGGAUGCGUUGGCCGGACAGAAUUCCGGAUGUGAGACAUCCGAAGAAGGUGGGAUGUCGGCCGGACAGAAUUCUUCCCCGGGUGGAAUGAUAAAUAAAUAAAUAAAUAAAAAGAAAUGCAAGCACGACCCCACAAAUCAAAAGCAUGUGAUGAAUCUUCUCUCAAAAUUUUCCAGAACAGAGAGAAUGAGUAGGUAUACUCCAGGCAUCGAGGAUAACCCGCAAACAAUCAAGAAACAGAGGAGAGCAGUUUAAAAUAGUAGGUGUAAACAAGUUGAAAGCCAAGUUAGAAAUCAAGCACAACAUGGAGGCAAAUGAACUCAGAUUCCAUAAGAACAUAAUAAAAUCUCCAAUGCUCGCAUCCAAACACCAAAAUAGAAUCUUAUCGACAUCCAAAUACAAAAUAGAGAAGGUAAUGAACAGGGUCCAUACCUGAAAAGCUUCCUCGCAGAUCCUAGCUCACCUGACUUCGAGCCCUGUUUUUCUGAUCCCCUUUUCGAAGAUGCCCAGAUCAGGACCUCCUUUCCCAAGGCUACUCUUCAAACUCUCUUCUCCUUCUCUCCUUCUCCCCUCACUCACUAAAACCUCUGCGUCACGAAGACCAAAAAAAGCUUUCCUAAAGAGUCUCCCCCCAAAAAAUGCUUUUUUUCUCAUUCCUUUCUUUCUUCGUGUCCUUUUUCUUUCCCAACUGCUCUCCUAUUCCUUACUCAGCUGGUCACCAUCCCAACUAACGCCAUGGCCGCGGUCAGUUGCUCCGGCACGUGCUUCAUGUAGCUAGCUUGAAGAAAAUAGGUCCCCCACUUCUGGCAACUGACCCUUUCCAUAACAGAAAGAAUGCGCUCCUGCAGGUUCCUUGCCAGGUGUCUCAUUUUGGUUGCUUCUUCAAAAGCACUAUUGUGAUUCCUUACCAGUCAAUCAGGAGACAGCAUGUGACACCUUGAGAGCCUUCCACCUGCAAAGAUGAGCUGUAGGAAAAAUGAGGUAUAAUGAAUCCCAAACGGGGGUCUACAAAUAUGCCCCUCUUCGGUAGAGUUCACGAGUGUAAGGAAUAUGAACACCGGAAUGAAAAGAAAGUGUGAAUAGUGAGUGGAAUGAAGUGAAUUCUACCGAAGAACAAAGGAGACCCCCAAUGGGACACUAGUGAAACCAAAACUCACUCAAGCCAACAAAUGAACAAAGGCUCUAACCCUAAGGGAAAAUGAUAUCUCAAAAUGCCUCUGAAACCACACUAAGGAUUCGGGCUCCCUCUAAGACGUCUCCAAAAGUGAUUCGAAGAUCAAUGUCAAAGAUGAGUAACGGUCGAACCACCCUAGAGUAUGGACAAAAUGCGUCUAAAAGAGACUCCUUAUGUGAUAUACAUGAGAAUGCUAGGUGUAGGGUGCCCAACAACAUGACAUAAAUACGUGUCGUGAUCUCAAAAGACUGUGUCAUGUGUAGCGAAAGGGGAAAUCUAGAAAAGCAUGAUGAAUAAGCAAUAAGCACCAGAGUAGCCAGGUGAGGAGAGUGACUCUAAACGCCCAAAAUGAAGGGAAACAAGAUGACUCAAAAUGCCUGGAUGAGUAUGCACGACGAUGGCUCUAAACGUCAAAACUAAAGAAAGAUGGUGACUCGAAAUCGAACAAGACUCAACUCAAUCUAACAAAACAAUGACCGAUCGAUAUAGGUGCGGUCCUGGCUCAAACUGAACACGAAAAGUGAUAGGAACAUAGCCGAUUGAUAUAGGUGCGGCCCCGACUCAAAAAUUCAAACUCAAACUGAUAUGAUGAAUGACCGAUCGAUAUAGGUGCGGUCCAAAAAAUUGAACUGACAUGACAAGGAGAUGGCCGAUCGAUAUAGGUGCAGCCCCGAAACUCAAGCUGACAUGGAAAAUGAUCGAUUGAUAUAGGUGCGGUCCCGACUCAAACUGAACUCGAACUGACAAGAUGAUAAGAAGAUGGCCGAUCGAUAUAGGUGCGACCCCGACUCAAACUCAAAUUGAUAUGAUAAGGAGAUGGCCGAUCGAUAUAGGUGCGGCCUCGACUCAAACUCAAAUUGAUAAGAUGAUGACCAAUCGAUAUAGGUGUGGUCCCGACUCGAACUGACAAGACAAUGAUCGAUCGAUAUAGGUGCGGUCCCAGAAACACAAACUGAUAUGACAAGGAGAUGACCGAUCGAUAUGGGUGCAGUCCCAACUCAAACUCAAACUGAUAAGAUGAUGACCGAUCGAUAUAGGUGCGGUCCCAAAAACUGAACUGACAUGACAAGGAGAUGGCCGAUCGAUAUAGGUGCGGCCCCGACUCAAACUCAAACUGAUAAGAUGAUGACCGAUCGAUAUAGGUGCGGUCCCGACUCAACAAACAACAAAGUGAUAAGAACAUGGCCAAUCGAUAUAGGUGCGGCCCCGACUCAAACUAAACUCGAAUUGACAAGAUGAUGACCGAUUGAUAUAGGUGCGGUCCCAACUCGAAAACUCAAACUAAUAAGAAGAUGGUCAAUCGAUAUAGAUGCGGCCUCGACUCAAACUGAAUUGAUAAGAUGAUGAAUGACCUGAUCAAGUGACCCAAAACCAAAGGAUGACCCAAAUAAUGAUGCAAGCAAACUCGGCCGAAGGGGAUAUGCCCCAAUAUGACAACUCACGAGGAUUGACAACUAGGUCGAAAGAUAACAAAGCCCAUGAGAGAUCCGAUGAUCCUAGGGAAGGAGGGCAUGCCCCAGUAUGCAACUCAAGGGAGUCAACAACUAGAUCAGAAAGUGAAUGAAACCUAUGGAAGGUCCGAUGAUCCUAGGGAAGGGGGGUAUGCCCCCAGCAUGUGACUCACAGGGGUCAACAACUAGAUCGAAAAGUGAAUGAAACAUGUGGAAGAUCUAGUGCUCUCGGGGAAUGAGGAUAUGCCCCAGUAUGCAAUGACGAAUAAGCAUAGAUGUAAAAUGCCUCCAAACCACUGUACUCUGAAAUAUGCUCAUCCAUCAUGUAAUGAAAAUGUCCAACCUCAUAUGGGUAAUUCCAAACAGGACCAUGUGUCAUGACACCAUGCUGACAAAACAAAAAUAUCUGAUGGAUAAAACAGUGAUGACUAGUGCUCGAAAUACAAAGAAACAAGCAAAUCAACACUCAACAUGUCAACUGUCAAAAUGGAAAAACAUCGUCACUAAUAAAUCAGUAAUCUGUCAGGCCCUACCAUCAUGGAAGAUGUUGAGCCUAAAGUCCGAAAGAUGUAUGAAAACACAACCAAAGUGAUCAAGGAUUGAUCCAUGUCUCCUCCUAAUCGAGAUAAGGGUGAGGUCAGGUGUCACGGUGGGAUGUGUAGGAUAAAAUAAGGUAAUGAUCAGGCUCUGGUAUGAUAGAAGGCAUGAGAGUAUCAAGGGUGAAAUGUCUGAGUAUGAAAUGAAAGGUAGGGAGAUAUCCGAGAUCAUCCAAGUAUGCCGAAAAGACUAAACCCGAGGUGUCGAUAGCUCCAUAAUCCAUCGAAAGCGGCAAUCACAAACAGAAAGUCAAAUCUCGGUGUCGAAACAUCUGACAAAGUGGCUAUGCCCCAGUAUGCAAUGAAGACAAUAUGAAAUAGUCCAAUGAUCCAUAUUAUCUAGUAGGUGCUCCAAUGUAAAGAACCAAUCUGAUCUCUCUCCAAAAGAUGGAUAUGCCCCAGUGUAAAGCAAUGUCUCCGAGUCGACAACUGUUGAAGAAGAUCAUGCUAGUGUACAUUAACAAAUCAAUCAAUCUCUACUCUUGGUGCCAAAACAGAAACAUCUCAACAUAAUCCAUAUGAAUCAGAAUCCCAAGGCUCUAUGAAUGUGGAUGAGGUGGCUAUGCCUGAUUACUACUCAAAAAGUGAUAUUUCGUAGCUUGGAAUUAAUUCUUUUAAACACUUUUGAGUAGUAGUUAUUACCUUUUAACCCAAUUAACAUAUUAAGGACCCUUGCAAUCAAUUCUAAUCAAAGUGUGUUAAGUUUUGGUGUUUUAACAGCCUUUUUGAUCACCAAAGCAACCCAAGAUUGAGGAAAGUUCUUUGGAAUCCAUGCAAGGAGUAUACCCGGACAGGGCAUCCGGAUACGCCAUCGGAAGGCAUCCGGACAACAUAUCUGGGUAGGAAUUACACCCAGCUGCCACCAAUUUGUACUUGGCUGCCGCCAAUUUGCACCCGGUUGCCACCAAUUUGUCCCCGACUGCCGCCAAUUUGUACCCGGUUGCCGCCAAUUUGCACCCAGCCGCCACCAUUUACAUCCGGAUGUCUUACAUCCGGAAUUUAGGAGCCGGAUGGGAGAGGAGGCGUUUCAACUUCUCCGGACGGACGUAUCCGGAUCAUUUGAUAGCGUCUACCCGGAUGGGAGAGCAGCAAUUUUGCACAGUGUUACGGUGUUCUCCUGAAGCUUCCUGAUAUUUGCCACUGAUAUUUUGGGAUAUUUUGAGAUAUUUUGCUUUAGAUAUUUGUUGCCUAAAUCCCCAAAAUCUCCUUGUAAUCCACCAAUUAUAGGAUUCCUUAGUUAUUAAGUUUGGAAAAAGGNNNNNNNNNNNNNNNNNNNNNNNNNNNNNNNNNNNNNNNNNNNNNNNNNNNNNNNNNNNNNNNNNNNNNNNNNNNNNNNNNNNNNNNNNNNNNNNNNNNNUAUAUAUAUCUCUCGAGAGCCUGUUCUCGGGAGGAGGAGAAAAGAGGGGACGAAACUUUUGUACAGUUUUGCAAGGAAGUAAAAUACAGAGCCUUUGCUCUACUUUACCUUUCUCAUUUUAAUUGUAUUUUCUUACUAGCCAAACAAGCUCUGAGGAUGUUUUCCCAGAGGAUGAGAGGCUAAACCUUUGGUUUCUUGGAGUGAAGGAAGCUAGGUGAAAAGUCCAGAUGCAAAAAUGGAAAACUCUCGUGCUUUAAAUACAGGUAGUUGGAGUUCAUAAAUGGCUUUUAAACCUAAAGUUUUGCUUUAAAUCCCUUAGAAUCGCUUUGAAUGGCCAAUACAUGAUAAGCUUUUAGGUCUCUGUGGAUACUUAUUGCUAGAUCCACAUAAGACCAUUAGUUAUCAUGUACGAGCCAUUGGAAAGUGGCUUAAGGUGAAGACCCAUAGUGUCUAAAGCCAUUAAUGGAACUUGACUACCAUUUCUAUUGACUUUUUAUGGAUUAAAUCUUCAUUGUUAAACCUAUACCGGUUCGGGAAACAACCAUCCUUUAUGUUGUUGUCCCCAAUACAAGGAGAAAAAUCCGGAAUUUCCCACUUUGCAUUCUGAACUUGAUCCUAGCAACCUUUAGCUCCGGGAGACUUUCUUUCUUCCAUUUUUACCUAGUUCUAUGUUAGUUUAGUUUCAAACACCACUUUCAAAACAAAUUUUAUUUUCUUUUAAACUUUAAGUUUUUGACAAAGGAAAUCAUCAGAUUCAAUUUCUAAUCUUGAGUCUAUCACUGGUAGAGUGAAAACCCAUCCCAGAGUUCGACCCUAUAGCUGCUAUACUAUAGUAGCUUUGCUACGCUAGUAUGAGGUGAUAGGAUUUAUAAGUAUUUUUUAUUAAAAUACCCAACUGGGCACGAAUCAAAAAUGGCGCCGCUGCCGGGGAGAGUGCCACGAUACAGUGAUACAACUUUUUAGAGGCUACUUGUGAUUUCCAUCACAAGUUUGGUGAAUUCCUUUUUCACUAAUUUCAUUUCCUUUCUUUUAAUUGUAAAAUUCCUUUUUGUUAAGUUUACUUUCAUUUUCUUUCUAAACAUAACUUUCUUCUAGUUUUCUUUUGUUUUUGUUGUCUUUGUUUUGCUUUCAGGGAAGUUGUAACUUGUGCAUGCCUUAUUGGAUUCGGGACCAAGAGGGAAGACUAGUAAGGAUAGACAAUCCUCAAGACACAGAGUUGGAUAUCUGUGUAAACAUCAUGGACCCUCCACAAGAGGAUCAGAAUUCUCAACAUGGUCAAGGGGAUAAUCCAAAUGCAUAUCUAUCCAUGAGGGAUAGAAUGCACCCACCAAGGAUGAGUGCACCCUCAUGCAUCGUACCUCCUCUUGAGCAACUGAUUAUAAGGCCCCAUAUUGUGCCUCUCCUACCUAAUUUCCAUGGAAUGGAGAGUGAGAACCCAUAUGCCCACAUCAAAGAGUUUGAGGAGGUGUGUAAUACUUUUAGAGAGGGAGGAGCUUCAAUAGACUUGAUGAGACUCAAGCUAUUCCCUUUUACUUUGAAGGACAAGGAAAAAAUAUGGCUUAACUCUUUAAGGCCAAGGAGCAUAAGGAAUUAGGUUGAUCUUUAGGCCGAAUUUUUGAAGAAAUUUUUCCCCACCCAUAGGACCAAUGGGUUGAAGAGAAAAAUCUCAAACUUUUCUGCACAAGAAAAUGAGAAGUUCUAUGAAUGUUGGGAAAUGUAUAUGGAGGCCAUCAAUGCUUGUCCUCAUCAUGGCUUUGAUACAUGGAUCUUGGUGAGCUAUUUUUAUGAUGGGAUGUCUUCCUCCAUGAAGCAAAUUCUUAAAACCAUGUGUGGGGGAGAUUUUAUGAGUAAGAAUCCGAAAGAAGCCAUGAACUUUUUAAGUUAUGUAUCUGAGGUAUCAAGAGGAUGGGAUGAGCCCAACUCAAGAGAAAUGGGAAGGAUGAAAGCUCCUGUAAAUCCAAAGGGUGGAAUGUACAUGUUAAGUGAAGACAUGGACAUGAAAGCUAAGGUGGCAACAAUGGCAAGGAGGUUGGAAGAACUUGAGUUGAAAAAAAUGCAUGAAGUCCAAGCCAUUUCCGAGACACAAGCCCAUGUCAUGCCAUGCACCAUUUUCCAAUCAUGUGAUCAUGUGGUAGAUGAGUGCCCAACCAUCCCAGCUGUGAGGGAGACGUUAGGUGAUCAAGCCAAUGUUGUGGGGCAAUUUAGGCCCAACGACAAUGCACCUUAUGGAAACACCUAUAAUUCAAGCUUGAGAAACCAUCCAAAUUUUUCUUGGAAACCAAGGCCACCUCCAUACCAACCACAAGCCCAAACCCAAGCACCUCAACAAACCUCUUCAGUGGAGCAAGCCAUUGUGAACCUAAGUAAAGUCAUGGGUGACUUUGUGAGUGAACAAAAGGCAAUCAACUCCCAAUUGCACCAGAAGAUUGAAAAUGUUGAGAAUUCUCAAAUUAAGAGAAUGGAUGGGAUGCAAAAUGAUCUAUCUCAGAAGAUAGAUAAUAUUCAAUACUCCAUCUCUAGGCUUACCAACCUCAACACAAUGAAUGAGAAGGGAAAGUUUCCCUCUCAACAAAGCCAAAAUCCAAAGGGUGUUCAUGAAAUUGAAACCCUAGAUGAGGAGUCUUCAAAGUUGAGGGAGGUCAAAGUUGUGAUCACCUUGAGGAGUGGGAAGGAGGUUGAUCAACCCUUACCUAAGGUGAGGCAAGAUGAAGUUUCAUGUCAAAGAGAACCUUGGUUAAAGAGAGCAAUAACCAAGAAGAGAAGAGUGGGAAGAAAAAUGCAUCUAAUUCAAGCAUUGAAGAAAAACCAAGGAUAGUGAUUAAAGAGGAUAUGAUGAAAAAACAUAUGCCUCCCCCUUUUCCUCAAGCUUUACAUGGAAAGAAGGGAAUCAAGAAUUCAGCAGAAAUUCUUGAAGUUUUGAGACAAGUGAAGAUGAAUAUACCCUUACUUGAUAUGAUCAAGCAAGUCCCCACAUAUGCAAAAUUUUUAAAGGACUUGUGAUGCGACUCAUGGUAGCUUAGCUUUAAAGGCGUAUCAACAAAAUUUAUACCUUGAAUACUAUUACUAAAGUAGCCAAGCUACUAUAGCAUAGUGGUUCUAGGAUCGUUCACUGGGAAGGGUUUUCGCAAACACAAGUGAUAUUCAAGUUAGGAAAAUAGGUGAUUUUCUUAUGGAUGUUAGCUUUAAAAGAAGAUGUAAAUGUUUUAGAAAGAUUUAAACUAAUCUAAGCUAACAUUAAAGACUAAAAUGAAAGGGUGUAAAAACAAGUUUCUCAAAGAUAGGAUAGCUAUGCUCUGGCUCUUAUGCAAAUUGGAAAUCUCAGGAUAGGCUCCUCGCGUUGGGGUUGCAACUAUGGUGAUGCUUGCUUCCCGAACCGGUAUGGAUUUAGCAAAUCACGUUUUAAUCCUUUAAAAUGGCAAAACAGAUGGUAGUGAAUUUCAUCAAUGGUUAUUCACCUUAGACUUCCUUUGAAUGGCUCGUAAGAGAUAACUAAUGGUCUAAAGCCAAAAGCUUACCAAAUAUUGGCAACUCAAAGUCAUUCCAGGUGAUAAACUCACCUUUCAAUGGCCAUUGAAAUUGGUUCUAACGGAUUAAUACAAAACUUGGAAUUGAAAACCUCACCUUCCAAUAUCUCGUAGGAGAUAACUAAUGGAUAGAAAUCCAAAAGCUUAUCAAGUAUUGGUCGUUGGAAGUUGUCCAAAGGAAAUAAAAACCAAACUUUGCAUUAAUGAACCUUUAAUGAAAAACGACUACCUUACCUUCCGGGUGUGAGAAAUUUCCAUGGGAUUGCAUCCAAGUCAUCACAUAACAUCCAUACUUUGAGAAACUAAAAGUUUUAGCCAAUCAUCCUCUGAAGAAAAGCCCUUAGAGGCUGUUUGGCUACCAAGAAAAUAAAAUAGUGAAGAGAAAAGAGAAAAACGAGAGAGUGUAAAACGUAAUAUGUAUUAUAUUUUAUAUGUCAAUAUAUCAAUAUAUGUUACAACGGAUGCAAGGGGAUAUAAAUAGAGAAGUUUUUCCAACCUUCCUAGCUAAUAAAUCUUAUGAUUGGUGGAUUACAAGGAGAAGAAUGGAAAUUUAUACAAAAAUAUCUAAAAGAAAAGAUCUAAAGUGGAGUCGGCAGAAACAGGGGAAAAUUCGCACCACGCAUGGGGUGUGCGAAAUUUUCGCACACCUGAAGAAGGUGUGCGAACUUCGCACACCAUUCGCACAGCUAAAGGGGGGUGUGCGAAAUUCUCGCACACCUGGAGGAGUUGUCUUCCGAAGGCCAUAUCUUCCUCGUUUCAGCUCCAAAUCAUGCACGGUUUGAAGCGUUGGAUUCUUGACUUCAAAAGCUUUAAAAUGGUAUAUAGCAUGUAAAAAUUGGACUUCGGGAAGUGCUCCAAAAAUGCGAAAGAAGACUGCAGCUGCUGUCCUCUGUUUUCCUCUUUGCUUCUUUUUGCUUCUCUUUGCUUCUCUUUGCUUUUCUCCUUUUGUUGGCUUGCUUUGGUGUAGCUAAAAGCUUGCUUUAACUUGUCCAAGUAGCUCCUCCAUCAUUUGGCAUGCUUGAAUUGAUUCAUAAGCUGAUAUAAACAUGUAAACUUGCCACAAAAUGGUUAAAACCAAUUACUAAGGACCUUAAUGAAUUAAUUGGGUUAAAUGAAUAUGAUUACUACUCAAAGGUGCUUAAAACCAUUAUAAUUAGGUCUACAAAAUAGCACUUUUUGGUAGUAAUCAACUUGUGCACGGUCAAAAGAUGGUUAAAUGUGACAAAGAAGGCAUUCCUCACUUAGCAAGUAAGUGCCAUCAUUCAGUGUAAGUCUCCAGUUAAGUACAAAGAUCCGGGAUGUCCCACCAUUUCAGUCAAUAUUGGAGGGACACAAGUGGAGAAGGCUUUACUAGACUUGGGGGCAAAUGUGAAUUUGUUCCCAUACUCUGUGUAUAAGCAACUGGGACUUGGAGAAUUGAAACCCACAGCCAUCACUCUCUCCUUAGCUGAUAGGUCAGUCAAAAUCCCAAGGGGGGUGAUAGAGGAUGUUCUAGUUCAAGUGGACAAAUUCUACUAUCCCGUGGAUUUUGUGGUGCUUGAUACUGAUCCCACUGUUAAGAAAGCAAAUUAUGUGCCAAUCAUCCUUGGGAGACCUUUCCUAGCUACCUCCAAUACCAUCAUCAAUUGUAGGAAUGGGUUGAUACAGCUCACAUUUGGAAACAUGACCUUGGAACUAAACAUAUUCCACCUAUGCAAGAGAUAUCUUCACCCCGAAGAGGAGGAAGAAUUGGAGGAGGUGUGCUUGAUCAACACUUUGGUUGAAGAGUAUUGUGACAAGAAUUUAGAAGAGAGCUUGAAUGAAAGCCCUGGAGUGCUUAAAGAAGGGUUACCUGAACCCUCUGAUGUGUUAGCCAUCAUGUCUCUUUGGAGGAGAAGGGAAGAGAUCUUACCCUUGUUCAAUAAGGAAGACUCACAAGGAGCAGCUAGGGAGGACCCUCCAAAGCUAGUUUUGAAGCCACUUCCUGUUGAUUUGAAGUAUGCAUAUUUGGAGGAAGAUGAGAAAUGUCCAGUGGUGGUUUCUUCAACUCUCACAAGUGAUCAAGAGGAUAGUCUUUUGGGAGUCCUCAGAAAAUGCAAAAAGGUCAUUGGAUGGCAAAUUUCUGAUCUGAAAGGGAUUAGCCCUUUGGUAUGCACCCACCAUAUCUACAUGGAGGAAGAUGCAAAACCAGUGAGGCAGCCCCAGAGGAGGUUGAAUCCUCACAUGCAAGAGGUGGUAAGGGGUGAAGUUCUGAAGCUACUUCAAGCAGGGAUCAUAUAUCCCAUUUCAGAUAGCUUGUGGGUGAGCCCAACCCAAGUAGUCCCAAAGAAAUCUGGAAUUACUGUGAUCCAGACUGAGAAAGGGGAAGAAGUCUCUACACGUCUUACCUCAGGAUGGAGGGUGUGUAUAGACUACAGGAGGUUGAAUUCAGUGACUAGGAAGGACCAUUUCCCAUUGCCUUUCAUGGACCAAGUUCUUGAGAGAGUCUCAAGGCAUCCUUUCUAUUGUUUUUUGAAUGGUUACUCAAGGUACUUCCAAAUAGAGAUUGAUUUGGAAGAUCAAGAAAAGACAACCUUCACUUGCCCCUUUGAUACUUUUGCCUAUAGGAGGAUGUCCUUUGGUCUAUGUAAUGCAUCUGCAACUUUCCAAAGAUGUAUGCUAAGCAUCUUCAGUGAUAUGGUGGAGCGCAUCAUGGAAGUCUUCAUGGAUGACAUCACUGUAUAUAGAGGUUCUUAUAAGGAGUGUUUGUUGCAUUUAGAAGCUAUUCUCCAAAUAUGUAUUGAGAAAGACCUAGUGCUAAAUUGGGAGAAGUGUCAUUUUAUGGUACAAUAAGGAAUUGUCUUAGGACAUAUAAUCUCCAAGAAUGGCAUUGAGGUAGAUAAGACAAAGGUGGAGUUAAUUGUUAAGUUGCCACCUCCCACAAAUGUUAAAGGAAUUAGGCAAUUCCUAGGACAUGUCGGGUUCUAUAGGAGGUUUAUUAAGGAUUUCUCAAAAAUCUCAAAACCUCUUUGUGAACUCUUGGUAAAGGAUGCCAAGUUUGUGUGGGAUGAGAAAUGUCAAAAGAGUUUUGAGGAACUGAAGCAAUUCCUCACAACUGCACCAAUAGUGAGAGCCCCAAAUUGGAAAUUACCUUUUGAGGUAAUGUGUGAUGCCAGUGAUCUUGCUCUAGGGGCUGUUUUGGGGCAAAGAGAAGAUGGCAAGCCCUAUGUGAUUUAUUAUGCAAGAAAAACUUUGAAUGAGGCUCAAAGGAACUACACAACUACUGAGAAGGAGUUGUUGGCAGUAGUUUUUGCCUUGGAUAAGUUUCGUGCCUAUUUGGUAGGAUCCUUUAUAGUGGUGUUCACUGACCAUUCUGCUUUGAAGUACUUGCUAACCAAGCAAGAUGCCAAGGCAAGAUUGAUAAGAUGGAUCCUUUUGCUUCAAGAAUUCAAUCUCCAAAUCCGGGAUAAAAAGGGAGUAGAAAAUGUGGUAGCUGACCACUUGUCAAGACUUGUGAUAGCACAUGACUCACAUGGUCUACCUAUCAAUGAUGACUUCCCUGAGGAGUCUCUCAUGUCAAUAGAGGUAGCUCCAUGGUAUUCUCACAUUGCAAAUUACUUGGUUACUGGAGAAGUUCCAAGUGAGUGGAGUGCCCAAGACAAGAAACAUUUCUUUGCUAAUAUCCAUGCCUAUUAUUGGGAGGAGCCUUUUCUCUUCAAAUAUUGUGCGGAUCAAAUCAUAAUGAAAUGUGUUCCUGAACAAGAGCAAUUAGGAAUUCUAUCCCAUUGUCAUGAUGGUGCAUGUGGAGGUCAUUUUGCUUCCCAGAAAACAACCAUGAGAGUGGUCCAAUCAGGUUUUUGGUGGCCCUUACUUUUCAAAGAUGCCUACUCUAUGUGCAAGGGAUGUGAUCGGUGUCAAAGACUUGGGAAGCUAACACGCCGGAAUAUGAUGCCCUUGAACCCCAUCUUGAUAGUGGAUGCCUUUGAUGUUUGGGGGAUAGACUUCAUGGGACCAUUUCCAAUGUCAUUUGGACACUCCUACAUUUUGGUGGGAGUGGAUUAUGUCUCUAAGUGGGUAGAAGCAAUCCCAUGUAGGAGCAAUGAUCAUAAGAUGGUUCUCAAAUUUCUCAAGGAGAACAUCUUUUCAAGGUUUGGAGUGCCUAAGGCCAUUAUCAGUGAUGGAGGAACCUACUUUUGCAACAAGCCUUUUGAGACUCUUCUAGCCAAAUAUGGGGUCAAGCACAAGGUAGCUACACCUUAUCACCCUCAAACAAGUGGCCAAGUUGAGUUAGCCAACCGGGAAAUCAAGAAUAUACUGAUGAAGGUGGUGAAUGUGAAUAGGAAGGAUUGGUCUAUUAAGCUCCCGAAUUCAUUAUGGGCUUAUAGGACCGCUUAUAAGACCAUUCUUGGAAUGUCUCCUUAUCGCCUUGUUUAUGGCAAAGCAUGCCAUCUCCUAGUGGAGGUUGAAUAUAAAGCAUGGUGGGCAAUCAAGAAGCUCAACAUGGAUUUGACAAGAGCCAGGUUAAAGAGAUGUUUGGAUUUGAAAGAAUUGGAGGAAAUGAGGAAUGAUGCUUACCUCAAUUCAAAAAUUGCAAAAGAGAGGUUGAAGAAAUGGCAUGAUCAGUUGGUAAAUCAGAAGAAUUUUACCAAGGGACAAAGAGUCUUGCUUUAUGACUCUAAACUUCAUCUUUUUCCGGGAAAAUUAAAAAAAUCAAGAUGGACGGGUCCUUUCAUAAUUCAUGACGUGCAAUCAAAUGGAGUAGUGGAACUACUCAACUUCAAGAGCACUCGAACUUUCAAAGUGAAUGGGCAUCGUCUCAAGCCCUAUAUGGAAUCAUUUUCCCGAGACAAGGAGGAAUUCAUCCUCCUUGAUCCACCUCUAACAUGAAAACACUCAGUUCAUGGUUGAACUUAGUCUCUUCAAAGACUAAAAAGUUCAUCCUCUUUUUGUUUCCUUUUGCGUUGAUUUUAGUUUAAUCUAGUGUUUUUUCUUGUGUAUAUGCAUGUUUUGAUUUUUAUUUUUGACUUGCUCGCUUUUUUCCAGACUCUGACCACUACUCAGACGGCCAUUAUGGAGCGGAUGGACCACCUCCAGCUUCGGCAGGACCAGCAGACUCUCAUUCUCCGUGAGAUUCAGCAGCACCUCAGUCUUUUGCCACCAACUCCACCAACUCUUCUCCCUUUAUUGGUUUCUACUGUCCAUUCAGACUCCAUGUCAUGCAGGAGGUACCACUUCCUCCCUAUUUUUUAAUCGCUUUGUCACAUUGAGGACAAUGUUCAGCUUGGUUGGGGGGAGAGUUGAGGAAGGAAGUUUUUGUUAUUAAUGCUACGUUAUUUUGGUAAUUUAGUUGCUUUUUGCUUAAUUUUAAAAUUUUUAAGUUUUUAUUCUACUCUCCAUGGUUAUUAAGAAAAAAUUUUCAAAAUGAAAUGGGAGAAAUUGAAUUUUGUCUUUUCAUUUGACUUAGAGUUUGUAUUAUGUUUAUUAAAGUUGAUGAAUUGUUGAAAUUUCUAUUGAAUUCAAGCUUAUGUCUUCCACUUUAAGCUAUUCACACACUGUGCAUAAUAGGUUCCGAUUAUAAGAUGAAAAACUAUUUCCCUCUUGACUUAGGAAAAUUUUAGACUUGGUACCUUUGACCUCAUUUAAUAAUGUUGGGACACCUUAUAAAAGGCUAAUGAGCCUUUGAAAAAAAGAAAAGAAAAAUGUUUACUUGCCUUGAAACCCGAGGUCUGAGGGGUAUAUGGUGAAAAUCUUUAAAACCUGGUGCCCUAAGCCUUAAUUGGUUGGAAGUCAUCAACCUCAAUGCUCGUUACAAGGGUGAAUAGGUAGAGUUUAACAUACUAUAGGUGCUUGGGUAUUGAAAUUCAUUCUCAAAAGUCCGGGGUAAAAUUCGAGGAGUUAGUGGUUGAAAGAUCCUUAAAACUUGAUGCCCUAAACCUUAAUUGGUUGGGAGUCAUCGAUGGACCCUCGUUACAUGGACAAUUUAGAAAAAAAUACUUUUAACCUUGUACUCCUACAAUGAAAAAAAAUUGUGAGAAAAAAGGUGCGUUCUUAGCCUAUUGGAGGUUGAUUAGUUUGCUAAGCUUUGAAAGAGAACUAGGUUGGGGGGAGAGAUUAGUUCAACAUACUAUAUUCGGAAACUAAUAAAUAACACUUAGAUUUUUGUGGAAGAGUAAGGUUUGGUCCUUUGGGAGUGGAAACUCUUUUAAAGCUUAAAUUUGCAUAAUGCCUUCUCUUUAAGAAUUGUGAUUAGAUAAGUUAUUUGAUAACUCUUGUUGAAAUUUGAGUUUUAUUUCUUUAAUGUUCCAUGUGAGAGUUAGAUCAUCAUGCCACUUGAAAAUUGUUUUUUUUUUAUCAAGCAUGAUGUUGUAAAUUAUAAUAUUGUUUAUUUUUAUUUUUUCUUUCUUUCAUUGCUAAGGGACUAGCAAUAUGUCGGUUGGGGGGAGUGAUUACUACUCAAAAAGUGAUAUUUCAUAGCUUGGAAUUAAUUCUUUUAAACACUUUUGAGUAGUAGUUAUUACCUUUUAACCCAAUUAACAUAUUAAGGACCCUUGCAAUCAAUUCUAAUCAAAGUGUGUUAAGUUUUGGUGUUUUGAUAGCCUUUUUGAUCACCAAAGCAACCCAAGUUGAGGAGAGUUCUUUGGAAUCCAUGCAAGGAGUAUACCCUGACAGGGCAUCCGGAUACGCCAUUGGAGGGCAUCCGGACAACAUAUCCGGGUAGGAAUUACACCCGGCUGCCACCAAUUUGUACCCGACUGCCGCCAAUUUGCUCCCGGCUGCCACCAAUUUGUACCCGACUGCCGCUAAUUUGCACCCGGCUGCCACCAAUUUGUACCUGGCUACCGCCAAUUUGCACCCGGCUGCCGCCAAUUUGCACCCGGCCGCCACCAUUUACAUCCGGAUGUCUUACAUCCAGAUUUCAGGAGCCGGAUGGGAGAGGAGGCGUUUCAACUUCUCCGGACGGACGUAUCCAGAUCAUCUGAUAGCGUCUACCCGGAUGGGAGAGCAAUCAUUUUGCACAGUGCUGCGGUGUUCUCCUGAAGCUUCCUGAUAUUUGCCACCGAUAUUUUGGGAUAUUUUGAGAUAUUUUGCUUUAGAUAUUUGUUGUCUAAAUCUCCAAAAUCUCCUUGUAAUCCACCAAUUAUAGGAUUCCUUAGUUAUUAAGUUUGGAAAAAGGGUGAAUUACCUCAUAUAGAUAUUUUGUAAUUUUCCAUAUAUAUAUAUAUAUAUAUAUCUCUCGGGAGCCUGUUCUCGGGAGAGGAGAAAAAGAGGGAACGAAACUUUUGUACAGUUUUGCAAGGAAGUAAAAUACAGAGCCUUUGCUCUACUUUACCUUCUCAUUUUAAUUGUAUUUUCUUACUAGCCAAACAAGCUCUGAGGAUGUUUUCCCAGAGGAUGAGAGGCUAAACCUUUGGUUUCUUGGAGUGAAGGAAGCUAGGUGAAAAGUCCAGAUGCAAAAGUGGAAAACUCUCAUGCUUUAAAUACAGGUAGUUGGAGUUCAUAAAUGGCUUUUAAAUCUAAAGUUUUGCUUUAAAUCCCUUAAAAUCACUUUGAUUGGCCAAUACAUGAUAAGCUUUUAGGUCUCUGUGGAUACUUAUUGCUAGAUCCACAUAAGACCAUUAGUUAUCAUGUAUGAGCCAUUGGAAAGUGGCUCAAGGUGAAGACCCAUAGUGUCUAAAGCCAUUAAUGGAACUUGACUACCAUUUCUAUUGACUUUUUAUGGAUUAAAUCUUCAUUGUUAAACCUAUACCGGUUCGGGAAACAACCAUCCUUUAUGUUGUUGUCCCCAAUACGAGGAGAAAAAUCCGGAAUUUCCCACUUUGCAUUCUGAACUUGAUCCUAGCAACCUUUAGCUCUGGGAGACUUUCUUUCUUCCAUUUUUACCUAGUUCUAUGUUAGUUUAGUUUCAAACACCACUUUCAAAACAAAUUUUAUUUUCUUUUAAACUUUAAGUUUUUGAAAAAGGAAAUCAUCAGAUUCAAUUUCUAAUCUUGAGUCUAUCACUGGUAGAGUGAAAACCCAUCCCAGAGUUCGACCCUAGAGCUGCUAUACUAUAGUAGCUUUGCUACGCUAGUAUGAGGUCAUAGGAUUUAUAAGUAUUUUUUAUUAAAAUACCCAACUGGGCGCGAAUCAAUGCCCCAGUAUAAACCACCUGAAGUGACUAUGCUCCAAUGAAAAUCAAAGUCCAAUGCCAACCAGAGGGCUAUGUCUCAAUACGUGCAAUCUCUGAAGCAACUGUGUCUCAAAAUGAACCAUCAUCUCAAAAAUCAAUCAUCAAUGAGUGGAGUGUGUCAAUGCAAAAUAUCGAGUGGGGUGACUGUAUCUCCAAUAAAAGUGCUCUCUGGACUGGCUAUGCCCUAGUGUAAGGUCAUCCCACAACUGCUAAUCCAUCAUAACCCAAGUGAAGAAGCGAACUGACUAUGCCUCAGUGCAAGGCAUCAUCCCGAAAGAAAACGUCAUCGAUGAGCGGGUUAUGCCCCAGUGUAGAUAACAUCGCCUCUAAAGAUUCAUCACUGAUACGAGGGGUAUGCCUCAGUGUAAUCUAUCACCUCGACUCCUCAUCCAUCAUGCUCCAAGGGAUAAUCUCCAACUAAUCUCGAGUAUUGCCCACGUGUGAGCUGUCAAACACAAUGUGAAGUAAUGGCCUCAGGGUGGUCUUCAGACACGGGACGUAACGUAGGCUAAGGUAAUAGGGUGAAAGAAAUAAAUGGAAACUAGGCUCAAAGAUCCCAAUGAUAUAAUCCCCAUACCCCUCGUGCAUGAAAUGCAAUGCAUAGAAAACGUCAUGAGUCCUGGACCUAGGGGUCCCUACACGAAAAGUGAUGAUAAAUGAAUGGACACAUCGAAUAAACAAGUAUGAUGUGUGUGUACCAAACCCAAGCCAAACAUCAAGCAGAAUGAGAAAAGAGUGAGAACAUAUGAGGUAGGGUGAAACGGAUGGAAUGAUGGAUAGAACAAGGAUCCAGAGAUACUAAAGAAAGGUCGCUAGUCUCUCUCACAAAAAUCGAAUGGAUGACUCAUACUCUCACCCAAAAUAUACACCAAGAUAGAAUCUCAGAAAGAAACUCUCAUAUGAACUCUCUCUAACACAUAAACUCAAUGAAGCAAACUAGCACAUUCAUACAUGUGCUCAAUGGAAAAUAAGAAAAUGAACAAUGCAUUUUUUUUUUUUUUUUUUUUUUUGCGCAUACUGUGAUCAAUAAUAAAUGAACUCCCAUGAAAAUACAUACCCAAAUGAUCAAACCCUCUCCACAUAUGAAUGUAACAUGAAUCCUCACUAACAAGACAACCUCUCAAAAUAACAUCUCUGAACCACUGCCCAUAAGGCGAACGGGAGAGGAACAUGACAAUCCUCCAUGCAGUGAUGUGUGAAAAACCACCACUCCAGGGUGAAACAAGGACAAUGUCGAGUANNNNNNNNNNNNNNNNNNNNNNNNNNNNNNNNNNNNNNNNNNNNNNNNNNNNNNNNNNNNNNNNNNNNNNNNNNNNNNNNNNNNNNNNNNNNNNNNNNNNAGGCUCGAAUAUAUAUGUCAGGUCUAGAACUCAUGACGUAUCCAAUCAUAGCAUGCAAGCACUACAGGGUCCCCAACCCUGUGUAAUAGGUAAAUGAGGUGAUGAAAUAAAAGGUUAUGAUGCUCGUGUGAGGCUCAAUGGGCUAGCAAAGGGUAACUUUAUAUGUGAGAGUGAUAAAGUAAAUAGGCUCAAUGAAAUGAUGGCCACCCAUCCUUUGACCAAAACCUCGAACAUUGUGCUUUUGAGAUCUCACAUGGCCAACACUAAAGAUUGGCAUCCAUCCAACAUAGUCAUGGCGACUCCUCUGAAAUUGUACGAAAGCUCCCACUGAUGCUCUAUGAUAACCGUCGAUGUCAUCUAAAAAUCAACUCACUCCAUCAACAUAAGCCACCCACCAUCGCCUCAUAAUAUCACUAUGUCUAAUCAUCCCGACUCUCUGAAGUCAUGUGCAAUGACUCAAAUCUGGAUGCUCCAUGACGAUCCCUCUGCCUCAGCAAUAUCAUCAAACAAUCAAACCACUCUCUCAUCGUGAUCCAUCUAUCAUCAUGCAAAGCUCACCUCAGGUAUAACCAUCUCGGACUCUACCCGAUCAGACCAAGGAAAUGAUGGAAAGAAUAGGCAAUGGUAUUAUAACAUGCUAAGGCGAACAAGGGUAGUAAAGUCGUGUAAUGGUACCAAGAGUUGGUGUCAUGUCAGGCUCAAAAUGGGUAGGUCGCCAAGUCCAUAGAGUCAGGGUAUGGAUAUAGAUAUGGUACUGCUCUGAACGGAAGGUGAAAUGGGUCACAGUCUCGAACUCCCUAGGUCGAUCUCCUAAUCCUAGGUCAAUAGGCUCAAUAUCCUCCAUGAUAGGUCAGGCCAGAGUGAUCAUGACGUGCAGAUGAAUAGAUGUCCCAAGUCAAAAGUAAAACACAUCAUUUGAUAUAUGGUCCUGUGAUGGCAAUCUAAAAUUGGAAAUAUGACAAAAACUCUAAGGUCAUAAAGGUGUCCACUGUGAGAUGGCUGCAAAUGUGACCAGAGAAUCUCCAUCAAUAAUCCGAGAUAAAGAGUAGUGUGAAAAACACGCUAUCACGAGAUCAAUACUCCAUCUGUAACCACAUAUCCUUGAAUCAACCUUCAACUCGAGCUCCAUAAGAGAAAAAUAAUAAGGUGAUCAAGGCGACUCUCUCGAAAAAAGCGUGAAUAUGAAAACGUGCCUUUCACCUUUCCGUAAUGAAAAUAUGAGCAUCGAGUCGAAAAUUGAAUCAAGGAUCAAACAAAGAAUGAGGUAUCGGGCUCGUGAUAGGUGUGCAAUGCUAAAACAAGAUGAUCAUGAUCAAUGAACAUAUCCCGAAGUAUCAAGUAAGUGUCAACAAAGUGAAAGGAUGUGUCGAGCCAAGAAAAAAAAACAAAAGCCCUAAGGAAAAACAUGAUAAACCCAUCGAGUGAAAAACGUAAUCCAAGGUGACACAAUAAAGGUGAUCCGACUGAUACUCAAACUCAAACCGAUCUCUGAGCACUCUCAAAUGGAGACUAAAAAAAGAAGGAGUAACAAAUCCAAACUAUGACUAUAGAGGCUCUAAGGCUCUCAGAUGCACCCACGUGUGAUGAAUGAAUCCUAAUCAAAGGAUCUAUAGCUCAACCUACAAGGUCAAGGUGGCUCUAAGAGGAAAAGGGUAGACUUUAAAAGAUCCCUAGCAGAAGCGAUCGUACCCUCCGGCGGUAUGCAACCCUCUGCACACCUCCAAAGAGAUGGGGCGCUUCCAUGCAAGGUGGUCAUCACCUCCACACAUGCACUACCUCGACAUCCCAGGGGGCUCCUAUGGUGAAAGCUCUCCUAAUGGCUAGCGUAUCUCACAACUCUAAUCACUCAUUGAUGAUCUAAGGUGCGCAGUGAAUGGUGUGAGUGCAUCCGAAAAUCCUAUAAAACUAAAAGAAAACACACUGGCCACACAAAUAUCCUGAAAUCUAGCUCUGGGCUAUACAGGUCUUCAAAGUUCGGACUCUAAUCAGCAUCAAUAUGUCGACCACCUCCAGAAUGCUCCCAAACAUAGAUAUAGCCCGUCGCUAGACCCUAUUCCUAAUCACUAGCUCGGUCGAAGAGCAAACAAAGCAAACAAGUCUCAUAUCAAAUACAAGACCAAGGAAAACAAUGUCGAUAGAGACUAGGGACUUGGAAAUAAGGGGAUAAGUGUGUGUCCCACAUAGACACACGACUCAUGCAGUCACAUCAGGAUGAGAAGAGUCAUGUAACAAACAAUCAUGCAAAACAGGUAUAUAUCAUCCAAAUCUACACACAAGCUAAUCAAGAAGAAUAUCUGACAAAUGAUAGCAUGCUCUAUGAUAAACAAGAUAAUAUAUAACCGAGAGAAUCAAUCAUGUCAAAUCAAAUGAUAUACAAUGGUGAGUCUAUACAUGUGAGGUAAUCAGAACAAACAUGGCAAAAUCAAAGUCACUAUGCUAAGCAAGGUAAGAUGAUCAAUCAACAUAAUUUGCAUAUCAAUGUCCCAAACAAAUAUAGCUAUGAAGCACGGGAAAAAUCUCCACAAUCAGAAUCCUCAAAUCAAAAUAAACAAUCAUCAUAAUCAACAUGUCAAUGUCCCAAGUAAAAACAAACGCCUAAGCAUGCAUCAAGUGUAAUGAUAUCAAGAGAUCUCAAUGUGUAAUCAAUAGUCAAAUAAACACACACACAAAGAGAGGUGGGUACCCACUGAUUGACCAAUCAAACGUCACAUUUGCCUCAAUUUAUGUUCAAGCUUGACCCUCUAAAGAUUCCCCAGCGGAGUCGCCAUUUUGUGGACCCCGCAUUUCGGCUCAUGUGUUUCCCACUCGAUGGCGAGCUCGAUUUUUGUUUUUGAAAAAUGAUCUUUAUUGAUUAAGAAAAAUGACUUGGAGUCGCCACUUAUUUUUGUUUUAUUUUUAAAAGGGUAAACAAAAUAAGAAAGAAAAACCCUAAGUGUGACUUCUUAUUUUGGAAAAGACGGUCUGCGAAAAACCGGAUUGGGUUCGGGAGUCAGGUUACUUAUCGAGAAGGUACGGUAAAGACCGUAGCACCCCUUUAAGUCCCUAAAGUCGGGUUUCUACUAAUAAAAUGAAGCAAUCAUGGCAAUGGACGAGUAAAAUAGUGAAUACCCAGAACUAUCAUGCACAUAUGAAAAUCAAAACAUGCAUAUAGAAAUACCAGAAUGGGAAUAGAUACGUACCUGCGUGACAAGCCACAAUGCGCUAUCAAAAAGCGAGGUUAGUGCACAAUUAAAGAAUAAUUUCAAGCAUGUCAUAGGGCAAAAUAGAAACAAUCGUGCAUGGCAACUAAAUCAAUCAAUCAAUCAAUCAAUUAUAAAGUCACACAUAUUGGGCUCCCAUCAAAACCCAUUUAUUUUACAUGAAUUAAUAUCACAGAUUCCAUUAUUCUGGAAUUAUGAAAAAUUCAUUCAUGCCUAUUAAAAUCAAGAGGAGCAGAAGUUUGCGGGCGGAAAUGGAUUCGGAGAAGGUGGGACGUUGGCCGUACAGAAUUCCGGAUGUGAGACAUCCGGAUAAGGUGGGACGUCGGCCGAACAGAAUUCCGGAUGUGAGACAUCCGGAGAAGGUGGGAUGUCGGCGGACAGAAUUCCAGAUGUGAGACAUCCGGAGAAGGUGGGACGUUGGUCGGACAGAAUUCCGGAUGUGAAACAUCCGGUGAAGGUGGGAUGCGUCGGCCGGACAGAAUUCCAGAUGUGAGACAUCCAGAGAAGGUAGGAUGCGUUGGCCGGACAGAAUUCCAGAUGUGAGACAUCCGGAGAAGGUGGGAUGUUGGCCGGACAGAAUUCUUCCCCGGGUGGAAUGAUAAAUAAAUAAAUAAAUAAAAAGAAAUGCAGGCAUGACCCCAUAAAUCAAAAGCAUGUGAUGAAUCUUUUCUCAAAAUUUUCCAGAACAGAGAGAAUGAGUAAGUAUACUCCAGGCAUCGAGGAUAACCCGCAAACAAUCAAGAAACAGAGGAGAGCAGUUUAAAAUAGCCGGUGUAAACAAGUUGAAAGCCAAGUUAGAAAUCAAGCACAACAUGGAGGCAAAUGAACUCAGAUUCCAUAAGAACAUAAUAAAAUCUCCAAUGCUCGCAUCCAAACACCAAAAUAGAAUCUUAUCGAUAUCCAAAUACAAAAUAGAGAAGGUAAUGAACAGGGUCCAUACCUGAAAAGCUUCCUCGUAGAUCCUAACUCACCUGACUUUGAGCCCUGUUUUUCUGAUCCCCUUUUCGAAGAUGCCCAGAUCAGGACCUCCUUUCCCAAGGCUACUCUUCGAACUCUCUUCUCCUCCUCUCCUUCUCCCCUCACUCACUAAAACCCAGCUCUGCGUCACGAAGACCAAAAAAAGCUUUCCCAAAGAGUCUCCCCCCAAAAAAUGCUUUUUUUCUCAUUCCUUUCUUUCUUCGUGUCCUUUUUCUUUCCCAACUGCUCUCCUAUUCCUUACUCAGCUGGUCACCAUCCCAACUAACGCCAUGGCCACGGUCAGCUGCUCUGACACGUGUUUCAUGUAGCUAGCUUGAAGAAAAUAGGUCCCCCACUUCUGGCAACUGGCCUUCUCCAUAACAGAAAGAAUACGCUCCUGCAGGUUCCUUGCCAGGUGUCUCCUUUUGGUUGCUUCUUCAAAAGCACUAUUGUGAUUCCUUACCAGUCAAUCAGGAGACAGCAUGUGGCACCUUGAGAGCUUUCCACCUGCAAAGAUGAGCUGUAGGAAAAAUGAGGUAUAAUGAAUCCCAAACGGGGGUCUACAGCAAGUCUAAAAUCUAAUAUUUAACACAUAAAAUCAAUCAUUUCAACAAACUAAAAUUUUACUUAAACCUAAAGCCGAUUCAAACUACCUACAACAUAUUUUUUUUUAAAAAAAAUAAAUUUUUAACCCAUAGGAUCAGUCUUAUUAAUAAAUAAGAAAUAAAUAAAUAAAUUAUAAAUCAUUAAAUUAGUAGCAAAUAAAUAAAUAAACAACUAAUAAUUAAAUGAAUCAAAACUAAAUUAAAUAAAGAUCAAACUAUAUUUUUUUCUCAAAGUAAAACUACAUAAAAUUUUAUUUUCUGAAUUUAAUAUAAUAAAUCAAAACUAACCUUAAACACAAUUCUAAUCUUUAGUGUAAUAAAUCAAAAAUUAAACAAGAGUGAGAUUCAUGAUGCCAUGUUAAAACAAAUACAUGUUGGAGCUAACAAUAUAAGUCAAACCACUCACCCAAUAUAAUAAUCACACUUGAAAAAUAAACCAAAACUUUAAAUUCUACUGAAAACCUAUAUAUAUACAUAUAUAACUUACCUAGUCAGCUUACCAAAACAACUUGGUAGUGUGUAGCUGUUUUCUCUUCUCCGAUGAUGCUCUAGAACAAUGGUGUAGUGGUUGAUGGAGUUUUGGUUCUUCAGCCAAUACUAUUCUUCCCUAUCAGCAGAUAAACAGUACAGAACUCGUCUCAAGAAACGGUAAGUAUAAAUUUAAGAACUCCAUGCAAUUGGUUUUCAACUAUUCUGAUAGCCAUCGGAAUACGGAUAUUGUGUUCCAGAAGUUGGAUGAACAUGGAAACGUGUGGCAAGAGAAUGGAGAAAAGCAAAUUCUUUCAGAUCUCAGUGCGGCCUGGUUGCAUAGAUCGACCCUUGACGAUGAUGGGAAUUUGAGAGUUUACCAUUUUCAGGGAGGCAUGGAUGGGUGGGCUGUUGUUCGACUGGUUCUUAGUUUUCGGCCAAAUGAAGAUUCAGAAUACUCAUGUGACAGGAAAAUUCAGAUGAUGCAAACACCAACUCCAGCUUGACUACGUCAACUUCAGCGACGAGGUCGACCAAAAAAAUCUGGGUGUUCAGGUUGUUACCAUCGGCGAGUCCAAAUGUCGCAUUCCUUCUUUCACUUUGAAAUCCUCCUGUUCUUCCCUCUCUUCUGAUGCGUGCUGAAAGUGUAUCAAAAAUGGUGCGGCUGGUUGAUGGUUCUCUUCCCAAAGACGUCAAUUUCUCUAAAAAUAAAAAAUCCAGCCUUCAUCCGUGAAUCCACCCUCCAACCAUUUUUCGAUGAUCUCCUCCAUAAAGUUGAAGAUCUCUUCUUUACUCUCUGUGUAUGGCAGCCUCUCCCCCUCCUCUCCAGAAUGCUGGAUCCUGUUCCACGUGCCCUUUCUUCUUCUUUUUCUUUUUUUCUUUUUUUUAAUCUCUUCUCAAUCACCCCUCAGCUCCUCUCUCCAGCCACGGUAAUAGAAGGAACAGUAGAAACAAUCGUCCUUUCUCCUUUCAGAUCACCCUCAAUCUUUUUCAGUAAUCCAUCAGACCUCCCCUUAAUAGUGCGUUUUUUUUCUUCUUUUUUUUCUUAAUCUUUUCUCCAUCACUUAGUCAGCUUCUCUACAACCACGGUGAUGGAAAAAACGGCAGAAAAAAGUUUUCUUCUCCUCUUCCAAUCACCCUCCAUCCCCUCCAAUUUUCUUUUUUUGUCUUUGUUUUUCCUUUUCUCUCUUCCUCUCUCUCCAAUCCACUGACUGCCUCCAUCUUUCCUUUCUAAUGGUGUUUUUCUUUUUUCUUUUACGGAACACGUGAGAUCCAUGCAAAACAAAUAAUAAAAAAAAGAAAAUAAAAAUACCAAUAAAAGAAAACUAAGUGAUUACUACCAAAAAGUGCUAUUUUGUAGACCUAAUUAUAAUGGUUUUAAGCACUUCUGAGUAGUAAUCAUAUUCAUUUAACCCAAUUAAUUCAUUAAGGUCCUUAGUAAUUGGUUUUAACCAUUUUGUGGCAAGUUUACAUGUUUUUAUCAGCUUAUGAAUCGAUUCAAGCAUGUCAAAUGAUGGAGGAGCUACUUGGACAAGUUAAAGCAAGGAUUUUGGACGUUUAUAGGCUUGAAUUUCAAGUGGAAACACGAGCACAAGCAAUGGAGAAGAGGAAAGCAAAGUGAAGAGAAGCAAAGAGGACAGCAGCUUCAGUAUUCUUUCGCACUUUUGGAGCACUUUCCGAAGUCCAUUUUUUACAUGCUAUAUACCAUUUCAAAGCUCUGGAAGUCAAGAAUCCAACGCUUCAAACCGUGUAUGAUUUGGAGCUGAAAUGAGGAAGAUAUGGCCUUCGGAAGCCAACUACUCCAGGUUAUGCGAAAAUUUCGCACGACACAAGGUGUUAUGCGAAAUUCGCAUAACACCUUCAAAAUUCGCAUAACCCAUGCGUGUUGCGAAUUUUCCUCUGUUUUUGCCGACUCCACUUUAGAUAUUUUCCUUUGUAUUUUGUGAUGUAAUUUCCUUUCUUAUCCUUGUAACUAACCAAUCACAAGCUUUUGCUUUUUGUAAAGACUAUAUAAGGGGUGGAAAUCACCUCUUGGAAAUAUAUAGAAUAUAGGUUACGUUUUACACUUAGAAAAUAUACAGAGCUCUCUCGUUUUCUCUUUUCUCUUUACUAUUUUAUUUUCUUGGAAGCCAAACAACCUUUGAGGGCUUUUCCUCAAAGGAUGAUUGGCUAAAACUUUUUCUCAAAGUAUGGAUGUUAUGUGAUGGCUUGGAUGCAAUCCCAUGGAAAUUUCUCGCACCCGGAAGGUAAGGUAGACGUUUUUCAUUAAAGGUUCAUUAAUGCAAAGUUUGGUUUUUAUUUCCUUUGGACAACUUCCAACGGCCAAUACUUGAUAAGUUUUUGGAUUUCUAUCCAUUAGUUAUCUUCUACGAGCUAUUGGAAGGUGAGGUUUUCAAUUCCAAGUUUUGUAUUAAUCCAUUAGAACCAAUUUCAAUGGCCAUUGAAAGGUGAGUUUAUCACCUGGAAUGACUUUGAGUUGCCAAUAUUUGGUAAGCUUUUGGCUUUAGACCAUUAGUUAUCUCUUACGAGCCAUUCAAAGGAAGUUUAAGGUGAAUAACCAUUGAUGAAAUUCACUACCAUCUGUUUUGCCAUUUUAAAGGAUUAAAACUUGAUUUGCUAAAUCCAUACCGGUUCGGGAAGCAAGCAUCACCAUAGUUGCAACCCCAACGCGAGGAGCCUAUCCUGAGAUUUCCAAUUUGCAUAAGAGCCAAAGCAUAGCUAUCCUAUCUUUGAGAAACUUGUUUUUACACCCUUUCAUUUUAGUCUUUAAUGUUAGCUUAGAUUAGUUUAAAUCUUUCUAAAACAUUUACAUCUUUUUUUUUAAAGCUAACAUCCAUAAGAAAAUCACCUAUUUUCCUAAUUUGAAUAUCACUAGUGUUUGCGAAAACCCUUCCCAGUGAACAAUCCUAGAACCACUAUGCUAUAGUAGCUUGGCUACUUUAGUAAUAGUAUUCAAGGUAUAAAUUUUGUUGAUACGCCUUUAAAGCUAAGCUACCAUGAAUCGAAUCACUAAGAGUUACAAUAAUAAUAAUAAAAACUUGUAACUAAGAAUUAAAAAUCCAAAAUAUGCAAUUUUAAACAAAAUUAAAAAAUAUAGAUCACAUGCAAAACUAAAAUGAAUUAUCAACUCAAGUAACUUUAUAUCAAAAUAAACUAAUAAAUAGAUAAAUAAAAACAAAAUGAAUAUGAUUAUUAAGCUCAUGCAAUUUCCUAAAAAUAAAUAAAUAAAUGAAUAAAACUAAUGAAUAGAGAAAGAUAAAACAAAAAACAAAAACAAAAUCAAGCAUAUGCAAGCCAUACGAGCUAUGCAACCAUGCAAGCCAUGCAAACCAUGCAUCCAUGCAAAAAAUGACCUAAGUGGGCUUAAGGUGGUGCCUAACGGGCCAAGCGUGCCUAAAUGGGCGUAAGGUGUCUAAGUGGGCCUAGGAUGGUGCUUAAGGGGCCAAGUGUGACAAAAUGGACCUAGGGUGCCUAAAUGGGCCUAAUGUACCUAAAUGGGCCUAGGGUGGUGCCUAAUGGGCCAUGUGUAUCUAAGUGGGCCUAAGGUGGUGCUUAAGGGGCCAAGUGUGACAAAAUGGACCUAGGGUGCCUAAAUGGGCCUAAUGUACCUAAAUGGGCCUAGGGUGGUGCCUAAUGGACCAUGUGUAUCUAAGUGGGCCUAAAGUGGUGCCUAAUGGGUCUAAGGUGCCUAAGCGGGCCUUAGGUGCCUAAGUAGGCCUAUAGUGCCUAAUGGGCCUAAGGUACCUAAGCGGGCCUAAGGUGCCUAAGCGGGCCUAAGGUGCCUAAGCAGGCCUAAGGUGCAUAAGUGGGCCUAUGGUGCAUAAAUGGGCCUAUGGUGCUUAAGUGGGCCUAUGGUGCUUAAGUGGGCCUAAGGUGCCUUAGUGGGCCUACGUGGACCUAUGGUGCGUAAGUGAGCCUAAUGGUGCCUAAGUGGGCCUAAGGUGCUUAAGUGGGCCUAUGGUGCAUAAGUGGGCCUAUGGUGCCUAAGUGGGCCUAUGGUGCCUAAGUGGGCCUAAGGUGCCUAAAUGGGCUUAACGUGCCUAAGUGGACUUAUGGUGCCUAAGUGAGCCUAAUGGUGCAUAAGUGGGCCUAUGGUGCAUAAGUGGGUCUAUGGUUCCCAAAUGGGCUUAAGUCUAAACUAGGGUUGCCAAGAGUCACAAUGGAGUUAAAUAAAUCCCUUAACCAAAGUCCCUAAGGUGGCUUAGAAAAAAUAGGCUACACGAGUAGUAAUGGGCCAUCAGGGAAUUGUUGUAAACUACGGAACAAAUACCUAAUAGGACAUGUGCUAAGAGGACAAAAUGGAGGGUUUACAGUAACAUGAUCUCACAUCAUUAGGAGAGUUGAGAAUUUCAUCAUGAGGGAAUGGUUUAUCAUCCUUGCUGUCGCAUUUUGUACUUAGUGAUUGUGAGUGGAAUACUUUUAUUAUUGACUUAUUUUCUUCUGAAUUCCUCACUGAUUAACAUUUGACUAGAAGAUUUGGCUUUAGACUGCAGCAAUAGGCUCUGAAUACUAACAUCUCACUAAAGGAUUCAUCUAUAUGCAUCCAAAAACUCUGGAAUCGGGGAAUGUGCUCUUAGCUUUGUCCUUAUUGGUUAAAGGAAGUCUUUCCUGCCACACUUCAAUUGUAAGUUGUGAUAGAAAACAAUUUUCAAAAUAUUGAUUUUACUUUUUGGUAAUGAUGGAAUUUAUGUUGUACAUGGAGAUUAAAGAAAAAUUUCUUGCCUUUGGGGCAACUUAUUAGUAGGUGCAAAGGUAAAUAUCCUAAACAUGAAAUUUCUAUUUAAUGAAAGCGGAAUUUCUUACCUAUGGUGCUCCAUUUUUUUUUAAUUUUGGUACAUGUGAUUCCAAUUUCAUGUCUGAAAGUUUUUGUUAAUCACUUCUUGCACUAUUCUAAGAAGGUUUUGAGGUCAUGUAUUACAUAUAAAGUCUCAUCAAUUAAGAAAAAAAAAAUGAUAUGAGUUUUCUCCCAUUUUCAUAUAGUAUGGGCGAGUGGUGUUACCAAUGGUCUGAGGUCCUUAAGGAGUUAGAAACCUUUAUCAAUCAAAUCUUCAAUAAAUGAUAAGAGAAAUAAAAUUAGAUAGUGGAGAGAAGAAAAAACUUCAAAUCUAGAACGAGCCUCUGUUUUAUGAUUUCCAUGUUUCAAAUUGAGCUUUUACCUAGUGCUUAUUUUUUAUGAUCUAAAUAGUUGAGCUUUAAUGUUAUUCUACUGAAGAUAUGAGUCUUCACUUUUACCUUGUCUCAACAGUUCUUGCAUUUCUAAGCAUCAUGUGUCAUUCUUUUGAAGGUUAUUCAAUUUUUAGACUCCUACUUUACUCAAAUUUUCUUAUGGGAUUCAAUAAAUUGUCAUAAUUGUAGGAUAUGGGAUAGGAUUGAGAAAUAGGAACUGAUGUUAUCUACUCUUUGGAGAGAGUGUGGAUGAAUAAAAUGUGAUUCGAUUAUGUGUAAAAAUAUGUUUUAUAUGUAUUUUUAUCUUUUGAUUGAGCUUUUGGGAUGUUUUCUUUUCAUAAUAAGGUUAAAGUUUCAAUAUUUUCUCUUGUAGUUCACACUUCAAAUGAACAUUUGUAAGUUUGAUAUUGUUGUAAGCACUAGUCUUGUAGAUUCUUUUUUUUGGAUGCUUGUGACAAUUUGUAUCUCAAGAAUAAGAUGAAUUCAUAUUAUUAUUCAUCACAUGUUCUUUCUUUGAAAUCAAAAUAGGGAUUCAUCUUAUGAAAUACUCUUGGGAGUGAAAAAAAACCCUUCUUGGGAGCCCUAGAAACUCUUGCAUUCUUGGCAUGAACUUAAAAUUCCAAUCUAUAAUGAGGUAAGAACAAAGGAUUUGUAUUAUUUAGUGGCUUGUUUUGGACAAUAUAUUGCCUAUGACAAGACAAAAUCUCAAUGCAAUCUUAAUUACACGUUUUUUCUUUCUAGAAUCAUUUGAACUUGGAAAUUCAACUUAUGGUUUUAUUUCCUAUGUCUUGAAUUUCAAGAUAUGAGACUUGUUUCAUUAGAAAAGAAAGGAGCUAAAACAUUUGAAAACCUAUGCCAUCAAUGGUUGUUGUUUUUUCAGUUGUGAAGGAAGUUUUCAUAUACGGAGAGAGAGACCAAAAGAGGAUUCUCGAUAAGCUUGACACUUCUACCAUUCUCUUCCCCUGGCUACUAAAGCGAAACGCCAAUGGGUUUUACUUGAUUUCUAGUUCCAUGAAUUUAUUGAACAUUUGUAAAAUGAAGCAAGACAAAAAUGCUCUCUUCCAUAGAAUUUGAAGUUAUUUAGAGAACAAAAAUUGACUUGGGGCAUGCUAAUUAAUACUAUUUUAAUCACCUUCACCCAUAAUAUUAAUAUUUAAAUAUAAUUUAGAUAGAUAACCUUUUGGGGUUUUUCUCCCACACUUCCUAAAAUAUGCAACACUUGAUCUUCACUCUCUCUAUCUUCUUUUUUUCCAUUGCAACCAUGGACUAUGGAGCACCCUUUUUUGAUUGCUCCAACACCUUACCUUUUUCCAACCAUGGUGAACUUUUAACUUUUCUCAAAUAUGAUUAGACUUUUACUUUUUUUUUUUCAAGUAAACAAAAUUAAAUCCCAUUUUUUCUAUUUUUAAUCUAAUUACUUAUGGUUUUAGAUACAUAUAUUUUAAAGAUGUAUGUUGAAACUAACUUUCAACUUUAAUGAAUGGAAACAUAAAAAUGAGAGGAAAAAAGAAUAAAAUAUAAAUUUGAAAUCUUUACUAUCAAACUUUUUCAAACAAAGAAUAUAUAGACAAAAGAAAUACAAGUUUAAAAUAAUUUUAUUAUAUUCUUUUUUUUUAAAUUUCAUUAAAAAAAAACAAAACAUGUGUUUCUAUUUUCAAAUAUUUUAUUGGUUCUAAGAUUAAUAUGGUAUAAAUUAGUCGCAACAAUUAUUUAUGAAAUAUUUGGUCAUUAUUUGUAUUAUAUAUAAAAGGAUAAGGUGUAUGUUUUUUUAACUUUUGUCUUCUAAGAUAGCAAUUUUGAGGCUUGGGACAUACUAUCAAUUAUUCAUGAGGGCACUUGGUUGUGAAGUUGUCUAAGAUUCAAAUGCUCAAAGCUAUAUUUGAGAGUUUAAGGAUAUGAGAUGCUAAAACGUUUGCUGGAUUCAUUUUUAAAUUAAGUAAUAUUUUCAACUUGAGGUUUAACCUUGGGGAAAAGAUUCUCUAUUCUAAGGUAGUUAUGAAAAUCCUUAAAUCUCUUCCUAAAAGGUUCAAACACAAGGUAAUUGUUAUAGAAGAAAACAAGAACAUUGACUCCAUGAGAGUUGAUGAAACUUAUAGAUUUUUACCAACUUAUGAGAUGUCUCUACUAUUUUCAAAAGUCUUAGGGUGCAACCUUCAAAGCUUUCAAUAACAAAGGGAAUGAGUUUGAACAUGUUUUUUUUUUCUUCUAUAUUUAUGCUUUUGAUAUCAUGCAUAUCUAGAUUUGCACAUGCUUAUUAAAAGACAUACAUGACUUUUUACUUACAUUGAAUUGACCAAUUUCUCAUUUCUUGGGGGAAUGUAUGAAGGAGAACAUGGUGCCUUUAUCCUUAGGAGAAUAUUGAAUAAUAGUGAACAUGACUUUAAUAGUUGAGUAAUAGAUUACAAUACUUAGAGGAUUUAAGAACAUAGGUAGAAUAACAAACAUGGGCCUUCUACCUCAAGGAGUAAUUUUAAAAGGGAAAUGAGAAAUCUCCCAUAGCAGCCACAAGGGCUUGGACAAAUUUUGGUGUAAAGGUAAGAUUGUUUUAGGUGUGGGAAAUAAUGGAGAGAGUGUCUUGUGAAGGAUUUCUCCCAAACCAAAACCAGAGGACUUUUGGACAACAAAUUCGUCCUUAGUUUUUGCAAAACCACAAUGUCAUUUAACCUUUCCAUCACAAACCAAAGAAACUGACCAUUUAAUUUUCAAUAGAAAUCAGGAGUUCAUGGAAUUUAGUCAUGAUCCUAAUAGGAGUUAAUGUAAUUAAGGAGGUAUUAUUCAAGGACAUGUGUAUGUUAUAGAUAAAGUGAAGGAAGAUAACGCUCUUGCCUUUUUGGAAGAUGCUAUCCUAGUUUAUAAUUCUUGAGCAAAAGUUCUAUUUGAUUCUAGAACAACUACUCUUUCUUUUUUGCCUUCUUCAUGAAUGCACUAGAAUUAGUACUUAAGGGACAUAGAUCCAUCCUCUUUAUCUAUUAGUCCUCCUAUGGGACAAAACUUAGAGAGAAAAAGAAUAUGUACAGUAUGUAAUAUGACAAUUCUAAAUCAUGAAUUAAAAGGAGAUUUAGUUGUUUUAGAGAUGUUAGAAUAUGAUGUAAUUUUAGGCAUAAAUUUUUAUCCUCCCCACCAUGCUAUUAUUUACUAUUUUAAAAGAAAGGUAAAGAUUCAUAUCUUAGGAAGGGAAGUAGUUUAUUUCUUUGAUGAUAAGGGUGCACCAUUUCCUUGUCCUCCAUUAAAUUAGUAUUAUCAAUUAAGAUUAAAGAAAGAUGGUAAAUACUUUUUGACAAGUGUUUAAGUAGAGAUUAAAGCAAAAAAAAGAUUUGCAGUCCUUUCAUGUUAUUAAUUAAUUUAUUGAUGUUUUUUUUGUUUGAAGAAUUACUUGGAUUGUCUCCUAAGAGAGAAUGUAACUUUACCAUUGAAGUUUGUCCAAGUAUAUUUCCUACAUCAAUUACACCCUAGUUAAGUUACGAGAAUUGAAGAUUCAACUUCGAAAACUUCAAGAUAAGGAAUUCAUUAGACCAAGUAAUUCUCCAUGGGGUGUUCCUAUACUAUUUUUUAAGAAGAAAGAUGGUUCUUUAAGUUGUGAAUUGAUUAUAAGAAAUUGAAUGAAGUCACCAUUAAGAAUAAAUACCUUUUGCCAAAGAUUGAUGAUUUGUUUAAUUAAUUAAAGGAUACUAGAUAUUUCUCCAAAACAAGGAAGAGAACAAUCACACUCCUCCCUGACCAUCACCCUCUUCUCCUUUGCCCUCCUUGAUCUCUUCUACCUUAUCCACUUCAUCCUCCAAUACAACCUUUUGAUGACUCAAUUGAUUCCCUUACUUGAAAUCAAAGCGAGCUUGCUCUGUAAAGGAUGCAGUCAGUGUUACAGAGAUAGUAAAAGUCUUAAUACAUAUUGCAACAACAUCAAUAAUUGAAGAUUUUAUAGUCAAAGCUUAGUUAUCUGUCUCUUGAGACUUUCUAAAGUUGUCAUAUAAUCAAUAAUCCCUAAAUUGUGGUUAAGAAGACCAUCCUUUAAUCAACUUUCAAUAUGUGAAAUAGAAAUCCUCUGCCAUAUGUUUAGCUAAUAAGGUGGUGCACCACUACGCCCAUCAUUAGCCACAAAGCUAUUAUGAGACCCACCACAUUGUAAUGCAAUAAAUGUGACUAGACUACUACCAGCACACAUCACAAAAUGGGUCAUCCCCACACAAAAGAGGACCACUGUUUGGAUAAUACAACCACCUACUUGAAAGACUGACCUUCGCACAAAGAGCACCCUUGCAUUAAUUAUAAAAUGGACAUGACCCCCUCAUUAGUCAAAUAAUGAUUAAACCUUAAAAGUUGUUGAAAAAACUAUUCAUUGUCCUAACAGUUAUGUCAUAAUCAUCUCAUAAUGAUUAAAGCCUUAAAGAUGAACAUGAUAGAAAUCAUUUAAAAUAAUACCUAACGAACAUCUCAUUUAUAGUCUUCCCAUAAUCAAUCUAUCAAAAGGUAACUACAAGAAGAAGACCAUAUUUUAGAAAAAGUACACACAAUGAACUCUAUCUCAUAUCUCUUAUUCCUACUUUAAUCCAUGACAAACUUGAUCAUCUCAAAAGGGUCGACCUAAGCAACCCAACCUUUUCUCAUCAUUCUCACUCUCUGUCUCUUUCUCCCUAAUCUACUGGAAAACUGUGAUGCCUAGUUCAACCAUAGUCGAAGGAGUGUGUAACAAAUUCCAAAUCUAAUGAGACUUAAUGCAUGAUUUGACAAUUUUUAAAAAUAAUUUAUAAUUUAAAACCAAUCUAAUUAAUACUAAAAAGUCAUGAAACUAAAAAAAUUGAUCCAAUUAAUACUAGAAAGUCGACCAAAAUUGAUUAUGAAUGACUUUGUUUGUUUUCUCCUUUACAUCUAACUAUAAACCAAAAUUUAUAAGGUUUUUCAUUAAGCAAAUAGAAUCAAAAUCCAAUAAGACUCCAUGUGUUAGAUCUAUUAACAAGUGUUAAAGAAAAUUAGAACUCAAACACCAAAAAUUACUCUCAAAGAUUCUUGAACCAGAUUUGGUACUUAAAUGACUGUUAUUUCUCUUUUACACAUAAUGAAAUUUAAGUGAAUUUUCUAUGUAGAAAAAUAUACUUCAAAUUAAGCAAAACUUAUUACAUCAGAUUUAUUAAAAAGUUUAGUAGUUUUUUAAUAAAGAAAUAAAAAUUAAAUACUAAACUAAUUAAUAUUGGAAUUUGUGGACAAACUCUUUGACAUAGAACUAUAAUUCUCAAAAUUUUCUAACUGGACAAGUGAAUUCUCUUCCAAAUUAAACAAGACAUAAUAUAUUAAUAUUGUUAACAAGUUUAUUAAUUUUUAAAAAUAACUUAAAAAUAAAAUAAUAACGUAAUUGUUAUUAGAAAUUCAUAGCAUAAAACUAGUCCAAAAAAACUUUGUUGUUUCUCCUCCACAUAUAAUUAUAAUUUUAUGAAUUUUCUGGUUAGGCAAAGAAACUCUAAAUUAAGCAAAACUCAACAUAUUAGAUUUGUAGAUGAGUCUAGUAAUUUUUUAAAAUAAUUUAAAAUUCAAAAAUAGAAUCAAUAAAAAAAAAAAAAAAAGAUAAAAAUUAGUCUAGAAUGAGCAAUAAUUAUAUUGUUUCUCAUAUGCGCAUAACUAUACCUUCUCAAAUUUUUUUAUUAGGUAAACAUAUGUUAAAUUAAUUGAGCCCAAAUCAAAUGAGAAUUAAUGUUUUAAAUUCUCUAAUUAAUUUACUAAUUUUUAAGAAUAAUUGAGAAUUUGAAAAACUAACUCAAUUAUUAGCAUAGCACUUUGACAAUGGCUAAAUAUUAAAUGCGCACAGGUAAUGCAAAAACUUAACAUAUUUACCACUUUUAUAUAUAUAUAUAUAUAUAUAUAUAAGUGAACUUUAUUGUUUUUAAAUUCAUUUUAAGUAAAAUAUUAUUAACCAUUAUUAUUUCUAAAGUAUUAUUAUUCAAUUUUAACAAAAAAAAGAAAAAAGAAUUAUACCUUUAAGAAGAUAUUAAUAUCCAUAUUUUAUUAUAUCUAUUUAAAAUUAUAUCAUUUCUAAUUUUAAAAAAAAUACUUAUAAUUUUAUUAUAAUAUUAGUAUUGGUAUUUUACAUAAAAUUAUUUAUUUUUCAUUAUAUAAUUAUUAUUUUCUAUUUUUAUUAAGACUUGAAUUGAAUUGAAUUGAUAUUAAUAUAAAAUGAGUGUACAAUUUUUUAUUUUUUUUUGUACAAAAUGAAAAUAGAAAAACUAUUUUUAAAAGCAACUAAAAUUUACUUAUCCAAAAGUGUUUUUGUUUUUUUUCUUUUUGACAAAUAUUUUUAAAAACAACUUGCCAAGUAUUAUUAUUUUUAAGACACACCUAAAAAACUUAUUUUUUAUUUUUAACUUGAAAAUAAUUUUAGAAACAAGGUUAAACAUACAUGGGCAAACAGGCCAUUAGACUUUCUAGAUUGCCAACCUGAGGACUUAGAAGAGGCUUUCUUUACUUUUUCAAAGCACCGUACCAUCAAUUAUUCUUUGUUUCCUCAUAUUAGUGAAACGUUUUGGUAUUGGAAAAAGAAAUUUGUAGCUCAACUCCUUCAGAAGUUUACAUAUGCCAACAAAAGAAAAACUUACCCAAUCCCUCGAUAGUUUUUUCCGAAGCUUUCUCCAUUCAUAAGCAUGGAAUGAGGUGCUUUUCUCCCUUCUUGAGAACUUCCCUAGCUUCUUAGCAAUCCAUCUGCUACCUUUCCACUACAUCCUUUUCCUUUGUGUGUAGGCCUUCCUACAAUAUUGUACUCCUUAGGCAAAAUUGUUUUAGUUUCUCAAUUACUUGCUCUAACUUCUCCAUUAAUCCCUACGAAUAAAAAAAAAAAUUAAUUUUUGUUUGUUUAAUGAUUUUUUUUUGUCUAGUACUAAAUCAAUCCAUCAAAUAAAUGGGUUAAGAUUGUAUUAUUUGGUUAUAAAAGAAGGUGAACGCAUUAUUUUUUUUUAAAACAAUUUUAUGAACUUUUUAGCUAAGUAAUAAAUUUCAAAUCAAACAAUACUUAAUGUAUUUGAUUUAUUAAUGAGUUUAGUCACUUUUAAAAAUAAUUUGAAAACAAAAUACUGAAGUAAUUAGUAUCAUAAAUUUAAGAUCAAACAUGUUCUACAUAGAACUAUAAUUUUCAAAAUUUUCUAACUAGACAAGUAGAUUCCGAAUCAAGCAGGACACAAUGUGUUAGAUUUGUUAAAAAGUAUAUUAAUUUUCAAAAAAUAAUUUUAAACUCAGAAAACUGUAAGGAAAUUAUAGAACUAUCUUUAUUUUACUCUAAGUAUUGAUAUUCAAGUCUGUGCCAACACAGGAGUUCGGAUUUAAUCUACAGAUCUGUACUUAUUUGAAUAAGAGAUUUGUAGUUUAAUUAACUUCUCCAAUCGCUUAUAGUUUUUUCAGAUGCUUUCUCCAUUCCUAAGCAUGGAAUGUGGUGCUUUUUUCCCUUUCUAAGAGCUUCCCCCACUUUUAAGCAGGAGUCCAUCUGCUACCCUUCCACUUUAUCCUUUUCCUUUGCGUGUACGCCUGCCAAAAUUGUAUUCCCUUAUUCCCUAAUUAACGAAACUAUUUCAGUUUCUCAAUUAGUUGCUCCAAGUCUCACCCUCCUGACCAAUUUCCUCUUCUUCUCUUGCUUACGUACCUCUCUCCCUAACUCACUCAAAACUAAGAAACAAUGGAGGUUGUUGGAGAGGUUGUUCUUUCUGCUGGUCUUGAAUUGUUGUUGAAAAAGCUAGCCUCCUCUGAGUUGCUCCAAUUUGCUCGCCAACAGAAAGUCUAUUCUGAACUCAAGAAAUGGGAGGACAAUUUGCUGACUGUGAAUGAAGUGCUCGAUGAUGCUGAGAUGAAGCAGAUGACGUCGCCUGCAGUGAAAAACUGGCUAUGCCAGCUCAGAGACUUGGCUUAUGAUGCAGAGGACGUACUGGAUGAGUUCGCCACCGAGCUACUGCGACACAAGUUGAUGGCAGAACGCCCUCAGACCCCCAACACUAGUAAGGUACGAAGCCUUAUCCCCACUUGCUGUACUAGUUUCAAUCCAUGCCAUGUCGUGUUUAAUGUUAAGAUGGGGUCUAAGAUUAAGGAAAUAACUAACCGCUUAGAAGAGCUUUCAACUAAAAAUUUUGGGCUUGGGCUGCGAAAAGCCACAGUUGAGCUGGGUUUGGAGAGAGUUGAUGGAGCAACUUCUACCUGGCAACGACCCCCCACUACAUCUUUGAUUGAUGAACCUGUUCACGGCAGGGAUGAUGACAAAAAGGUUAUUAUUGAGAUGCUGUUAAAGGAUGAAGGCGGUGAAAGCUACUUUGGGGUAAUUCCCAUUGUUGGCAUAGGUGGGAUGGGGAAAACUACACUCGCCCAGUUGGUAUACAGGGAUGAUGAGAUAGUCAACCAUUUUGACCCAAAGGGGUGGGUCUGUGUAUCAGAUGAGAGUGAUAUAGUGAAAAUAACAAAUGCAAUUCUUAAUGCAUUCUCUCCUCAUCAAAUCCAUGAUUUUAAAGACUUUAACCAACUCCAGCUCACAUUGAGCAAGAUUCUGGUUGGAAAAAGGUUUUUGCUAGUUUUGGACGAUGUGUGGAACAUUAACAAUUAUGAGCAAUGGAGUCACUUACAGACCCCCUUUAAGUCGGGGGCUAGAGGAAGUAAAAUUGUAGUAACGACACGUCAUACAAAUGUUGCAUCAUUGAUGAGAGCAGACAACUACCACCACUUGCUCAAGCCUUUAUCUAAUGAUGAUUGUUGGAAUGUAUUUGUGAAACAUGCAUUUGAAAACAAAAAUAUCGAUGAACAUUUGAGAUUGCUUGAUACAAGGAUCAUAGAGAAAUGCAGUGGCUUGCCCUUAGCAGCAAAGGUGCUCGGUGGGCUUCUACGCUCCAAACCACAGAAUCAAUGGGAACAUGUACUGAGUAGCAAAAUGUGGAAUAGGAGUGGUGUUAUCCCAGUGCUAAGAUUAAGCUAUCAACAUCUCCCUUCACAUCUAAAAAGAUGUUUUGCUUACUGUGCAUUGUUUCCAAAGGACUAUGACUUUGAGCAAAAAGAGCUAAUUUUAUUAUGGAUGGCAGAGGGUUUAAUUCAUGAAGCAGAAGAAGAAAAAUGUCAAAUGGAAGAUUUAGGUGCUGAUUAUUUUGAUGAAUUAUUAUCUCGAUGUUUUUUCCAACCAUCAAGCAAUAGUAAAUCCCAAUUUAUAAUGCAUGAUUUGAUCAAUGAUCUAGCUCAAGAUGUUGCUACAGAAAUAUGCUUCAAUUUAGAGAAUAUACAUAAAACUUCUGAAAUGACUCGUCAUUUGUCAUUCAUACGUAGCGAGUAUGAUGUAUUCAAAAAAUUUGAAGUCCUUAAUAAACCGGAGCAAUUACGAACAUUUGUUGCAUUACCCGUCACUGUAAAUAAUGAGAUGAAAUGUUACUUAAGUACUAAGGUGCUUCAUGGCUUGUUGCCAAAGUUGAUACAAUUAAGGGUGCUCUCUUUGAGUGGUUAUGAAAUAAAUGAGUUGCCAAAUUCGAUUGCUGAUUUGAAACAUUUACGGUAUCUUAAUUUGUCUCAUACUAAACUCAAAUGGUUACCUGAAGCAGUGAGUAGUCUCUACAAUUUACAAUCAUUGAUAUUAUGCAAUUGUAUGGAACUCAUUAAGUUGCCUAUUUGCAUUAUGAAUUUAACCAAUCUUCGACAUCUUGAUAUUAGUGGUUCAACUAUGUUGGAAGAGAUGCCUCCACAAGUUGGAAGCUUGGUAAAUUUGCAAACAUUGUCUAAGUUUUUUCUAAGCAAAGAUAAUGGGCCACGAAUAAAAGAAUUGAAGAACUUGUUGAAUCUUCGAGGAGAGCUUGCCAUUUUAGGGUUGGAAAAUGUUUCGGAUCCAAGAGAUGCAAUGUAUGUCAAUUUGAAGGAGAUACCAAAUAUUGAAGACUUAAUUAUGGUAUGGAGUGAAGAUUCUGGUAAUUCAAGGAAUGAAAGUACUGAGAUAGAGGUCCUUAAGUGGUUGCAACCUCAUCAAAGUUUGAAAAAACUGGAAAUUGCAUUUUAUGGUGGCUCAAAAUUCCCGCAUUGGAUAGGAGAUCCAUCCUUCUCCAAAAUGGUUUGUUUGGAACUUACAAAUUGUAAAAAUUGCACAUCAUUGCCAGCACUUGGGGGUUUACCUUUCCUCAGAGACUUGGUGAUUGAAGGAAUGAAUCAAGUUAAAAGCAUAGGUGAUGGGUUCUAUGGGGAUACCGCAAACCCUUUUCAGUCUUUGGAAUCUCUGAGAUUUGAGAAUAUGGCAGAAUGGAACAAUUGGUUAAUUCCCAAAUUGGGACAUGAGGAAACUAAAACAUUGUUUCCUUGCCUUCGUGAGCUUAAAAUCAUAACAUGUCCAAAAUUGAUCAACUUACCAUAUGAGUUACCUUCCCUUGUGGAUUUUCUUGUUGGAGAAUGCCAAGAAUUGGAAAUGUCAAUUCCACGACUUCCACUUCUUACUCAAUUAAUAGUAUUUGGUUCGUUAAAAAGUUGGGAUGGUGAUGUCCCCUCACUUACCCAAUUAUACAUUUGGGGAAUUUCGAGGCUGAGUUGUUUAUGGGAAAGGCUUGCACAACGCUUAAUGGUCCUUGAAGCUCUGGGAAUAAGUGAAUGUGAUGAGUUGGCAUGUUUGAGGAAGCCUGGAUUUGGACUGGAAAACCUUGGUGGUCUGCGACGUUUAUGGAUCAAUGGGUGUGAUGGGGUUGUAUCGUUGGAAGAGCAAGGGCUGCCUUGCAAUCUUCAAUACUUGGAAGUGAAGGGAUGCUCCAACUUAGAGAAGCUGCCAAAUGCAUUGCACACCCUCGCAUCUCUUGCAUAUACGAUAAUUCAUAAUUGCCCGAAACUCGUGUCAUUCCCAGAGACAGGUUUGCCGCCCAUGCUAAGAGAUCUUAUUGUAAGAAAUUGUGAGGGUCUAGAGACACUACCUGAUGGAAUGAUGAUUAACAGUUGUGCCCUUGAGCAGGUGGAAAUUAAAGAUUGUCCAUCUCUUAUUGGCUUUCCGAAAGGGGAGCUACCUGUCACCCUUAAGAAGCUGAUAAUUGAAAAUUGUGAGAAACUAGAGUCUCUACCUGAGGGAAUUGACAACAACAACACUUGUCGUCUUGAAUAUCUAAGUGUAUGGGGAUGUCCAUCUCUCAAGUCCAUUCCGAGAGGCUACUUUCCCUCCACACUUGAGACGCUUACCAUUUGGAACUGCGAGCAAUUGGAGUCGAUUCCAGGGAAUCUGCUGGAAAAUCUCACAUCUCUUCGACUUCUGACAAUAUGUAAUUGUCCAGAUGUGGUGUCCUCUCCAGAAGCGUUUUUGAACCCCAACCUUAAACGACUUUUUAUUUCAAAUUAUGGGAAUAUGAGGUGGCCUCUAUCUGGGUGGGGCCUCCGCACACUCACCUCACUUGAUGAGCUCGGGAUUCAAGGCCCAUUCCCAGAUCUGCUUUCUUUUUCCGGCUCUCACCCACUUCUUCCUACAUCUCUCACCUAUCUCGCGUUGGUAAAUCUCCACAACUUGAAAUCCGUAACCUCAAUGGGUCUCCGAAGCCUAAUGUCUCUUAAAAGCCUUGAAUUCUACCUUUGCCCUAAGCUCCGGUCUUUUGUGCCAAAGGGAGGGCUACCACCAACACUUGCAAGACUUGUAAUCCGGGAGUGUCCUAUUCUAAAAAAGAGGUGCCUCAAGGGCAAAGGAAAUGAUUGGCCCAAGAUUGGCCACAUCCCCUAUGUGGAAAUAGAUGAGAUUGUACAACAAUAACAGCUUCAAUCAGGUACUCCCAAUUCUUUGUAAUCUUCCAUCAAAGGUUCUACUUACUUAUUGCUGCUUUCUCUGUAAUAUUUGAGUCUCCCUUUUGUUCCGUAAUCAGGGGCUGCCGUGGUCGACAAUAAGUUGUGGAGUUUUGUGCUCAAAACCUCGACUCUCAUGAAUGUGCCCUUAGCUUUUUCCUUAUUUUUCCAAAGGAAGGUCCCUACCCUCUUCCAAAACAGAGGUACUUAUUAAUGCAUUGAAUUGUAAGUUUUGAUAGAACACAAUUUUCACCAUUUUCAACUAAAAAUAUGGCUUUCAUUUUCUGAUAAUGAUGGAAUUUGUGCUGCACAUUGAUGUAGAUGAAAGCAAAAUUUCUGGCCAUUGGUGCAGCUUAUUUGCAAGGGGAAAUAUCCUAAACAUGAAAGAGUUGUACUAAAUGCACCAUUCUUUUUUCAUUUCAGGGUUUACACUUGCAAUUCCAGUCUCCACUGUCAAUUGUUUUUGGUAAUCAGGUCCAAAAGUAGUUUUAAGGCCCUAUUAAAUUUGGCACCAACUUCAUUUCCUACCAAGGGAUGGUCAGUUUUAGGGCCCAACUUCAUUUCCUACAAAAAGCUAAACAGUUUUGUGCUCAAAAACUCACCUCUCUUGAUUGUGUUCUUAGCUUGUUCCUUAUUUUCUUAAGAAAGGCCUUCCUACCAUAGUUUAAUAACUGGAUAUUUGGCACUUUCGACUCAAAAUAUUGCUUUCAAUUUCCAAUAAUGAUGUCUUGUACAUAUAGGAUGGCAGGAAAAAGGAUUGAUGUAGAUAAAAGGGAAAUUUCCUGCCAUUGAUGCACCUUAUUCAUAUCUGCAAGGGGAAAUGCCCUACACAUGAAAGGAGCUGUAAUAAAUGCACCAUUCUUUUUUAAUCUUGGGGUUUACAUGUGAUUCCAGUUUCAUCUGUACAAUUUUUUGCUAAUCAGGUCCAAAAGAAAUUUUAAGGCCCUAUCAAAUGUGGCACCAACUUCACUUCCUACCAAGGGAUGGGCAGCUUGGCAAACUUGCAGAACCUAACCCACAACAAGAGGCCUUAUAUCUGGUGCUUCAUUUUGCUUAAAGCCAGUAUUCUAUUUCAAUUACCAUUAAUUAGUAGAAGGUAUUUCCGAUUUUGUUUUAGUUCUAUUUCAUUCCAAUCUAAAUUUGCAUCUUAGUAUCUUAAUAAAGCCCUUCUAUCUGAUUUUGUUUUGUACUUUAUUCACACAGGAAUUCUCCCUUACUAAACACCAAGGUUUUCUGGGAUUCUGCCAUCAGCUUGGAAAUAUGUAUUGCAAAAUGGGGGAGAGGUAUAACUUCUUUGUUGAUGAGAUUUUUUUCCCUUUUUUCUGCUUUUCCACUUAAUUUUUUUUGACUAAUUACAUGACAUUGUAAAUGCUGUUGGCCUAGACCCUUACUACUGGCAACUGGUAUGUCAAGCAGUUCAGGAUGCAGAGAAAGGGCAUAUAUCCAGGUUGUUCUCUUUCUUAUUCUCUCUCUUCUCACUUGUAUUGAUUUAAAAUGUGAUCUUUCAAAUUAAGGUCUUUGUAAGUAAGUUGUUGAAGGUAAAAUCCCCUAAUUGGGGCACAUGAUGAUUGUAACCUAGCCAGGUAAGGUGAUAUUUUAUUACUGUCUUUCUAGCUUUCACAUUUGCAUAUUUCUAUAUGGUUGCUUAGGCUUCUGCACCAGAAUUCUUUUGACUUAGUGCUACAUAAUUUUUUUUUAUUUUUAUCAUACUGUUUGCUACAAUGGGCAUGCUCUGCCCAUGUGAUACCAGAAGGUGAAGGUUGUGGAUUAGUAAAAGACUUGACCCUGAUGAUUCAUGUUACAAACUGAUGAAGAAGAGAGUCCACUAAUAUCUCUAGUUAGUCUUUGUAAAAUAAUUACUUAGGCCCUCUUCCAUAAUCAGUUUGUAUUUGGAGUCUCAUUUGUAUUUGGAGGCUCACUUCGUGUAGCAUUAAUCUGCCCAAUCUAAUAGGGAUAAAAGGCCGUCUUUCAUAAUCAGUUUAGGGUUGAAGAGAGGGCAAUUAUUGGUUCAAUCAACAUAGGGAAAUGAGAUUGAACCUCAUGCCCUCCACUUCCCACCUUUUCUUUUAUUUUUUAUUUUUUUUCUCUUUAUAUUGAACCUCAUGACCCUCUAGAAAUGCCUCUGAGAAUCAUGGCAAGAAAUUGGUGAAUUGUAAAGAAUAUUUGUGAUGGUAGGAAUGUUAAGAUUGUAGAAUUAAAAAAAUAAUCUGAUGAAUUUACAGAAGACGGAUUUGAUAAGGGGUGAAAUAAUUUCUGUAAGGGAAGGAAAUUGCCUAACCUUGAGAGGGAAGAGUGGAUCCUUUCCAUGCUAUGAGGAGUUUGAAAAGAGGGAAGAGUUAAAGAAACUGAAUUGACAACCCUUGGAUCCUCUUAAUCUGUAGAAUUUAAGGAGUAUGCAAGGCAAAAGUUAUUGAAUAGCAGGACGUGUAUUCUUUUGGACUUGAUAACAAUGAGAAGAAUUUUAGUGGAGGUAGAAUCAAUUAGGCCUGCCCAUGUGGCAUCUCCAGCAUUGCUUUGACUCUAAAGCUUUUUCAGAUUCUUCCUACUUCUUUUCCAUUCUUUGUCAUGUGUUUGGCUGCACCUGCAUGUUCUUUGUCGAUAUACAUGACAAAUAGUUAUGUUACUAGUGCUUUUCAUUUAGUGCUCCAAUUUAUAUAUAUACAUAUAUAAUCAGAAUUUAUUCCUUGAAUAUUAAUCUAUAAAGAAUCCAUAUACCCUUGAUUUUCACUUCUCUUUGCAUUCCGUACUUAUGCAAUCUGUAAUUAUUGUUGCAUUAGGGUUAUUCUUCAGGUGUUGAAGACAUGGAUGAGGUUCAUACACCAGAUUCUGACUAUAUUAAAUAAGCUAAAUCUUGGCAAGCAUAGGGGGCCACAAGUAAAUAGUUUUUCUUUCCAUUAAGAUGGUAUACACAAACACAUAUUUAUGUGUUGGUGUCUGAUUUUAUAAUUUUCCACUCCUUAUGUUAUAUAAUUUAUUUCCAGAUUAGCAUUUCACAAAUGCAUUGAUGAAGUUACAGAGAGCUGGUAUAAUAGGGGAGUUUGUAAGUAUUUUUGUAAAUGAGUUGGUAAAUUCUUGUCUCCUAAUUGUACUUUGUCUUAGUUUACUUUCUGUUUCUUAUCUUCUUUUUUGCUUCACAUUUGGUCAAUGGAGAAUAUCCUAUUGCAGUCCUUUUCCACAUAAAAGAAUUGCGAUGGUGUAAGGCCGAAUGAGUCCCAAGCUUCAACCCUUAUUGCAAGAAGAAUAGAGAAAGGACAUAUUCAUCCAUUGAAAGAUUCAUAUUUUCUUUUAAUAGGAGAAUGAGCAGAGAUCAUGUUUCCCUCCUUAUAUGACAAAUUUUGCUUCUACACCUUUGCUAAAUUUGAAAAAAACAAAAUUUUUUAAUUUUUUUAUAAUAAUUGUAAACUAAUUUCCCCAUUAUAUAGUGUGUAGCAUGGCUUAAAAGGUUCCAUUCUUGUGAAGUGAAAGAAAUACGAUCACCUUUUGCACUAUUCUUCAUUGAUUUUGGAGUAAUGCAUUAUAUAAAGUUUCAUCAAUGUUUCCAUGAUAUUUUAUGGUGAAUCACAUCCUUAAGACACAAAAAAGUAUGAUUUUAUUAUUAUUAUUAUUAUUAUUUAAUUUGUUCUGUUUUUGAUAUGAUAUGAGUUUUUUCUACUCAUUUUCCCCCUUUUUGUUUGGUAUGGGCAGGUGGUCUUAAUAGGGGUUCAAAGAUGUCUCUUAUUGGCUUUCUAGAAGGUGAGCUACCCACAUUGACCCACCACCAACACUUGCAAGAGUUGUAAUGGGGAGAUGUCAUAUUCUAAAAGAGAGGUGCCUCAAUGACAAAGGAAAAUAUUAGCCUAAGAUUGCUCACAUCCCCUAUAUGGAAGUAGAUGACAUUAUAAAACUACAACAAGUUCAACCAGGUACUCCUAAUAUAUGGAAAUAGUUGUGCCCUUGAGUACCUGAAAAUUAAAGAUUGUCCAUCUCUUAUUGGCUUUCCGAAAGGGGAGCUACCCGCCACCCUUAAGAAGCUGAUAAUUUUAAAUUGUGAGAAGCUAGAGUCUCUACCUGAGGGAAUUGACAACAACAACACUUGUCAUCUUGAAUAUCUACAUGUAUGGGGAUGUCCAUCUCUCAAGUCCAUUCCAAGAGGUUACUUUCCCUCAACACUUGAGACCCUUUCCAUUUGGGACUGCCAGCAAUUGGAGUCGAUUCCAGGGAAUAUGCAGCAAAAUCUCACAUCUCUUCAAGUUUUGCAAAUAUGUAAUUGUCGAGAUGUGUUGUCCUCUCCAGAAGCGUUUUUGAACCCUAACCUUGAAGAACUUUGUAUUUCAGAUUGUGAGAAUAUGAGGUGGCCUCUAUCUGGGUGGGGCCUCCACACACUCACCUCUCUUGAUAAGCUCAUGAUUCAGGGCCCAUUCCCAGAUCUGAUUUCUUUUCCCAGCUAUCACCUUCUUCUUCCUACAUCUAUCACAUGUCUCCGGUUGGUAAAUCUCUACAACUUGAAAUCCAUAGCCUCCAUAAGUCUCCGAAGCCUCAUCUCUCUUAAAAGCCUUGAACUCUAGAAUUGCCCUAAGCUCUGGUCCUUUGUGACCAAGGGUGAGCAACACUCGCAAUACUUGAAAUCUGGGAGUGUCCUAUUCUAGAAAAGAGGUGUCUCAAGGACAAACGGAAAGAUUGGCCCAAGAUUGGCCACAUCCCCUACGUGGAAAUAAAUGACAUUGUACAACAAUAACAGCUUCAAUAAGGUACUCCUAAUUCUCUGUAAUCUUCCAUCAAAGGUUCUUCUUGCUAAUUACUACUCUCUCUAUAAUAUUUGAGUCGCCCUUUUGUUAUGUAAUCAGGGGUUCUCCUAAUUUUUCAGAAGUUAGGCCUUCCUACCACAAUUUAAUAUUGAUAUUUGGCAUUGCCCUCUUCCAAAACAAAGGUGCGUAUUAAUGCAUUGAAUUGUAAGUUCUGAUGGAACAUAAUUUUCACCAUUUUCAACCCUAACAUAUUGCUUUCAUUUUCUAAUAAUGAUGGAAUUUAUGUUGCACAGAAUUUCCUGCCAUUCAUAUCUGCAAGGGUAAAUACUAAAUAUCCUACGCAUGAAAGAAGAUGUACUAAAUGCCCCAUUCUUUUCUAGUUUCUGGAUUUACAUGUGAUUCAAGUUUUAAGGCCCUAUCAAAUUUGGGCAACAACUUCACUUCCCACCAAGGGAUGGGCAAAAGGCCUUAUGUUUGGUGGUUCUUUUUGUUUAAAGCUCAGUAUACUGAUUCAAUCACCAUUAAUUGUUAAAAGGUAUUUAAGAUUUUGUUUUAGUUCUGUUUCAUUCCAGUCUAAAUUUGAAUCUUAUUAUGUUAAUGAAGCCCUUUUAUUUAAUUUUUUUUUCUGUACUUUAAUCACACAGGAAUGCUCCUUUAUUUAACACCUUGGUUUUUUGGGAUUCUGCCAUCUUUUUGCAAAUAUGUAUUGCAAAAACAGGAGAGGUAUAACUUUCUCGAACUUCUAAACUGACCAUUGUAUUUCAUCAGAUUGUUUUUAACUUUCUCAUAUUUUUCCCCUCAAAUUUACAUCUUUUUGAAUAAUUACAUGAUAUUGUAGUUAUUGUUGACCUAGAGAGGACCUUUCUACUAGCAUCUGGUAUGUCAAGCUGUUCAGGAUGCACAGAAAGGGCAUAUAUCCCAGGUUGUUCUUUUUCUCAUUAUGUCUCUCCUCACUUGUAUUAAUUUCAAAUGUGCUCAUUGAAAUUUAUAUUAUCAUAAUAUAAAUUGAAGAUAAAAUCCCUUAAUGAGAGGUGGUAGUUAGGUCUUUGUAAGUAAGUUGUUGAAGGUAAACCUUGGUGAUGAGCCGGCAUGUUUGAGGAAGCCUGGAUUUGGGUUGGAAAACCUUGGUGGUUUAUGGAUGGAUGGGUGUGAUGGGGUUGUAUCCUUGGACAAGCAAAGGCUGCCUUGCAAUCUUCAAUAUUUGGAAGUGAAAGGAUGUUUCAACUUAGAGAAGCUGCCAAAUGCACUAUGCACCCUCACAUCUCUUAUAGAUUUGGUAAUUCAUAAUUGCCAGAACUUGUGCCAUUCCUAGAGACAAAUAUGUUGCCCAUGCUAAGACUUCUUUUGGUGAAAAAUUGUGAGCUCUUGGAGACGUUGGCCGAUGGAAUGGUGAGCACCAGAUGUGCCUUUGAGUGCUUAGAAAUUGUAGAUUGUCCAUCUCUUAUUAGAUUACCAAAAAGGUAAGCUAUCCACCACCCUUAAGAAGCUACUCAUUAUAGAUUGCCAAAAACUAGAGUCUCUACCUGAGGGAAUUAUGCACCACACUUCAAUUGACAGCAACAACACUUGUCGUCUUGAACAACUACAUGUAUUGGGAUGUUUGUCUCUCAAGUGCAUUCCAAGAGGCAACUUUCCCUCCUUUCUUGAGAUGCUUUUCAUUUGGAAUUGCAAGAAAUUAGAGCCAAUUCCAGGCAAUAUGCUGCAAAAUCUCACAGCUCUUGGUAUGUUGGGUCUAUGUAAUUGUCCAGAUGUGAGGUUCUCUCCAAAAGAAUUUUGGACCACCAACCUUAAAUAACUUGCAAUUUCAGAUUGUGAGAAUAUGAAGAAGCCUCUAUCCUUUGUGCCAAAGGAAGGGCUGCCACCGUCACUUGCAAGACUUGUAAUCAUGGGUGUCCUAUUCUAGAACAAAUGAAAAGAUUGGCCCAAUAUUGCCUACACCCCCUAGAUGGAAAUAGAUGGCAUUGUCUAACAAUAACAAUUUCAAUCAGGUACCCACAAUUCUCUGUAAUCUUCCACCAAAUAUUCUACUUGCUAAUAACUUUCUUUCUCUAAAACGUUCUAUUCUUCAUGUUGUUUCCGUAUCUCAGUUCCACUUGUUAAUUCAAAUGAUUUUAUUAUUUCUUAAAGAAGCUUAAAAUUCACACAGAAAGAGCACAGUACUUUAUGUUUUCUUUGUUUAUUUUCCUUUCCCCUUUUUAAUAUUAAUCAUUAACAGUUCUUUUAAAAUAUUUGUCUUCAGAUACUUGUUACAGAGGGGGUUGUGCUUAGCCAGUGUGUGACUCUGGAAACCCCACGUAAAAUGUAUGGCAACAACUGAGUCCUAUCAAUACUUGCAACAUUACAUAAUCAAGAGAGAUGUCCUAUUCUGAAAAGGAGGUUCAUGAAGAACAAAGGAAUAGGAUGGCCCUAAACUGCUCAUAUCCUCCCAUAUCUGGAGAUAGAUUGCAUUGUACAGCAGUAAAAAGGUCAAUCAAGUACCCCAAUUGAUGAUAGUCGCUCUUUUCUCUUGUUGCUCACAUCCAUCCUUCUAUCUGAUUGGAAAUUUAGUUCUCUAAUUCAUCAGUUAUGUGCAACAAUUUAUAUUUGCAUUAAAAAAAUUUCUGAAUAUAUAUUCAAAAUGAAAUGCUCUUGAUUUUAUUUUUUUGCCUUUUACAUUGAAAACAUAUAACUCUUUUUCAUUAUUAUGCUAACAGAAAGGAAUAUUGAGUUUCAUCCUGCAGAUUCCAUGUCUGAAGUGAAUAUGGUGUUGGUUGUUCAUUCUCUAAUAUGGUGAUGGUGAAAAGAAGAUGAAAGGGCCUAGGAAAAGCAUGGUACAUAUGCUAUUUUCAUUUUUUAUCUUAUAUUUCCUAUUUUAAUUUUAAAAUAAAAUGGCUACUGGGCCAUGCCUUUUUAAUCAUAUCAACAUGGAAAAGCAGUCAAAAAGAGUUGGAAAAACAACCUGCUUAUGAUUACAUUCGUUGGUCUGCCUAUAGAUCUUGGGUUGGAUAUGGUGCAGAGGAAGAUUUUUACAAACAAACCUAUUUAAGGUAUUUGGGACUAUCCUCUUCCAAACACAGGUGAUUAUUAGUCUAUUGAAUUGUAAGUCUGAUAUAAAAAACAAUCUCCAUUUCUAACUCAAAAUAUUGCUUUUGCUUCUUGAUAAUGAUGGAAUUUACUUUUUAGAUGCAGGAUGGCAAUCAAAGGGACUGAUGUAGAUGAAAGCAAAAUUCAUGGCCAUUGAUGCAGCUUAUUAGCAUCUGCAAAGGUAAAUAUCCUAAACAUGAAAGAGCAGUACUAAAUGCAUCAUCCUAGGCCAUGUAAAUUAAAAAAAAAAAAUUCAAUCAGGUCCAAAAAGAGUUUUAAGCCCAAUCGAAUUUGCCACCAGCUUCACAUGGCAAUAAUUUCACAUAGAGAUACAUGGUUGAUACACCUAUUAAAAGUCUUGUUGCAUUUUUUCUUUCUUUCUUUUUUCCGUUUUCAAUAUGCUUCAAUUUCAUGAUGCAAGGGGCCUUACAUCUGGUGGUUCAUUUUGCUUAAAG